rnacentral:lncRNA from 1 species
UUUUUUUUUUUUUGUUAUUAUGAUAAGAAUAAGCAUUUGACUCCAAAUAUAACUUAAAAUUUUCAUUGGCACCAGCUUCUUGUACUUUUUUCUUUCUUCUUUAUCUAAAAUGCUUAAAAGGGAUAAAAAAAAUUGAAAGUUACCUAACACGAAAGAUAACUUGGAAACCGUUGAUGCUCAAGAAAAAUCUUUAAAAUUUAAAUAACUUGUAAACUAAUAUUAAGUGCUUAAAUUUCAAAUCUCUAAAAUUUCAGACAAGGUUUGGAAAGUAAGAAGAAACAGAAUGAUUGGUCUAAUUUUACUUUUACACGGUUAGAGAUCCUUAAUUGUAAAAUUUGUCCUAAAUAUGCAUCAUAAUCAAGAUUGCUCACAAAACAUAAUGAAUAAUUAGAGAGGAUUAUUCACAAGUUUAGAAAAUUUUAUAUUUAUAUAAAUUUUUUAACCUUUAGAAUAAUAACCAAUUAGAAUAGUAGACUAUCUACAAAGCAUUUUAAUUUUAGUCAUUGGUAAGAUUGAUGAAGGUUUGCAUCUUCAUCUUGGAUUGUUCCUUCUUUCUUAUUUCUUCUUUGACUCACAUAUAUAUAUAUAUAUAUAUAUAUAUUUUUGGAUUUCACAUGCACUUAUGCCCAUUGCUAAAAGUUUUGUUCCAUACUUUCAAAAUAACUCAUAAUCCAGUAUAUCCUUAUUUUAACUCUUUGAGAUACUAGUACUAUUUAAAGUUUUCUCAUUCUCAUAUUCUCCGGUUCUUCUUGCCAAUAGUCAUAUAGCUUGUUUUAGAUAGUUAUGAUUUUCAUUAUGCUAAAGUUUACUAUAUAGGUUGCUUACAUAAACAAAUUGAGAAGUUUGAUGAAUUUAUUUGUAUCCUACAUUAACUAAUGUAAAAGGCUUUCAUCUUUCAUGGAUGCAAUUUGUUUUGUCAGUUUUAAAUCUUGCAGAUUUGUUUGCGUUAAUACAUAAAUGAACAUGGUUCCUUUUUCUUUUUCUAUAUAGAGCUCUAACAUUGUCGUCUAGAUUAUUAAAUCAUAUUCACAGAUGUAUUUAAUGUAUUUUACAACUUAGUUAUAGCUUUUGAAAAUUUGAAAUUUUGCUAUAGACUUUUGUAGGUAUGGCAUAGUGAUUCCUAUUUAUUAUACAUCACGAUUUUCAAUGAAAUUUUAUUAUGAUUCCUAUUUUCUUCCUUUCUGAUCUAAGGAAAAUUAUCUAAGGAUGAAAAAUUUUGAUUCUUUGAAUAGAGAAAAUUAUAUACUAAAAAUACAUUAUUCGAGAUAAGGAAUUGAUAUGUAAACAAAAACCAUCUCAAUUGACAUGUUAAAGUGAAGAUUUACUCUGAUCAUUUGAAAUUAGUCUACCAUAAAAUAGUCUCAUUUGACAUAACAAUUUUUUUAGCAUGCCAAUAUGAAAAAUGUAACAUAAAUAGACUAUAUUUUUAGUUACUUUUCCUUGGUUUUGUUGCUUAUUGUGAUAUUUGGAAAAAAAAAAAAUAGGGUUAUUAUCACUUUAUCCCUUCAACUAUAUCACUACUAUCAGUUUACCCCCUAACUAUAUCUUUUAGUCACUUCACCCCAUAAGUAAUUCAAUUCAACAUGUUAAGAAAUUUUGGACAUAAAUACCCUUUUAUUCUAUAGCAUCACUAUAUUAUUAUUAUUACUUUAUUCCUUUAAAUUAUAGUGAUAUAAUCGCUUUAAUUCCUAACAUUAUUUUCUAGGCAUUUUACUUCAUCGUUAAUCUAAUUAGUAUGGUCAAAAUUUUUUAAAUAUAUUGACUCUUUUAUAUAUAUAAUUAAAAAUAAAAAAUUGAAAUCAUUAUUCUUCUUUUUUCACUUUAAAAGAUCCAAAAAUAUAAAAAUAAAAAGAUUUUCUCAAAUUUCUUUUUUCACACGCAUUAAUAUUAGGAAAAGAAAAGAGAUAGGAAAGAAGGAGAUAGAAAAUUAGAUUUUGCAAAGAAAAUAAUAAAGAAAAGUCUAACAUUAUCGUAUUAAUUUAAGGUUGUUGGAAUUAGCAUUGAAAUCUAGUGGUAAACAUUAAAGUAAAAUAAUUUUAAACUAAUAAAAGUAUUUAAUUCUUUCUUAUUUGUAUUUUUUUUUAAAAAAAAAAGAAUUGAGCUAUCUCUCUCCCCCUCCCAAUCUUUCUAUUUGUUUUAAUAUUAAUAAGAUUGGCAAGAAGAAAGAGAUCAAUACUUUAACUUUUUUUCUUGAUACUAAAGAUGAAAAGAGCCACUUUAAAUUUUUUGUUGUUUUAUGAUACAAAGAGGAGAGUACUUUCUCUAAAGUUUUUUAACUUGCUAAGUUGGUUUAAUGGUGAGAUAAAUUGCCUAAAAAAUAACUCUAUGGGGUAAAUUGAUAAUGAGGCUAUAAUUUAUGGGGGUAAAGUGAUAAUAACUUUCAGGGCUAAACUUUUCUUUUACUUUAAUUAACAAACUCCGUUAAAUUUGACCGUUAGUCUUGGGCGUAAAGUAACUAAAAAAUAACAUUAAGGGAGAAAUUGAUAGUGGCAUCAAACAUUAACGGGGUUAAGUGAUAAUAACCCAAAAAAAUAUGAUAAGCUUUAGUGCAAAGCAAACGUGCAUAGCUUAUAUGCCUUAAUUAGAUCGUGGAUUCCUGUUUAAAAUAGUAAAUGGGUACAAUUUUAUGCGAAUCUUGGUAAAUGAGUUUAAUGGUCCCUUGAGUCCUAUUGAAUAUAUUUAGUUCCUCAACUUCUAAAAGUAUUAUGAGGUCUCAAAAUGUAUAAAUUUAGUUCUAAUUGAUCCCACAAGCAAAAUUCAAUUAAGACAAAUUUAAUAUCUUUCCACUAAAUAACAUUUAGUUUGAUAUUUCUUAUAUGCCUUCAACAUUUAUAAAAGCAUUAAAAUCACACUAGAAAUGGCACUGGUUUAUGAAUUUUGGUUUUCACAAAAAUCGAACUAACCUUGCAAUUUCACAAUAUUUCUGUCUCAAGCAAAACAGUUCUUUAAAAAUUAAGCUGUCUCCUUCUAUUGAACCUAUUUUUCCCGCAACGGAUCUUCUGUCCCACACCCUGUGCCACUCUCUGUUCCACUUUUUAUUAUAUUGCUAUUUCUCUUACAUAAACAUCAUGCUUUAGUUCUUUUUUUGUUUCCUUAAAAUUCAAUAACUAUUAAUUGAGCAAAAAAUAAAUACAGCAGUUUCAAAAAAGUAAUAUAUAAUAGAAAAUUAAAAAUUAUAGCAGAAAAUUCGUAAAAAAUCUCAUUUUUUAUGCAUUUUGAUUUUUUGAGUUUGUUAAAUUUUGUGUAUUACUCAAUUAAUAGUUAUUAGAUCUUAAAGAAACAAAAAAGAACUAAAACAUGAUGUUUAUGUAGGAAAAAUAGCAAUAUAAUAAAAAGUGGCAUAGAGUGUGGGACAGAAGAUCCGUUACGUUUUUUCCUAUAUUCUCCACUGGGUAUCUAAUAUUCUCGAGUGUUAAAAAGCUGAUUUAGAACUUUAAAACUAAGGUGGGCCAGUAAAGCUGAAAAUUAAGGUACCAAAAUUGGCAUACAUUUUUUAUUGGGUAAAAAAGAUGCAUCAUAUAGAGAAUAGUUUAUUAGCUACCACUAUUAUUAAAAUGUGUCUGAAAUAGUUAAAUAACCAGGGGUAAGCAGUCAUACUCCAAUCUAGAUACAUUUGCUAUUCAAACCAUCUCUAAAUUUUUGGAACCUCAAGGUUCAAUAUUUCUAAUCUUGUUCCUUAGUCUUUGACGUGUCUUUAUAAAUAAAUUGGCAUUAAAUAGUAUGGACGUGUGUUUAUCCAAAUCAUUAAACCAAAAGGGACUGGUAGAAUGAAGAUGCUAUCCUUUAUGCCUUAUAGUUCUUGUAAGUGUUGACAAAAUUCUCUAAAUUAACAGUCUCUUGAGAUUUUAAUAGUAAACAUUCAUGUGACUACUAGCUACAUGGUUAUAUUGCUAAAUACUAAAUUCUAAUAAAAAAGAGACACAAACACAAAACCCAGUAUACAAUUAAACAAAGAAUCCAACUAUUCAACUAAUCAUGUAAAGGAAAAAAGUUUCUGCCAUACAACUAACAAGGUAAAGAAACAACUUGCAAAGUUAAGUUAUAAAAUAUGGGAUCUCUUUUGAUAUGCUGCAUAAUAAUUAAGUUUUAAAUUUAGAGAUCUUAUUGUACAUCGUGUGCAUGUUACUACCAAUAUGCAUAAAUUAUCCAUAAUUCAUAUGGCAUGUGUGGUUGUGCCUAGAAGGACAAAUUGCAAAAUAACGCGUUGCCAAAGAAAGCGAUAAGUUCAACAUCAUGAGUUAAGAGCUACAACAAAUUCUCUCACGAACGAUCUUUCAAAAGUUUGAAACUAAAACAAAUUGCCAAACUACAAGAGAUUAGGUCAUUAGUAACAACAUUUUCCAGUGACAAAAAAAAUUGGGAAAAGAGUCCCAAUGGCCCUCCAACUCUUUUCCAAAUAAAGUUUUAGUCCUCCAAUAAUUAACGGUAAAGUUUUGGCCCUCGAUCUAAUAAAAUAGCAUAUUCAUAGCCUUUCUGUCAAAUCCAGCAGUUAAAAUUGACGGAAAGCAUUAUCUCGUGAGAUGCACGACCAAACAUCGAGGGCAUUAUAGUCUCUAAAGGAGGGAACUUGCAAAUAUAGAAAAGGAGAAUCUUCUAGCUUUGGCUGACCCAUCAAGAUCGCAGACCUGAAUUAUAAAUUGAGGCUUGAAAUAGCAGAAAGGGUAGAAAUUGUUGGCAGAUGGCAAAUCCCGUUCAUCAAUUUUUGGAAUAGCAGGGCAAGAACGCAGGCAGUAUGCACCUGCACUACAACUUGCCAUGUCUACAACAGCAUUACUACAAAAAGCUGCUCAGAUUGGAGCAGCAGCAACUAAUGUUUCACUCCUGAGAGGGUUCGGGAUUGUUUCUUCGGCGUCAGCUUCUAGCGGGCAGCAGGAGUGGAGUGGGGGAGGACUAUUAAGAUCAUUGUUGGAGAUUAAAAUGAGGUGGAAAGAUAGGGAAAUGAGAGGAGGAGCUAGAGAUGGCCGGUUUCGGUAGAGAACGUCUAGUCUUGUUCGCGUCUGGGUAGGACUAACAUGACCUCAACUAGGAGGGUAGUGCUUCUGGGGGAGGGGAGUCGAGGACGGCGAUACGUUGGAGAGAUGUGUGGAGAAGAUGGCUGUAAAGGGGAAGAGCAGGAAGGAAGAGUGGGUUGGGAAAAGUGAAGGUGAUGUAUCAAGAAGGGACUAUGGUUUGGAAGGUGGUUGGGUCCAGCACAGACAUUUUUGAUGCAGAGAAAUUUCCCAGAAUUUAAUCAGGCAAUCUUUGGGAGAAUCUGGGUCCGUUUGCGAGAGCGAGAGAGAGAGAGAGAAAGCGGACUUCCUUUUUGUAGUUGGACCAAUUUUCACUCGAACAACAGUUGAUGAAUUGUCACCUAGAUGCAUUCAUAUUUAGCACAAAGGUGCACAAAGCAGAUUCUUGUUUCUCGUUUUUCAGUAUCAUAUGUGAAAGAUUUGACAAGCCAUGGUGAUUCGUUGGUGUCCCUAACUUCGCACUAGGGUUUUGGAGCAAAAGGGGUGGAAAUCGUUGAAGGGAAAAUCAGGGUGAAAGUGUUUUUACUCUUUUUUUGCUCAAAGACUAUAAUGCCCUUGAUAUUUGGCCGUGCAUCUCGCGAGAUGAUGCUUCCCGUCAAAUUUAACUACUGGGUUUGACAGAAGGACCAUGAAUAUGCUAUUUUAUUAGAUCGAGAGCCAAAACUUUACCGUUAAUUGUUGGAGGGCUAAAACUUUAUUUGGGAAAGAGUUGGAGAGCCAUUGUGACUCUUUUCCCAAAAAAAUUCAUCACAAAAAGUGGUUAUUGAGUCGCGACUUUAACUGUUGUUACAACUGACAUAUGGUAGCUAACUCUUCAGUGACGACUUCAAAUUGUCGUCAGAAAACAGUUUGCACCAUGAGAUUUGAGAAGCGUGCGUUGUAAAAUAGUAACGACUAUAUAGCGGUUGUCACUAAUGCUCCUUCCUUUCUUUGGCAAUUUGCACUAUUUCUUUCUAUUGACGACCUGUGUUGUCAGUAAAACUGUAGAGUAUUUAGCAACACCAAAUAUUGUCACUCAACAGUUAUUUGGAUGUAACAAAAAUUUCUACCCAUUAUAAUUUUAUAAUAACUAUGUUAAGAAGUAAAUUAUUUUCAAAAAAAUUAAUAUAUUCGUAAAUUCAAAUAAAAGUUAAAGUUAGAAAAUUAAUUGAAUUAACUAGUACCAAAGUUUUGUUUAGACAAAAUAUUAAAAAAGGUUGGCGGGGACUCUUUUUUUGAAAAUUGGGAGAAGGAUACACUUUUAACUCAUAGUACUCUCCAGAGAGAAAUGGGCCACCGUUCCUUUUCCCAAACUCCCCACGUGGACUCUUCACUUUUCUAUCUCGCAUCCCCCAAAGAAGCGAAAACACUCUCCCUUUCCCAUAAACUCUCAGCCAAAUAUGGAUUUCCCAAACUAAAAUCGAUUCAUUCUCCCCUAACUCAUAAAUCCUCAACCAUAUAUGCUACAACAGCUUUCAAUUGAAGAUCAGAGAAGAAGUUUUACUUGUUCUUACGCCUAACUUCAGCAUUAAUACAGAUCUAGAUCAUCACUAGAAGUAAGAAAUUCAAAGAAAUAUAACAAAACAUAUUAAUCCGGUAUUUACUAUGAGCACUCGUUGACAUAUUUAAAUUAAGCAUAACUUAUUAUGUUAAUACACACAAUCACAAUUAAUGUACUCCUUGUAUUAUAUGCUUUUUUGUAUUAACUACAUUUUUUUAAAAGACUAAUGCAUAAAACCACUCUAAAUGAGUGUCAAAUUGGCACCCAUUAGCCAAACUAUGUUAAGCCAAUUAAGUAAUACCAAUACGCGAGCAACUUCAAGCUUUCAAUUAAUAAUCGGUGAAUGUGAAAAGGCUCCAUCAAACAUGAUUUUAUAUAUAUAUAACAAGACAAUUUCAUUCCAAUAUUAGUACUAAUGACAGCAAAUACAUCAAACAUUACACAAAUUUAUAUAGAUCUGAAAAUCAAAUAAUAUAACAGAUUUAAAAAUCUAUAAAUUUGACCACAACAUUGAAACUCCAAGAAUAUCUUCCAUCAAAUAAAUGUCAGUACAAUUCAACAAAUCUAUAUCCAUGUCUUUUAAUAGUUGAAUAGUCAGAUCUGAUAAAAAACUACUUCAAGUCUGAAGAAAAAUUUAGAUCUGACUUCCAAAUUUAAUUGGAGGAGUUUUAGAAAGAAAGAAGAAAGAGAGAAUGAAUCCUACAGGAAGAGAGCUUUUGUAAUAUCCAGAUGAUUUACUUCUAUAUUAAGUUAUAAAAUCUUAUUACAGUCUAUACUAGCUAUUUGGCAAGUAUAGUAAUUAGUUUAUGAAUGAUUUGAUGGCAUACCAAUUAGAGAAAUAAAGGGCUCAUUGAUUUUAUUUGAUAGUGAUUGGAAAUUAAUGAGGUCCAUGAUCUUAUUUAGAAUAUUUCAUUAGUUAAAAACUAACAGCUGACGUGUGAAAUAGUUGAUCUAGAUCAAGAUAAAAUUUCUCAUAUUAUAUCUCUAAUGCCCAACAAAUAACACAUUUCUUUUUUUUCUUGUGUUUCAAAAACUAUGAAGGAAGCUACAUGGAAAGAAGUAAAGGAUAAUUUUGAAAAGUAAACUGUAUAGCAUGCUAAUGGUGGUGGGAAGCAAAACUAGAUCUUUAAAUUGAUCAUUUUGACAUGAGUAGUUAAGAAUUGCAAGAACAAUAAUACAAUCAAUGGGAAGGGCCAUAAACUUCAGCAUAUUCUCACACCACGUUCGGUAUGCAGAGUAAAUUUGGAGAACACAUUGAAGAAUCCUCUGUUUAUGCAGCUUGACUUAAAGGCCCCCGUUUGUAACGUAAAGAGAUUCAGAAGAAGAUCAGCUUCUCAAUCUAAAACACCGUGGUAGAUGGAAGCUAGAACUUGGAGUUUGAUUAGUAUCAAAAGCAUAUUCAAUCACCUCUUUUGCAUCUAAAUACAUGCAGGUACCAAUAGAUUUUGGUUAGGUAGUCAUUAACUUGGCAUCUUUUCACACAUUCUGAUAGGUACUAAUAUUUUCAAUAUUUGCAGCUAAAAAGAAGAGAAAGCUUAAGUUAUGAAAGAAAAGAAAAGAAGAGAGAAGAAGAGACUUAGUUUUAAUGUUGUUUGGGAGUUUGCUGAAGAAAUAAAAUGAUAUUGGAUAGCUAUGUCAAUAAAAUUUUGUUUAAUAAACAUUUAGGGAUAAAAUUGGUAUUUUAAAAAAAUUUUAUAAAGCUUGCUUCAACGUUAUCUUUUUUUGGUAUUCUCUCCCUUUCUUCUCAUUUCCGGUCAAAUCUAAGGUCCCCAAACAAAGCAUUGGUCUCCACACGAUGUACAAUUAUCUGACAUAAGCUUCCAGUAUGCAAAGUCUAAAAUCGAAGGAUGAAUUAGGUAAAGGCAACUUCAACGUAUGCCAAUCUUUUAUUCCUUUUUUCAUUACUAUCUCCAUUUGCAGCACCCAUCAUAUUAGAAAUUUUGCAAUUUUUGACAGCUAUGGUGAAAAAAAAAUAAUGACUCUAAAUUUUUUGCUGUUAAUGCCACAACACAAUUUUUUGCAUAAAAUACUAAAUUUGCCCUUAUCGAGUCCAAAUUUAGUUGGGGCUUAAUGCAUCAUUUCAACAAAUUUUGCUAUGAAAAUAAAAUUUGAGCUAUGGCAAUAUGAUUUGUCCUAGCUACUCAAGCAAACAAUGACAGCAAAUCAUUACCUUGUCCUCCCUCAUCUAUUGAUGCAUGUGUCAAAUAUCUUUAUCAUUCCAUUAUCAAAGAAUUAGAGUAAAAUAUAUGCUUUAGUUUGGUACGAGGGUGCUCAAUCGGUGCAAGCACAAAACCACCAGCUCUUGGGAGCUCUUGAGUGGUGGCUACCACUAGGGGUGGCAAUUCCUGACACGACCCGAAAACACGACACGAACCUAACACGAAAUUAAUGGGUUUGGGUUGAGAUUUCGGGAGUUCGGGUCAGAAUCGGGUCGAACCCGAUGAACCCGAAAAAAAACAUGUCAAUUUCGGAUCAACCCGUGGUGACCUGAUAUGACCCGAUGUGACCCGUUUACGAAUUAAAACUAAUUUAAUAAACAUUAAAAUUAUUUUAUCUAACUAAACUAAAUCAUUCUUUUUUUCCAAAGACAUUAAUUACUUAAUCCUAAAUGAAUUUAUUUAACUUGUGUGAAGUUAAAAUUAUUAUAUUUGGACAAAUAAUAUUAUGUUAUUUUUUACUUUUAUGCUGUUUUAAUUUAUUUAUAUUUGGUUUGGGAUAAAAACUUUUAUGGUGUUUAAUUUAUUUUAGAUUUGGUUUGAAAUUAUUUAUUUAAAUUUUUUAUUACUUGAUGAUGUAAUUAAUUUUGUGAAAAAUUGAUUUUAUUAGAAAUUACAGUGAUAAAUUAAUAAAUUAAAAUUAAGUUUCGGGUCAACCCGCCAACCCGAAAUUUUCGGGUUCGUGUCAGAUAUCCUGACCCGUUUCGGGUUGGCGGGUCGGGUUCGGGUCAGCAUGUUCCUUGUUAUACUUAAGCCUCAACCCGAUCCGCCAACCCGAACCCGACCCGAUUGCCACCCCUAGCUACCACCAAGCUCUUAAGGUUUUGGUGAACCCUUGCCUCUUACCAAAAAUGCCACUCUUGUGGCUCCGCUUCAAAUCCAGAUGGGUGCGCUGGUCUGGUGGUGGUUCAGUCCUCAUCAGUCCCCCGUAAGCUCAUUUGAGCCUCUCCCGUAGUUAAGAGUAUGAGUAGGAGUAGGGAUGAUAAUUGACAAAAAAAAAAAAAAAUCAGUGCAAGCACAAACAUAACUUCUUAGAAGUUCUUUGUAAGAAGAUAUUCUGUAGCACUUGUUUUAAUAUAAUAUAUACAAGAUAAAAAUGUGACUAGAAAAUAUUUUAAUAUAAUAUAUAUGAGAUAAAAAUAUGACUAAAAAAUGCAUUAAAGUAUAAUAUCAAAAAAUUCGAAAAAAAAUUUCUACAAAAGAACACAAUCCAAUCAAAGGCCUAAAGAAGCCCAACUGAGCAGUAAUAGAUACGGGCUAACUUGGCACCCAAACUUAAUGUGGAUAUGGCCUAAGUCCUCGUAGCCCUUUGUGAUUUGAUUUAUCCAAGAAAGGAUCGAAUUUUCACCCGACGAAAAAGGGGCCGGAUCCUUGAACAUCCGGAAGAAGAAGAAGAAGAAGAAUGAUUCCAAGGUUGGAAGUUGAAACCUGAAGCAAAUACCAGAAAAAGCAACAGAGCACACGGUGUCGUUUUAGUGACAGGAAAUGAUAGUUGUUAGAAGAACCUUCUCACCAUUAAAGCUCAGGAAACUCUUACAACCGGUUUCUUUCUCCACCCAUACAUAUACAAAGCCUGUAUCUAAUUCCCUCUCUUCAGCUUCCCCAACCCAAAACCCUCCUAAAACCCUAUACCCAUUGUUCUUCUUCAGACCCUUUUCCUCAGAGUCUGUAAAGAUUCAAGUAAAACCCAUAUCCAGAGAUGGAAACUACGAUGAUUCCUCCUCACAGGGCCUUCCCGUUUGUCCUGGCUGUGGUGUUCAAAUGCAAGAUUCUGACCCUAAACAACCUGGAUUCUUCGUUGUACCCACCCCUAAAACCCCCAAUUACAAGCUCCGUAUUCAUAAAAAUCCAGUCUUUGAUGAGCCUGAAAUCUCUGAUUCCCUGAAGAAGGGGCUUUUGAAUGAGACGCUGGAACCUCAAGAUGUGGAAAAUCUCGAAAACCCAGACCAGAAAUUGGCUGAAAAGCCUCUAGUGUGUGCUAGAUGUCAUAACUUGAGGCAUUAUGGGAAGGUGAAGGACCCAAGUGUUGAAAAUCUGCUGCCUGAUUUUGAUUUUGAUCAUACUGUUGGGAGGAGGUUGAUGUCCAUUAGUGGGGCUAGGACUGUGGUUUUAAUGGUGGUUGAUGCAUCCGAUUUUGAUGGCUCGUUUCCUAGGAAAGUGGCUAAGUUAGUUUCUAAGACGAUUGAUGAGAAUUCGCGGUCAUGGAAGGAAGGGAAAUCUGGGAAUGUGCCUAGGAUGGUGUUGGUUGUGACAAAGAUUGAUCUUUUACCGAGCUCAUUGUCACCUACUAGGCUUGAGCAUUUUGUCAGGACAAGGGCCAGGGAGAGUGGAGCAAGUAAGUUGACGAGUGUGCAUUUGGUCAGUGCAGUGAGGAACUGGGGUGUGAAGAAUUUGGUUGAUGAUGUGGUGGAGUUGGUAGGAUCAAGAGGGCACGUGUGGGCGAUUGGGGCGCAGAAUGCUGGAAAGAGUACUUUGAUUAAUGCAAUAGGGAAAUGUAUUGGAGGGAAGGUGAGUCAUUUGACUGAGGCACCUGUUCCUGGGACGACUUUGGGGAUUGUAAGGGUGGAAGGAAUGCUUCCUGGUAAUGCCAAAUUGUUUGAUACCCCGGGGCUUUUGCAUCCUCAUCAGAUUACAACUAGAUUGACUAGAGAGGAGCAGAAACUGGUGUGCAUAAGUAAGGAGUUGAAGCCAAGGACGUAUAGGAUCAAGGUCAGUCUGCCUUUGUUUUAGCAUUUGUAUGCUAAAUAACAUAUGAAGGGACGAGAAAAAGAAAUCAAAUCGUCGUAUAGCCUAUGAGCCCGUAAUUUCGAAAUUUUGUAGUAACAAAUUCAUUUAUAGGCUAUUAUGCAUAUUGAUUUGUAUAUGCACAUACUUUCGUCACAUCUAUGUGCAGUUGCUGAUAGUGUUUUAUUCAACACCAGGACUCCUUGAACUAAAAGUCAACACAAAUAGGAAAGUCUGUGUAUAAACAUGAGUUCUUGUUUUUCUCCCUUUUACUGAAAUUUGGUAUUUUGUUGAAAAAGUUUCAUCACCAAAAGUUAGUGGAAUAUUUAAUUUAGGAACUCUUGGCUGCAUAUCAUAUUACAUGUUUGAGCUAGUUUCUUACAAGAACUGUUACAUGCAUAAGCUAGAGGUUGCAUACAGAAGGAGAGCACUAACACGAGAUGCAGCCCAAAAAAAAAGGAGGCUUUUCUAAGGCGGGAAGCCUAUAACUGGGCUCUCUGCUGGUGCACUUCCUCUUUAUCUAUUUUUUUUCACAUGAUACAUGUUGAAAAGCUCAUCUAGGGACUUGAGCUGCUAUUAAGUAUGUGUGAGAGUCAAAAAUUUGGAGAGGAAAUGAAGCACUUCUAGGUGGUGCUUGAAGGUGUCUUUGAAUGACUUUCGAUUCUGAAGUGUUAAAUUUCCAUGCGAUGAAAUUGUUCAAUUAGGAAAACUGUAAGAAACAAAACAUGUCCUUAUUCCCAAUCAAAUGUUCAAAUGUUCAAGUCUUCCAGAACAUAUGUACAUGAUACUGAAGAUUGGUUUACCAAUUUACGAGUUGGCAUGUGUCCUUGUUAAUAAUGGAUUUGCAUAUGGUAAAAGCGGUGUUCGUUUUUUGUCUCCUUCUUUUUUUCUUUUCUUUUGUGAUGGCAGAAGAGGGAUGGGGAGGGUUUGGGUGUGGGAGGAGGUGCAUGGUGACCCCUUUUGUGCUUUCUGUAUUGAGUAAUCUUUACUGAUCAUAUACGUUCAUCAAUGAGAUAUGUUCUUCAUUGGAUAUCCAACUUUCUUCCUGUAUUUUGGGGCCUACAUGUGUUACAUUUUGUGUCACAGGUUGGACAUUCCAUUCAUAUUGGUGGAUUGGUGAGGUUAGAUAUAGAAGAAUUGUCGACAGAUUCUCUUUAUGUUACAGUCUGGGCAUCUCCUCUUCUCCCACUUCACAUGGGGAGGACAGAGAGUGCUUGUACCAUGUUGGAAGAACAUUUUGGUCGCCAAUUACAGGUACAAUGUACUUUUUUUUUGGGGGGGUAGGGUGGAGAAUGCUGAUAGAUCAUAAAUUAGCCAAUGUUUGUCUUUUAGGAGAAUUUCAUUCAAUGCUUUCCAUUGUUCUGUUUCGGCACUCAUAACCAUGGUGCCUAUUGAUACACAAUGCGUGAUCUCAUCAACCAAAUUUGUGAUGCAUCCUGCUUGUGGAAUUGAAAAUGAAGUUUGUAUUGGAAUCUUCAUAGUUCCUGGAAAGUUUUAGCUAAUGCAUCUGAAGAUUGUUCACAUUAUGCAAAAUUCAAGGUUUUGUAUGUGCUUAGGAUGAAGUAACCAUUGCUGCAUUUACCUAAUUAGUUAACUUUUAAAGUUUUAGAAUUUGAGACUCUUCUGCUUUUGUGUUAUUAAGCGGAGCUUCCCGUCUGGAGGAGAAUGUCUUUAAGCUAGAAAGAGAUGUUGCAAUAAUUCUAAGCGUGGUUCAUUGGACAUCAGCUUUACGUAACCACUAAAUUAUGAAGUGAAAUUCGUCAUUUCUGUGUAUUGAUGGAGGAAAUCAUCACAUUAUGGUUGCUGAAUACUUGAAAAUGAUUUAGACAUAGAUGUACUUUGCUGGUAGCAAAACAACUUGUCAACCUGAUUAGUCUCCUUAUACCUAAUAAAAAGACAUCAUGUGAUGUGAUUUGUAAUAUUUUGCAGUUUGUACCUCAUUAGUUUGUUUACUUUGUGCUCUGAUAAGCUUCUGAUUUUGCUUUCUUCUUCAUACAGAUUUGAAGGUUAUGGUAAAAAUAUUCAUAACAGACAAUGUAAAAAAUCCUCAAUGAAAGCGCGGGUUAAAUUUUUUUAAAAAUUUUUUCUUGAGUUUAGAAAAUGUUCAUUCCACAGCCUGAUGAUCUGAAUUUUAGAAUGCUGCCUUAAGUUUACUAAUGAUUCUUGCAUUGUUGGGGUAGGAAUUGUUGGAGUUGUUUUUUUUUAUGUAUUUGUCCACUACUGAGUGUCCUGUUGUAUAUGUUAAUGUCCUUAUCUCAGCCUCCUAUUGGAGAAGAACAAGUUGAGAAGCUUGGGAAAUGGGUGAGAAAGGAAUUUCAAGUGAGUGGAAACUGUUGGAUACAAGUUGUGUUGAUAUUGCUGCUGCAGGUCUUGGUUGGGCCAUUGGACUUAGAGGAGAGGCUUUGUUGGCUAUUUGGACAUAUGAUGGAGUUGACAUUGUUUCCCGCAAUGCUUUGCUUCCUCAGAGAUCACACAAUUUUUGAAGUUGCGGGCUUCACAGUCUCAAAAUUGUCUCCACAGCAGACCGAGCAUCCAAUAAAAAGCGCAAGGAUGAAAAGAAAAAGAAAAGCAAGUGACUCCAUAGCUGUAGCUGCUGAUGCUUCUCCAGCAUUAACUGUUGACGCAGCUGCCAGUUCUUGCUGAGACUGCCAACAUAAGCUACUGCAGAAAUAUGAAAAUUUUUGGUUACUUAAACACAAUGAACGAGUAGAACAAUUGGUCGAUACCACCAAGAAAGAAUGCUGUAGAGCAGGACUGAAAACGAGGCUUAAUCCAAAGCCCUGCGGGAGUUUCUGAAGAUUAUCAAGUUUCAAUGGGAGUAGAAGUCAAAGCUUCUCUACUACCACCCUGCCAAAGAUAGCAUCAAUCUUCAUACAUUCUAUUAAGUUAGCUGCAUGCAGUUCAAGAGAUGUUACUGCAUCGGCCAGGUCUCCAAUUGAACCUCAUGCAAGAUCAACAUGUUUGCCAGUGUGGAAACUGAGCAGAGACACAUUGAAGUUCUGCUUGUGCAUCAUGGUUUGAUCAUGUUGCUCUUUUCAGUUGUUGAUGGUAAUCAAAGGCAUCUGUUGUCAUUGUUUGUGGUAAAAUUGGUUAGCUGAUUUAUAGGCCUCUCUCCAAGAAGUUGUAUAUUUAGCUGAAAAAGACAGUCUAUCAUGUCCAUCAUGGCCUGCUUUAGUUAUACAUGCCUUUUCAAACAGGUUCUUGGAAGUGAAUUUUUUACAUCGUUUUCGUUGAUGAGUAAUGGCUUUAUUUUCAUAUAUCCUUUUUAAUAUAGAAACUAUUUCUGAGAUGGAUAGUGAAUCCAAUUUGCUCAUUCAAGGGAUUUCCUUUACUUUCUGGUGGUGGUUAUUUAUUGUGCAUGAUUGUUUUACAGGCUGUCGAUCAUAUAUACAAUCCUAUGGUUGCACCUGCAUUUGUGUGCGUGUGAAUAUUUACCACUUCUAUAGAGAACUGAGACAUCUUCAACCCUGCAAAUCUAAACAUUAGGUAUAUUUCUUCUAUUUUUCAAGCAUAAGUCUACGUUUAAUAGUUUUCUUGUUACUAAAAGGAAGCUUCUUCUUGAUGAUACGCCAUCUUGCCAAGCACAGUUUAUCUAAAAUCUGACUUUGCCAGCGACCAAGUAAAAUGUUCAAAACUAGCAAAACAAGGACUAGAGAGACGCAUGUAUGAAUAGCCGCUAUGUGUAUUACAGAUGGCCCAUGAUAAUAAUUUCCAUUCACCUGACCUAUUAUUACCAAUUUAUUAACAAAAAAGAGAAAAAUGUAGUUUUGGUACCUAAACUUUAACAUAUUAACGGUUUUAAUCCUCAAAUUCUGGACAAUGAUAAAUCUAGUACCUAAUUUUUCAACUAUUGAGCGCAUUUAGUACCCUGAUGGAUUUUUUCCAAAUUACUACCAAAAAAAGUCACGAGAUAGUCGCAUGUCUAACAACUAUUGUAUAAAAAAUGUAAAAAAUAAAAUAAAAUAUCCUUUUGACACUAAGUGUCAUGUAAAAUAUUCUUUUGGCACUAAGUACUAAGUUUAAGAACUAAUAAUUUUAUCAAAUUAAAAUAUCUUUCUAACACUAAGUUUAAGGACUAAUAAUUUUAUUAAAAGGAUAUUUUACAUUUUUUUUGACAUUUUUUAUAUAAUAAUUACGGAUAUAUAACUAUCACAAUACUCUUUCUAGUACUAAUUUGGAAAAAAAACUAUCACCAUUACUAAAUGUGUUCAAAAGUUGAAAGUCUAGAUACCAAAUUUGUUUUCGUUCAAAGUUUGGAAACAAAAACUGCUCAUCUUUCAAAUUUUGGAUAUCAAAACUGUAUUUUUCUUUUAAAUUAUGAUGGUGAGCUACCAACCCAUAUUUAUUAUAUAUAUGUCAUUUGGUUGAUAUUCCAUGUGGGCUGGGGAUAGGUAGUUAGAGGAUGCAUUUCUUCAAGCUUUAAAACACCCAGAUCUACCUUCCAUUUUCACUGCUAAUCAUUUUAUUUGAAGGUUAAGUGCACUUUACUCCCUCAAUUAUAGAUGCUUCCCCUCUUAUAUAUGAUCAACUUACCACCUCAGGGCUAUUCAGUUUUGUGAGAUUUUAGCAUGUACCCAUCCAUGUACCUUACUUGAUGGAGAAUGUUUCUCAUCAGAUGAGUCACAAUAUCUAUACAUAUCUUAACAUGUCCAGUUGCCGAUAUAUAGAAUUUUCCCAAAUCUCCCAAAUGUUUUUUUGUAUUUGGACCAUUUAUUACAUUAAGCAUUUGGAUAGAUUACCAUAUUGAACAGAACAUAACGUCUUAACAAUGGAUUGAUGAGAAGAAAUGUAUUGUGAUUUUGACUAGAAUCUGCAAUCACUUAAUGUAAGGGGCAAAAAAAAUAUUUGUACUUAUCGCCUACUAAUAUAUUCAUCAUGUUGUAUUAUAAUUUUGACACAACAAAACUAUUUAAUUGAAUAAUAUAAUAAAAUUACUCAGAUAAUGUCCCAACGGCAGCUCGAAUGGUAUCUUCCUUGGUCUUUACGUAAGGUCACCAAUUCGAACCAUAUUGACUAUUGUGCAAUACAUUGUUUAAAAAGCUUCUACACCACUGUAGAGAAUUAGUCUGACGUAAGUCAGAAUAUUCCUUGCAAGAAAAAAAAAAAAAACAAAGAUAAUCCUUAGAAAAAGUUACUAAGAUAACAUAAUAGAUGUGAUUAUGAUUAAGGGUCAAAAUUGCACUUUAUCCAUAAUUCAGCACCAUCUCAGAUUCAUUUAGUAACUUUUAGGCACAAACAUACUAAUGCUAUAAAUCAUAUUUAAGACCAUUUGACAGAACAUUCAAAUUUACACUGGUCAAAAAGGAGAAGAACAUGGAAAAUUCGGCUGAAAAAGUGACAAUAGACAGUAGACAGUAUAGCAGGAGUAGUGGUGUACUUCUUGUUGGUGGUGUGGCCACUCUGGAGUCUGGACUGAAUCUCUGAGGAACCAAAUAAACACCAAAAUCCCUUUUGUUUCAGGAUACAGAUAGAUCAAUGAUUCCUUCUUCCUCUUGUCUGUAAAUUCCCAUCAUUUCAAUUAUCAACCGAGCCACCCCAACACUUCUGCACUCGCAGAACACCGUCGCCAGUUUAUGCUCUCUUUCUCUCUCUCUCCAGACAAAGAAAUACGGUAACACAACUGCUAUUUCUGCUUCAGACAAGCCUAGAAUCUGAAGGACUCUGAUCUUUCUUCCUUCUAGUAGGGAAACCAGCAUCAUGUCUACUAAAUCCAAGUAAGUUUCUUUCUUGCAGAUCUGAUGUGGGACAUUCUUUCUUUGUUUCUUUAGCUCUGUUUUUACCCUCAUUUUUUCUUGUUUUUGGGCUGUUUUGCAUCAGCUGCUCUGCAGUGCCGCAUUAGUCUCUGAUAUGGGAUUUUUUUUCCCCCUUGCUGUCUUUAUUUCUGUUGGGGUUCUGUAAUUCUUUCCAUUUUCUCUGUCUUGGUUGUUUGCUUUUGCUGCUUGUCCCUGCUGCGAAGCACGUUAUUACGGAAUUGUGGUCUGUUCGGUUAAUCCUUGGUUUGUGCACUUGUGUAUUUUUGAAUUUAGGUUGCUUGCUAGAGUCCUAAUUUGCUGAUAUGGAUCUGGGAUCUGAACUUCUUGCUUAAACUAAAUAAAUUUCGCUGGGGAUUAUUGUCAUCUUUGCUUGUUUGUUUUCUCUGUUUCCUUUUCUUGGUCCAUCGGGAUGGAAUGUGUCAAUAGAUCUUCAUUCUUUGCUUUAAAGUUGUAAAGAUUACAUUUUGUUUAUCUCUUUGUAUUGAAUGAUAAGUCAUGAAUUGGAUCAUAAUCUGCUGAAUAUGAUAUUCAACCAGUCAUGUAAUGGUGCCAUUUUGUGAACUCCAAACAGAUCUAGUGGUUUUUCUGAAACAACUCCGAAUAGCAAAGUAUCACCUGCAACCCCAAAGGUUAGUAAACUCAGCAGCAGGGGGGGAGUGACUAAAUCUGCUACUGAUUCACCUUCCCGCCUGCAAAGUACACGCAUUUCAGUUGAUCUUUCACCAAGAUCUGUUGCUUCCAAGCCUACAGUCGAGCGCAAGCCCACGAAGCUUGGUACCCCUCCUGAUGUAAGUUUUCAUGAACUCCUUCCUGUUGCGUAGCCAAGCUCCUGUUCUAUAAGUGAUACGGUAUCAUUCUGCAGAAGAAACCGACUGCAUCUCCAACUCCAACUCGUAUAUUGAAGCCGUCAGAACUACAGGCUGAACUAAAUAUUGUCCAGGAAGAUCUCAAGAAGGCCAAGAAAAGCUAGUCUCAUUAGAGAAAGAGAAAUCGCAGGCUCUUGAAGAAUUAAAGGAAGCCAAGAGUUUGGCUGACGAAGCAAAUGAGAAGCUCAGUGAGGCUUUGGUGGCUCAAAGGCGAGCUGAAGAAGAUUCUGAGAUUGAGAAAUUUCGAGCAGUUGAGAUGGAACAGGCUGGCAUUGAGGCAGCUCAGAAGAAGGAAGAGGAAUGGCAGAAAGAGCUUGAAGCUGUGAGGAAUCAACAUGCAUUGGAUGUGUCCGCCCUACUUUCCGCUACUCAGGAGCUUCAGAGGGUAAAGCAAGAGCUUGCCAUGACUUCUGAUGCAAAAAACCAGGCACUCAGCCAUGCUGAUGAUGCAACUAAGAUUGCUGAGAUUCAUGCUGGAAAGGUUGAAAUUCUGUCCGGUGAAGUUGUCCGAUUGAAAUCUUUGCUUGAUUCAAGGAUGGAAAUAGAGGCUGAUGAGAAUGCCAAAUUAGUGGCAGAGUUGAAACUAGAGAUAGAGACUUUGAGGCAAGAACUCAAGAAUGCAAAAAGCUACGAGGAGAUAUUGGCGGAAAAGGAGGCUAGUCUUGAGCAACUUAAUGUUGAGCUGGAGGCUGCAAAAAUGGCAGAGUCUUAUGCGCACUGUUUAAUGGAUGAAUGGAAAAAAAAGGUUGAAGAAUUAGAGCUUCAAACAGAGGAAACAAAGCGGUUGGAAAGAUCAGCAUCAGAAUCUCUCGAAUCAGUAAUGAAACAACUUGAAGGGAGUAAUGAUUUGUUGCAUGAUGCAGAAUCUGAGAUUGCAUCUCUUAAAGAAAAGGUCGGAUUGAUAGAAAUCUCAAAUAGAAGGCAGAAAGCAGAUUAUGAGGAAUCAGAACGUCAUCUUCAGAUGGCCAAGGAAGAAGCUUCUAAUCUGGAAAACAAGGUUGAAUCUCUUACAGCUGAGCUUGAAGCCGUGAAGGAGGAGAAAACUCAGGCCUUAAACAAUGAGAAACUUGCUGCUUCCAGCGUGCAAACCCUAUUGGAAGAGAAAAACAAGCUCAUAAAUGAGUUGGAAAAUUCUAGGGAUGAAGAAGAGAAAAGUAAAAAGGCAAUGGAAAGCUUGGCAUCAGCCUUGCAUGAAGUUUCUUCAGAAGCAAGAGAAGCCAAAGAAAAGUUGCUCUCUGUCCAAGGUGAGCAUGAAAAUUAUGAAACGCAAAUAGAAGAUCUGAAGCUUGCUCUGAAAGAAACAAAUGAGAAGUAUAAGACCUUGCUUGAUGAUGCAAAACAAGAAAUCGACGUUCUAACCAAUUUGAAUGAACAAUCUAAGCAGAAGCAGGCAAAACUUGAAGAGUGAGUGGGCGCAGAAGGAACUUCAACUGAUGACCUCUCUCAAGAAAAUUGAAGAAGUUAACUCUUCAAGGGAAAAAGAGAUAAGCAGAUUGGUUUACUUUGCAUAAAGCGGCAGAGGAUGAAGCUGGUGCAAACAAGGAAGAAGAAAUUCGUUUGAAGACUCUGCUUAGGGAAGCAGAGUCUGAGGUCUCUUAUUUAAAGGAAGUUCUUGGAGAAGCUAAGGCAGAAAGCAUGAGCUUGAAAGAAAGUUUAUUGGACAAAGAGAACGAAUUUCAGAAUAUUCUUCAGGAGAAUGAGGAGCUCCGAAAUAGUGAAGCUGCCUGUCAAAUGAAGGUCGCAGAGUUGUCUAAAUUGCUUGAAGAAGCUUUGGCCAAAAAGCAAGCUGAAGAAAAUGGUGAGCUUACAGACAGUGAAAAAGAUUAUGAUAUGCUCCAAAGGUGGUGGAAUUUUCUGAACAAAAUGGAGGUGGAAGCCAAGAGAAGCCAAAGAUGGAGCUCUCCACUCAGCAAUCUGAGCAUCAUCUUGAGGAACACCUUCCAGAACUAGAAAAACUCUCACAUGAUGAUGCUCUACAGACUGGUGCUGAGAAAGAUGUAUUAAAUGGAAGACCAAAAGAAAAUGAGAAUAAAGAUAAGGAAGACGAUGACUCUGUAGAAGCUGAUUCAAAAAUGUGGGAAAGCUACAAGGUUGGGGAAAAAGACUUCUCUCCAGAGGGGGAUGCUGAGCAGGAAUCUAUUGAGGAGGACUUGGAAUCUAAGGCUGAUGGUAGUGAGGGCAAUGACCAGGCUAAUGGGCUUCCUUCAAAAGAAAACUUUGAUGACAGUGGAAGUUCACCAACUAAGCAGCAAGGUCAGAAGAAGAAGAAAGCUCUGCUCCGCAAGUUUGGCAGCCUACUCAAGAAGAAGGGCACUAGCAACCAGAAAUAGUAUACCUAUGCCCAUGUAACAUCUUUGUAAACAUGAACAUGGUUAUGUCACUUUGUGCGUGUGAUUAUUCUCAUGUAUGCAUACUGAUUGGUUUUGUAACAAGUUUUUACUGUCGAGAUUUUGUUAAUUACAUUUCAUUUCCAACCAAUUAUUCUUUUUUUUUCGUCUUUAAUUGAUUCUUAGAUGAAACUGUAAGCAAUUUUGGGAAUGCUGUAUUAUAGAAGCUUCUAUUUCUUCUACAAUGCUCAAACAUAACAUGAUACAUGCUGGAACAAAGGGAAACUAGCAUACUAACAAAAAUUGAAGAUGGGUAUACAUGGUGUUCCUUGCUACUAGGGCUUUAUUCUGCCACCUUUCUUAUUUUUGUUCUCAGAAUUUGAAGAUCCAUAGCAGUAUGAGAAACAGAAUGCUAUGAAAGGCAUUGGCCACCUUCAAGGAGUUUUACACUACACUGGCUUGUGACUGCCUCGAUGAGGAAGGUCUUGAAGGACAAGUCAAACAAGAGCAAACAAUGGGAAUCUCUGCCUAUGCAAACUUUUUGCUGCUCAAACUGCAGGUAAUAUAUUGCUACUUUAUGAUAACCUUGUUUUCACUUUACAUGGUCUGUUGUAAAUUAGUCCUUUUAUUGAUUUGUAAUGAAUUUGUGGUGCAUUUGCUGGUUUACAAGUGUUCAUGUUGUCUUUCAUCAUGAAACUACCAGUUAAGUUGAAUAAAUAUUAAGCAAAACAAACAAGAGUUUCGUAUUUUGAGAAUGAUGGAAGAAACUAAAUUUCUCGAGUACGUAUAUUCCGUGCUUCAUCAUAUGUAUUUUAUGUCCCCUAAUCUGAUAGAUUUAUUUGAGAAAUAUUUCUCUGUUUAUAGAGAAGGUAGUAUCUAAAACCUUUUCUAUCUUGCAUUUGGAUGGUAUUUCCGCACUGAAGCCUUACUUUUGAAAUCAUGUUGAACUCUAGUUUUGGGUUCUCAGAUUUGGUCCUAUCUGCAGAAACUGGUUAACAAUAAAUCUGCUAACAUGAUGACCUGAAUUUUGCUGGCCUUAGGAGUUCUGUAUCAUGAUAAAUGCUGCUAUAGUGAAAAUUGCUUCAGAUGUACUGUAGAAGCUCAGGAAAAGAGAUUGUUCAUGCAUAGGAAUAGGUAUUCAAAGUGUAGUUAUCUUUACCUUUUUCUUCUCACGCAAGUCAAUUUUGGACUUGUUUGAGUUUCACUUUUCUGAUGAUCUUCAAAAUCGGACGUGGAAAUUAAGAUGAUGCUACUUAACUAUGGUUCCUCAUUUGCCUGGCUGUACCUAUCGCGUGAGAGAUUCUGACCCUAAAAAGCUGGAGUUUUAAAUAAUGCACACGCCUAAAUCCCCAAUGACAAGUCUCCUGUUGAUAAAAACUCGCAUGAUUGAUGAGCAUAAGAUUCCAGUAUUUCGGAAGGUGUUUUUUCAAUCAAGCUUCUUGUGCGGCUGUGCCUCAUAUGUUCAAAAAUCGGAAAUUGUUAUCAGAAUUUGCCAAUGCAAUCUAUUUUUUUGUAGAUGUUACAAUUGAGGCAUAAUGUGAAGUUGAAGGACAUGACUGCAGACAAGUUUUCCUGACUCAUAUUUGUAUCAGAUGGUUGGACUAUAUCAUUGUAGUUAAAAUGGUGGUUUGAUGCUUCAGAUUUUCAUUUUUAUUUCGGAGGAGAAGGGCUGAUUAGUUUUGAAGACAAAUGAUGAGAAUUUGCAAGCAUGGAUUUAACAAGUGAUGAGAUUUUGCUUAGACUGACAAGAGGAGCAGGUAUUUAGUUCACAUGAAUGACUAAUUCGAAACCAGAAUUUUUCUCAAAUGGAUCAUUAUGUUAAUUUCUUCUAAAAUACAAGUUUUAGUUUAACCAGUUGGAUUUUGCACCUAAAAUUAUGUAUGCUAGUCUUCUGUCCUCUGGUAAUCUAGUUGUCGUUGUUGGACUGCUAUCCUUCAUAUGCUGUUAUGCAAAACCUGGAAAAGUGAAGGCUUAAAAAAGUCAAGGCCAAGGUCAUUUAUGAACCAGUCUGAAACUGUUGUAAUUAUAACAUUUUUGAGCGAUGAAGUUAUAAAUUUUCCUUCCGUAACAUGCACAAGCAUAUGCGCAUGCUCUUAGUAUCUGAUAGUGUAUAUUCCGACACUUUGACUCUUUUUGGAAAAUAUUGACCACAAUGGGAGAGCUACAUAGAGAUGUGCAGUCUCUUUUACAUUUGCCUUUUACUACUAAAAUAUGUGCAGAGAAAUUAAUCACCUCUCUGAGAAAAGGUAGAGUCCCAUCUUGCAUUCAUGCUCUUAUCUAUUCAGUUUACGCUUGCAUAGGCUUGUCAAGUUGAGGCUUGUCAGGAUAGCAGUCAGCGGACAAGUUCUUCAUACAUAUGGAGUCUUGAAUUCUGAAGGAAAAUGGAGAUGCUUCUUUUUAGAUGGAAACAAAUGGAGAUGCUUCCUUUUAGAUGGAAACAAACACCUCACUCCUUAGUGUGUGUGUAUGGUUCCAUUCUAUUUUCAUGUGGAAAUCUUUUUUUUUUUUUAUCACAAAAUUGCAGUAUCAAGCCAAAAAUGGCAAAGAUGGUUGCUAAGAAUCAAAGAAAUCAAGUUCAAUUAAAAGAUGACUUGAGCUCUUUUGGGUAGUUUAUUUAUGCUGUUAGGAUGUCUGAUCAGACCGAAAGUUUAACCGACUGACAAUGGGUUUAUAACAUAAUUUUCAUCAUUUCAUAGUGUAUAAAUAAUUUCAUUCCAUUUUUAUUUUCAUUAGGUAUAGAUACCAUAUAACCUCGAGGUAUGGAUUAAGUGGUACGAGAAAAGAGAGCGUAUAAUCCUGGGGAUGGAUUGGAUGGUAGGAAAAAAGGGAGCGUAAGAGAGAGGUUUCGAAUUCGAGAUCUUUCACUUGCACUAAAGAAAAAAAAACGUAGAACAAAAUAUUCAAUUAUCAAUGUCCAUCCAAAAAGUAAGCAAAUUUUCUGCAAAUAAGCAGUGAACAGGAGAAUUGAAAGUAAAAUUACCCAAAAGAAAGUUGUCAAACGGAUGAGUACCAUUAUUAUUUAUUGCUUUCACAAUUGUUAUAAUAGCUCCCUCCUAUAUGGAUUUACCCAACGUAAAAAUGUCCAAAAACAACAUCUGCUCCAUUUGCUCGAUCAACUCAACCAUCUUACACAGAAAAGAAAAUUGAAGAUAAAGAAAGGGCUCUAUGAUAAAUUUAUUUGGACCUUAUUCUUUUUAUGCUUUAGUUGUAUCCUUACUCCUUAGUCCUUCAUCGUUAAGAGCAAUCUUGUUUGCAACAAUAGAAGCAAAGGCACGCAUUUGCAUUUGAGCAAAAUCCACGAGCAAUGUUGUGAAAUUUCCCUCCAUGUUGUCUCACACAUUCUCCAUUGCAAGUAUCAUUUUGGCAAGUUUUUCCAAGGGGAAUGGCAACCGCACAUUCUUCAGUUCCAUCCACCUUUGAUAUUGAUCCAAAGCCUAUAUUUGGAUUCAGCAAAAAGAGUAAAGAGUUAACAUCUCAAUAUACAUAUAUAUACAUAUAUAUAGAAAAUAAAUAAAUGUAUAUUUGCCAUGCAAGGAUGUACAAGAAAAUCAAAAACCUUCUAAAAUAUUUUUUUCCCAUUUAAUGCCAAACAUAAUUAUGGCCCCUUUGGGCAAAUGAAUUUUUUGGUUGUUUGUCUAAAACUUUACUGUAACUUACUGUAGAAGUUUUUUAAAAAAUUUUUGAAGUGUGUUUUUUUUUUUUUUGAAUAUUUUGAAGUGUAUAGUUUAAAAACUUUGAAAAGUUUUUUGAAGUUACUGUAACUAAAGUUUUUAAAAAAACUUGUAACAGACAAAUUUGGCAAAAAACUUGUCUACCAAACAAGGCCUAAUUAACAUCCUAAUAGAAAAGCUAUGUAUGUGCAUUGAUGUACAUAGAAAUGAUAAAGAAUUUAUUGACAAGGACAAAACUCAAGACCCUUUGUUUGGAAUGGCAAGUACAAUAAGGGAAUAAAUUUACCCUUGUCUAAUCACAAAGAAUGACCCACAAUGGGGGGGGGGUAAAAAAUGCAAGACAGGAUGCUCAGAGAAUUGAAAUUUUACCAAGUGAGACAAGGAGUAGAAGAACUGUGGUAGCAGCAAUGGUGUAAUUCCUCAUCUUUUCUUUUCCCUAGUUUCUGAAAUUUUUAAGUAGCAAGGUUAUGGUUAACAUAUGUUAAAUCUUGCAUGUAAAUAGGUGCAAAUCUAAAGGUUUUGAGAUAACUCUGAGUUCUGUCAUAAAAGGAAGAAUAUCCUUGUAGUUAUUACCAAUUUGAAUUGGCUUGUUUUGAAAAAGAAAAAUUAGCUAAAAUGACAGCCAGGUCAUGUUUAGCUCAUAGUUCAUACUAGCUAACAAUUUAAAGGGAUAAUAUGAACAACAAUCAAACUCAUGUACUUACCAUCUUUUAUGUAAAAAUUAUACAGGAAAAGAGAUGGUGGAAGUGCCAUUAACAACUACCUUUGCCAUGACAUAAACUGAAAAGAUCUUGUAUGCCACAAAAAAGAUACUCUAACUUUAUGAAUAGUAUGAUUAGUUAUUCCUAAUCAUACUGUUUAUUAUCUUUCUAUUUUGUAAAUUUAAUUGUCAUAUAAUAAAACCAUCGUUUGAUUUUUCCUUUUCAAUAUUGACCGCUGGUCGAAAUAUUGAAUUUCUCCUAUACAAUUUUCUCCUCGUAAAUCUUAAUGGCUGUAAGCUGAUAUCUGUGCGUAUGGCUACAAAGAUUUUGUUUGUUAGAUCAUAAACACGUCUUUUAAUUUUAUUUUUUUUUAAAUCACUUUGUUGUGUGACGAACAUUGCUUCCCAAAAAUGCUUCAAUAUUUUCUCCGUUGAGUGAGAAUUUUUUCCACCCCACCAAAGAUUAAGAGGUUUAAUUUUUGUAAUUUAUUUAAUUUCUAUUUCUUUAUGUUCUCAAUUUUGGCUUCUGAAAUUUUGUAAAGGCUGUCGCACCACAUGCUACCGGGAGCAUUGCUUUGUCAUUAGUUGUGGAAUCUAGGCCUAUAUUCAGAUUUAGUAAUAUAUACUCCCUCUCCGUCCCAUUUUGAUAGUCCUGUUUUUUUUUUCACACAGUUUAAGAAAAAGUAGUUAACUUUGUUGGAACAAUCAAUUUAGGUAGCUAUUUUCCUAAAAUACCCUCACAUUAAUUAGAGUACAACUUUAUGGGAACUUGAAUUGAUGGUAAAAAAAGAAUCAACUCUCAUUAAAUGGGGUAGGUUUAUAGUAACAACAACUUACAUUGAAUAAGGGUAUUUUAGGAAAAUUAAAAUACAACUAUAUUCUUCAAUUGGAAAGUGGACUACAAUUUGGGACAGACGAAAAAUGAAAACAGGACUAUCAAAGUGGGACGGAGGGAGUAUCAUUUGCUAGUAAACACUUAAUUAUGCAACUUUGUCUUAAUUUAGAAUACUUCGGUGUUUGUUAGCGAGAUAUCCAGGAAUCAACACACUGGACAUGUUAAUGUUAUAUCACAUGUUCAAUUCUCAAGCUAAUUUGAGAAUUGUCUUUAAAAUUGAUUAAUUUUUGGGCUCAAAUAUCAAUCUCAGUAUCAUAUUUUGAUGUGGAUUUGCAUAUUUCUACCAGUUAGUGUACCUAGAAGCUAUGUUCCUUUUUUCUUGAUAAAAUAUUAGCUGGAUUAGCUGUAUUUGAUAGGAAUGUUCUACUUAAUUAUUACUAUUAUUACUCAAUUUUGUUAUAAUUAUUACUAUUAAAAGUCCACUUAUCUAAAGCAAUAUUUGCUCUAGAGGUCUUUGUCACCAAAAACCCUGGUCCUACUUUUCUAAUUAGUAGACUAGUGGAGAUCAAAUUUCAUAUCUGUAUUUGAACAGUCAUUUGGGGAGGCUCUUAGCUCUGAAGAAUCAUGAAUAAUAGACAAUAAAUUUGAUCAAUUAUAAACAAUCAGAAAUGCAUAAAGCAUACACUUCUGAGAGUUCUGGAAUGGUUGCUCUUAGUCUGUCCAUGCCUCUUUGGGAUUCAAGUAGUACCUGUAUCCAUGAACAUUAAAAUAGAAAAAUUUAGAGAAGACUUUGAAUUGUUCUUGAAACUAUUAAUUUUGAAAUUAUUUUGAGGUCAACUUUUUCAGUGUUUGCGUGAUGGACGAGCUGAAUUUCUUCCGAACUAUUUAUUGAUGGAAAUGAAAGUGAAAUUAAUAAUUGGCUGUAAAGGUGAGUGAACUCUUGGAAGAGACAUAAACUACGAAUACAAUGUAUAGUGGGGAGCCUAGAUUGGAGGGAGGAAGGGAAAAAUCCGAAUUCGAACAUUCCUACUUGCACUUAAAUUUAAAAAAAAAAGAUAGUAAAAAGAAAAUAUUACAAUUUUUGUAGGUGGGUGGGGGGGGAUGGGUGGUAAGAUGGGAGGGGUUAUAAUUAAGAAAUCUUGAACUCAAAUCUUCUCACUUACUGGAAAUAUAUAUAUAUAAUAUAUAUAUAUAUAUAUAUAUAUAUAGGCUGAAAUAUAUAUAGUAUUUACUAAUAUGCCACUGAUAGAUUAUCUACAUAUAAAUUAAUCCUAUACAUAAUUAAUUUCACUUGAUUGUAGUAUGUUCUACUUGUAAAUCAUGUCCAUAUCAGAAGAAAACCUUACACGAGAGGAAGGCCUCUUUUUUUAUUUUUGGUGUCUUUUCAUGCCUAUUUUCUCCAAUUUUUUUGUGGAUGUUUGAGGUGUUAUUUGAAACAAUAUGACUUAGGCCCUUCGGGUAGUGAACUUGGCAUCAUAUUGAUCCCAUAGUUAGGACACAUAAUUGUCACUCCCAUGGUAGAUAGCACAGAUCUGUUACAGAAUUUUCAAUUACCAAUAGUGCAUAAAGAAAGUAAGCUCUAAUAAUCAAGCAGUGAACAGAACUAUUGAAAGUGAAAUUGGCCAAAAGAAAGUCACCAAAGGAUCAAAUACCAUCAUCUUAAAAUGCUCAUAUGUUGCUUUCCCAAUUGCAUAAUAGAUCCUAUGAAAUGCAUCAACUAAAGUAGAAGCCAAAACAACAUUUUGUCCAUUUGCCUCAUCAACUCAACCGUGUUAGAUAGAACACAAAUUGAAGAUGAUUAAAGGAUUGCUGAACAUUUUUUAUCAACUCAACAUUUUUUAUACUGUAAUUGUACUCUUACUACGAGCAAUCGAUGGUGCAACAAUAAAAGCAAAGGCACGUUAACACAAGUUGACUUAAUUGGUAAUGAUGAAGUGGUUUCUUAUAAAAAGUUGUGUAUUCGAAUCCUACUGUCGAUGUGAAAAUUGUAUUGAUAGAAGAUUGUAAAGAAUUCCUAUAAACAACUUGUGAUCCUAAAGCAUGCCUAACUCUGAUGGUGACCGAGUCGAAUUCACCCAAACUUUUCCUUAUAAAAAAUCGAAAAAAGGCACGUAUUGGCUUUGGAGUCCAUGAGUAGAAAGUUGAUAUUUCCCUCUCAAACCUCUUGCGUUUGCAUGCAUCAUUUUGGCAAGGUUUUGCAAUUAGAUUAAUAAACACACAUUCUUUAGCUCCAUCCACCUUUGAUAUUGAUGCAGAGCCUAUAAUUGAACAAAGCAUAAAGAGCAAAGAGUUUAACAUUUUAACAGAAACUGCAAAAUCUACGUUUAGCUUGUGUGUCAAAAACUGGUUUACGAAAAUUGAUUAAGGAUAUAUUGAAAGCACAUACGUUAUAUCCAACGUUGGAUUGAAAUCAUACAUGAAUUUUUUUCUUAGUACACCUAAUGUACCAUAUUUUGUCAUUUAAAAUGUAUCAUCACAUUUAUUGCCAGUUAGACAUUUUGCCAUUAAACUUUGUUUUGGAAAAAAAGAAUUAACACCUACAGCUCCUCUUAAAUCUAAAAUCGAAUGGACAUAUCCAACAUAUAUUGAUAAUUUCCCAACCAGCAAGGACACAUUUAUUUGUACUUGUUUUGUUACAACCUUGAGGCUUUUUUUCUUUUUUUACCCUCCAUCCCUCCUCAUAUCCUAAGCAGUCAAUCCUGAAUAAUAAAUCAUAGUUUAGAUGAAGAAUAAUUUGUCAACUUUUGGAAGAAAACUGUGAAACAAUGCCUCAUAUGAAAUCUUAACAUUGUUCUCAAAGUAUUGAUUUCAAUUUAUAGUUCUACAAAUUUGUACUAAAAAAAAGCUUCUAAGAGGAUUUUUUUUUCCCUAAUGCCAAAUACAUUUGACUAAUUAUUAUGUAAUCAAAAACUUGUGUUGUGCAUAGAUGUACAAAGACAUGAUAACGUAAAGAGUUGCAUUGACAAGCGUUGAGUAAGUGCAUAACUUUUACCCAUAUGAAAUAAGGAAAAAGAAAUAUAAUCACGCACAUAUACAAUAUAUGCAAAUGGUAGAGAUUUUGAAAUAACUUUGAGUUUUGUCAUAAAAUUAGGAAGAAUUUCAUUUUGGUUAUAUAUGAUAACGUGAAUUGGCUUUUUAAAACAACAGAAAAAAAAUUUGAAUUAGCUGAAAUGGAAACCAAGUCCAUGGUUUUUGCGCCCACUUCAUACUAGAUAAAAGAUAAAAAUGUAAAGGGAAAAUGAACAACAUUAAUAUUCAUAUACUUACUAUAUGAUUUCGUUUUUAUUUUUUUUCAGUAAUCAAGUAGUAACAAGAUAAUGAAUUAAUCUUGGUGAGUUUAUUUUGUAUUAUUAGAACUGAUGGUCAGACUCUCAUAAUUAUUCACAACAGUCAAAUUAAUUAAUAAUACUACGACGACGAAAAAAAUGUGAGUGUUGUUAAAAAAGAAUUAAUUUUUUUUAAAGGAGGUUAUUGCAUUCAAAAUAAUGGACAGAAAAAAAAGGUUGAAUAUACUUUGAACAAAAAAUUGUAAACGGAAUCUUUUGAUAUGACAUAAAGUGAAAAAAAAUUAUAUUCCCCUGCAAAAUAACUCUAACUUUAUAUAAACUCUGAUUAGAUAUUCCUAUUCAUAGUUCUUCAUUAUCUUUCUAUUUUGCCAAAAUCGAUUGUCAAACAAUAAAACCAUAAUUUGAUUUUCUCGUUUCUGUAUUGAUCCUCCUGGUGGAAAUAUAUUUUUGGAUUUUUCCUGUACAAAUCAGCUCCUCGUAAAUUUCUGAGGUUGUGAGCUGAUAUAGUAGCUGUUCAUAAAUUGAAUUUCUUUUUUAUUUUUCCUCUCAAUUUUGACUUGUUCAUAAUUUUGUAGAGGCCGUCGCCCCAAACACUACUAAGCAACAUGGUUACAUCAUUAAUCAUGAAUCUGUGACUAUAUCUAACUUCAUUUAUUCAUUUAAUUUUGGUAUAAAAAAGUUCCAAUGAAUUCGACUCCAUACCAUUCACCGCUCGCCAAAACAACGGUCAAGAUAUGCUCCGGAUCAUAGGCUCGAAUUAAAAUUACAUGUCACGUACAGUUCAACCAAACUUUAGGUGAUCACUUUGUCUGGUUUAGUAAAACACCUCAGUGUUUGUUAGAAAGGUUUUGUCAUCCAUGCAUCAAGAAACAGGAUAUUUUUAAUCAAUGUUCACUUCUCAAGUUACUCUGUUCAUGUCUCUUUGGGAUCCAAAUAGAAAAAAAUAUAUAUAUAUACAAUAAAAUAGGGGAAAAAUCAAAGAAAUCUUUGUCUUAGAUAUGGGUCAACCAUAUAUAAAUAAUACUAGUUUAAGGACUGGUGAUUAUCCUCAUAGACUAUUUCUUAUAGACAUGGAAGUAAAAUAAUGUGUAAAGGUGGCAGAAUCCUGAAGAGCACAUGGAACUGAGAUUCAAUGUAUAGAUUGAAAAAGAGUUUGGUCAAUGUGUCGAAAUAAAUUACAUUAUUAUAUUACAAAUUACAACUUAAUGCUUUACAACUAUAUAUAAGCAGGGAGCGAAGGAUCGGUUGAAUGGUUCAGCAGAGAGAAACGGUAAAUCAGAGAUUCCAAAUUCAAACCUUCUCACUUAUUAAAAAAAAAAAGACUUACGUCGAAGAUUUGAUCAGGAUCAGUCUAAUAGUAGACUAUCGUACAAGUAGAUGAAUUCUAAUUUAUUAACUUCACUUAAUUGUGAAAUAAUUUAUUUGUAGAUCAGUCUACAAUCUUACAUGGGAGGAUGGGAUGUUUUUUCAUUUUUUUUAUUUUUCAUGUCUAUUUUUCAAUUCUAUGUGGCCGUUUGAUGUGUAUUUGAAAAUAAAAUUGGUUGCCAACUUACAAUUUUAGUGACCUUCUAAAAUGGCUUGUUUACAAGAGAAAACAUACCUACCAAUACCAAAAAAAAAAAAGUAUUUAAACAAGAUUUUAAUUUCUUGUGGUAAAUUUUUAGUACACGGAAUUGAAAUUAUAUAUUUUCGUUCAAAGAAGUUGUCCUAAUCUUGUUGCUAGCAUUUAUGUCGAAGUUGAUUAAAUUAUUCAAACUUUGAAUUACAAUAAAUAUAGAUGCAGAUAAGAAGAACCUUUGCAGCCACAUUCACAUAGCAAUUAUUCAUCGACUACUCAAUAGAAAUUUAGCUGCUAAAAAUUUAAAAAAGUGUAGGAUAAGAUUCUUAAUUAAUUUUAUAUUUUCUGCUUGUUGCUGCCACGUUUAUGCUGUCAUAAUUCUUAAUAAAAGUCGUGGGACCAAAUAUUGAUGGCAACAUUUUCGUUGAACAUUUUUUUUUAGGACAUUUGAGGAAAUAUUUUUGGUAAAAUUAGUGCAAUUUUUUUGUAAAAAUAGUGUAAGUUUCAAAAUUUUACUUUUUUAAGGAAUAGACAAUAGAUUGUCACGAUAUUUAAAUUGCAUUUCUCCUUGCCAAUAUCAAAAUUUUUAUUUUUUUCAAGAAUUUACUUUCCAAGAACAAGAUAAAGAAUACAUUUUGCUCACUCAUUCGUGCAGUCCUAUUGAAGGAGUGGCAAGAAUAAAUGCAGCAACAACCGCUUCAGAUGAUGAAGGAUCAGAUUCUAUCUAGAAAAUUAAUGUAUGUAAAAUCAAAAGAUAAUUGAGAAUUAUAUUCAUAGAAAAUGUAAAAUUUUUUUGAGGAAACAUGUCAACCCAAAGAAAGCCUUACGAAGAAAUUAAUUUCGACAGCAGGAACUCACCUGUCGAGAUAUAAAAAUGUCUGGGGUAUUAUCCCUAGUCCCACUCCGAAGUUGAAGUCAGUUACGGAUCGAAAGUUAUAAAUAAACCAAUUGGAUUGGAGUCUUUGCAUAUCAUUUUCACAAAUAGUAGAAGGAUAUUUAUAGUAGAAAAACCUAUGAGAGGAAUAAUGAAUUCUACUCCUCAUCAACUGCAGUGUGACACUGUAGGACAGUGGUAUCAAAAGUAGGGCUGGACAGGAGGGCGGUGGUGGUCAUAUCAACCUGCCAUGUAUUAAUCAGUUUUGCCUGCGGGCGUCAUACGUCAAGGUGAGUGACCAUGCUCGAGAGUGAAAUCGAAUCGAUAAAUCGAAACAAUACUCGUCUCGAGAAGGUGAGGAUGAGAUGCAUGUUAGCGUUAAGGAGCCGAGGUAAUUCGAAAUAAUUAAGGACCUUUUGCACCUAUCUAAUUCGAAAUAAUUAAGGACCUUUUGCAUUUCGAAACUUUACUAAUGUUCAUUAUAUAUCGACCUAAAUUCCUAAGCACCGUUGUUAAAGAUUACAAUAGAAAAUUGCUUAAGUUUGGAACUGAAAACGUCUUUCAAUUUUCAUUCAACGCGCGCCAAAGCUUGUAACAUAUUUUUGCCAUUAAAAAUCAUAGUUGCAUUUUAUUUUCGGCAAUCUUGACACAGCAAUUCGACAAAAUCACCAAAAAAAAAAAAAAAAAAAACUCAUUUGAAUUCGGUAACCUUGUCGGUGACAUUUUUACCAUACCAUCAACUCUAAAGUAAUUGACUGUCAAUUAUUGCCGUCCGCUCCAAGUCCAAUAAGCAAUUAACAAACAAAUAAAGUCACCAACUCUGGGGGGGCUUGACAUUAAAAACACAUGUUCUCGCUGUUGAAAUGCAUUAAACUAACAGUAAAUUCAAGACAUAAAUAUUACAUUACCUGAUCCGAGAAUAGCUGAUAUCUGAAUAAAUCAUACACAUGGCACCGUGUCAUUUCCGUUAUGGAACAAAAUGACUAAACAAGAAAUCGGUAGCGUAUUAAAGAAAUGGUUUUGGUAGAAAAAAACAACUGAAAAGGACGCCUUUCACUUUCUACUUUCUGCUCGCCGUUCUUGAAUCCCAUAACUGGCGCAAGAAAAAAGAGCCAUUUAAUUUAAUCAGUUAGCUAUUAAUUAAAACUCUAAGGUUUGACGUAAAUAGAGUCAGAAAGAUAGAAAUUUUGUUGGGUUUUGAAGAAGAAGAAGAAGCAAAAUGGACAUGAGUAAUGGCAAUGGUGAUGGUGAUGUAAAGGAGUCUUUGUUGGCGGAGGGGAAGACUCAGCUGGGCGGAGCUGGGUGGCGCAGCCGGUUGUGCUCGUGAAUUCACUCAGGAAUGAGUUUAUCUCAAGGCUGCCUGAUAAGGUCAGGGGUUGUGUUGAUCUUGAGUCUUCUUCUCCUGUUGAUCUCUCCAAAGCCUCUGGCUUGACUCAAGGUUUGUUUCUUCUUUCUUUCUGGGAAUUUGAAAUCUGUAUCUUUGUGCUUCACUGCUUCUUUCAGAGUUCUUGAAGAAAGGUAAGUCCACAAACGGGGGGAAAAUGGAAACUUGGAUAUAUCUAAAGCUUAAAUACUUGGAAUUCAAAGCUGGAGAGAAUCUUUGGGAAUAGGAAUAAACUUUGGCUAAAACUUUAAGAUUUGUUAUGUGAUUGUAUGGCAAGAUUCCUGGGAAAGAAGAAAAUUUUCUAGGAAAGGGAAUAAGAAGAAAAAAGAUGCUAAUUUUGGAAUAAUGUGUGUCUGGUUGUGUGUUUACAGAAUUAGUCCAUGCAUCUUGUCGUAGAAGAUUUGAUUAGGCAUCGGAUUUGCAAGUUAUCCUUUUUCUUUUUCAGGUUUUUGUCUUUUGGUCUUUCGGUCAUAUCUAAAGUUUCAGAAUGGUGAAUUGAACUUUAUAAAACUGUUCUUUUGUAAAAAGCAAAAACUAGAAGGGGAAAAAGUGUUUGCGCUAAGAAAUUGCGCGACCAUAGUGAUGGAUUCUUAACACAAUCUUUGCCUAGACAGGAAUUAGUUGUUUUUCUAGUAGAUGAUAGAUUAGAUGGAUUCGAAUUCACUUUCUUUAUGGCUUUGCUUUUUCUUUUGGUCAUGACCUUGCUCUAAUGAUGAUUGUAGUGCCAAACAAUUUCAUAUUGCUUCAUGUCAGUUGAUGUCUUGUCUAGAGAUAAGAAGGUUAAACAAAUGGUUAAGGUUUAUAUACGUAUACUGAACUUGCCAGCAGUAGCAGAAAUUAUUGAAAAAGUGGAACUUGUGACAAAUCUUGAAAAGGGAUGACAAUGGGAAAAGAAUGGAAAAUCCUCAUACAAGCAUGAGUUACAGAUUCAGGAGGAGAGAUUAAAACCAAGGUAAAUCUGGAUGACCGUUAAUUGAGAGUCAAUGGCUUUCUGGUCUGAAUUGAGCUUCAGAUGCAUACCAAGCAUCUUGUCAUAAGAAUUCAUUAUGAAUAAGCUGAAUUUCCAUUUUCACUUGUCAUAAGUUCUUCCAAGCAUCUUUCUGUUCUCUCUUUUUCUUUCCUUGUAUGUUGGAUUACCCUAUGAACUUGGAGUAGAUGUCAUCACAAUGAUGGCAGAAUCUUGUGCCAUGGAAUCCGUUAACAUAAUCUGGCAGAAGGCCCUACAGAGGAAAUUAACUGAAAAGAAAAAACCGAAAGAUUUGCACUCUGCUUUUAGUAUCACUUUUGUCAACAGCUUGUCUUUUCUUUUAUUUUUUGCUUCUGCUUCCUUAUAUCUGGUCCUUUCCAUAAUCUGAGAACCCAAAAUGUAGGAGAAAAGGAUUACUAUGAGAGCCAAUUUGCCAACUUAAAAUCAUUUGAGGAGGUUGACGCUAUAGUGCAUCUGACAGACUUGAUGAGGAUGAUGUGGAAGAACAAUCCAAACAAGAACGAGCUAUGAAAUCUCUAACUAUGCAAAUAUUGUGCUGCUUCUAUUAAAGGUGACAUCUUGCUACUUAAUGAUGAACUUUGUCUGAAGUUACCUAGCACAAUGUAAAUCAUUUCCAAUGUCAGUCUCCAAUAGGAUUUCAAUUUUUGCAUUGGUUAAAAGGUGUUCAUUUAGGGCUUUAUGCUGUACAAUUUGCUGAUUGGCAUUUCAUUUCAAUUCAAAUGCUACAUGGCUGAAAUUAUUUGAAUUAAAAUGUCUAUCCUAAAUAAAUCUAUUUUGGAAGAACUUGUGAAGAAAUGUUGACAUUAUGUGUUAGAAUGGGUCGCAAUUUGUUUUGCACGUUUGGCUUGUGAUUUUUGGUGAUAGGAACUUUAUGCUUCUGAUUACUCCCUGGUCCGUCUUGGACUACAUAUCACCUAGAAGGAGUAUGGUACAAGCAUUAAUAUGAGAUCUCUAAGGGAUGAGAAAGUAUUCGUCAAGGCAAGGCUGGUGGGAGUUCUUUGAUGAGAAGUGAGAUUACCGUAGCAGGUGAUAGUGCACAGCAAGCAUGUGAAGCGAUGAGCCCCUUGCUUGAAGAGGAUUUAUCAUACUUAUGAUCUUUUCAAAGAUGUGAAGCGGACAUCUAAAUUGAUGUCUUAACCAGUGAGAGGGUGCCUUUGAUCCAAAUCAUUACAGCUCAAAUGUCAGUGCAACGAAACUUGGACUUUUAUCUACAUUGGGAAGGGCAAGCACCCUGAAGACUUCUCCUGAGGUCAAUGUGCUAUUGAAGCCUUAGCCAUAACUACCAAAGAAUGGUUCCAAACACUUUUGGACUUUCUUUUCCAGCAUCUCGACUUGUUUAAUUCUAUGACUAUUUGACCUUCCUUUCUGAUAAAGACAAAGAAAAGAAGUCUGUAAGUGAGAGUCCUAUUGCAGACAUCAUUCUGACAUCUUAUAUCCAACUCUUUUUUUCCCCCCAAUAUGCAAGGAAGUAAUGGUUGAUUAAUUUGUUCAACUACCAAUGGUGAAUCAAUAUUGUGCUUGUAUAAUACUCAAUAACUAGAUCAGGAUAUUAACACACUAUUUUUGACUUAUGUGGAAAUUCCUAAACACAACAGAAUAUCAACAUUAAUCAUGCACUCUGGGCAUUCAGUAUUUUUUCUUCUAAUCUCAGCAGUUCCUUCUGCUACUACCUGCAGAUUUUGCUAGUACUUGUAAUUUCUGAUCACUACCUAAUUGUCUCCAAAAGGCUCCUAUCCUUAUGAUUAAUACCAGCUUCUCUUUAACAAAGAUGAAUUUUCUUUACUUGCAUAAUGCCAGUGGUUCGUGUAGGAGCACCUGGUGCUGGAAGUCAAGCACAUGCCUGUUGCGGGAUUUGGUUUUUGUUCGUAAUAAAGUAGGAGUACUGAAGGUUCAUUUAUUUGACCUAAGACCUGUAAAUGCAUCCAGAAGUCCACUUAAGCCAUUUGUCUCUUGCAAUGCAUAAAGGGAUGGAGGUUGCAAACAUGAAUACUUCCAUUGUCUUUGUCGGGUUUCAAGAACAAAAGGAGCUUAUUAUCUAUUCUGUAAAAUAAAAUUGUCUUGAUUGUCUAUUUUGCAGGCUUUGUUCCAUAAGGUCUUGAGAUAAUAUGAUGUUGUUGGAACUAUAUCUGACACAAACACAAUUACAGAUAUAUGCAACUGUGGAGAGUCGGUCCCUGGCAAUUGCUGCAUCAACACUUGAUUCAUUGCUCGAUCUGAUGGCUGGUGGCAUACUGUGGCUAACUCACCUGUCUAUGAAGAGCAUAAACAUUUACAAGUAUCCCAUUGGCAAAUUGAGGGUCCAGCCUGUGGGCAUAAUUAUUUUUGCUGCCAUCAUGGCAACACUUGGUACGUCCUCAUCUAACUUUCCUUUAUAUCGUUCAUGACUCACGAGGUUCAUGUUGCUGUUAUAAUUCCUCCCAGUUGGUCAGUUGAAGCUCUAAGAUUCCAUAGAAAAACGAGGAGCAACCAAGAAAAAAUUAACGCUAAUAUCUUUAUGAAUAUCAUUGCAUUAAAUUCACUCAUUAAAGUAAUAAUAAACAAGAGUUUCAUGUUUAAUACAUUUCAUUGAGGUUAUCCUUGUGAAAUCAUGUUGUGUAUUUGGUUAUAGGUUUUCAGGUGUUGGUCCAGGCUGUAGAACAACUAGUUGAAGAUAAACCUUCUGCAAAGAUGACCACGAUCAGCUAGUGUGGUUGUACUCUAUCAUGAUAACUGCCACUGUAGUGAAACUUGCUCUCUGGGUUUACUGCAAAAGCUCUAGAAAUGAGAUUGUCCGUGCAUAUGCGAAGGUAUUUAAACUGUCUUUGACUGUACUUUCUUUUCUUUUGAGCAAAUUCCCUGACUUGUUUGAGUACCACUUUUCAGGACCACUAUUUUGAUGUGGUAACAAAUGUGGUAGGACUGGUUGCAGCUACUUGGUGAUACGUUCUACUGGUGGAUUGAUCCUGCUGGUGCCAUUGUUCUUGCUCUUUAUACAAUCACCAAUUGGUCUGGGACUGUACUAGAAAAUGCUGGUAGACUGUCUAACGAAUUUCUCCUACUUAAGACGCAUUUUUCUUCUGUGCCACCUGUAGAAUAAGAUAGAAAUGUUAGCUUUAGUAUAGUUGAAUUCAAACACCCACAAUUCAUUGAUAUUCUUUGUUAGCAAAAGAACUAUCACUGGACAAGCAAGUGAUAGUCAUUGUCACUCAUCCUUCUUAGCUUCUUGGACUUUUGUUUCUUGUACGAGGGUAGCCAACUCUAGAAAGUUAGAAUCUAGAGAUCAUCCUUGCAAGUAAUUUUAUUGCUUAUUAUAAUCUAUUAUUUAUCUAUGGUGAGCAAUGUAUCCCCUUCCAUAGGAAAUGACUCUUUGAUGAGAUCAUUUGAGUAAAAAUUUUGCAGCACUGUCUGUUAUUCCAGAUGUUGAGAGUGAAAAUUGAACUGUUUAGUCAAUAUCACUCUGAACAUGUUUUUUGAGAAGAAAUCCUUACCUGAUAUGGGGUUUCUUAAUGCAGUGUCACUAGUGGGACAAUCUGCCCCUCCUGAAAUGCUGCAGAAGUUGACAUACCUUUCCCUCAGACAUCCUCAAGUGAAGCGGAUUGACACUGUCCGGGCAUACACUUUUGGCGCCCUGUACUUUGUUGAGGUUGGUCAUUUACAAGUCAUCUCGCAUUGUGAACUAGCUUCAUUGGUUUUGUAAUUUCCUUUGUCCUCCAGAUUAAUUUUGUCGAAUCUUUUGUCUGCCUGUUGAUGAAAACAGGUUGACAUUGAACUCCCGGAAGAUUUGCCAUUGAAGGAGGCACAUACGAUUGGGGAGACCCUGCAAAUCAAGCUUGAGAAACUUCCUGAAGUUGAACGUGCGUUUGUCCAUCUUGACUUUGAAUGUACACACAAACCUGAGCACUCUAUUCUCAGCAGGCCCCAGCACCGACCCGUGAAUUUUCAGUUCGUGAAGUUAAUCAGGGACAGGUCCUUUGGAAAGAUCAAUAGUAGCUUUAGAAUCAUCAAAAUAGCGUUCUGGUUGAGUGUCAAGGAUCUUUCAAACAUUGUGAAAGAUGUUUUGGGCUGAAAGCGUGAUUUGAAUUUUUUCAUCGGAGUCGCAGCAAAUGGCUUUAUAACUAGAAAAAUUCCCGGCUUGAAACAUGGUUUUUUAAAGUGGAAAUGGCAGGCAAUGCAGGUCCUGCCUUUCUCUUUCCAUCUAGAUCUCUACCAUAGCAGUUUUGCUUCGAUAGCUGGCCAUAUUGAAAGAGAAUCUUGUACAAUGAGUUGGCUACCAAAACCCGGAAUCAGAAUCUUGAUAGUCUUGAAUUGAGCUUGCAAUACUUUUUUUUUCGGAUACGAUAAAUUAUAUUCUAGACCUACUCUUACACCAAAGGGAAAGAGUGGACCCAAGAAGGUCAAUGAGGAACUCGGAGGGGAUUGAACAACCAUCAAAUUAGAAGGGUGUCUUUGUAUCUGCUAGUGAAAUUUUCACAAAAUUUUGAAUAAGAAUGCAAGUCAAGGGAUUCGAUCCUUUAACCUACAUCUAAGGUCAAUUACUUCUAAAGUAGUUGGUUUGGAACUUGCAAUACUCUUCAUGCUUUCUCUCAACAUUAAUAGUUACCUAUCCUGGAUUACUUUUGGAUUGUGAUUUUUUGCAGAAAAAUUUUAUAUUUUUUGUGAACAUAUUUUUCAAUCAUUUUUUUACUUCACAUGCAUUAAAUAAUUAUAGUACAUUCUUCUACAAAAAGUCCUAAAAACAGCAAUCGAAACGGUAAAUUCUGAGGUAAAGCUACAUGCCGACAAGAUUUAGUCAUUUAGAUCGAUAGAAAUGUCAGUCACUUUCAAAACUCAAUGACUGCUAUUUCCUUCUCCAAUAUCGAAAGCGUGUCCAUUUACGUUAUUGAAAGGUCACAACUCUAAGCCCAUAAGCAAGGAAGGCGUGGUUUGAGGCGUUGUUCAGAAAUAGCGCCUUCAAGUUGGUUAGGCAGGAAUCAACAUUCCAGAAUAAGCUUGGGGCUAUUCAAGUGAAGAAAGUAUAUAAAUCACUAAGAAAAAUAUCCCCAAAUUCAUGGAGCCCUUCAUUCAGAACAUGGAUAUGUACAUACGUAUUAAAGCACGAAACCUAAAGCUUGGAAGACGGAUUGUUGCUUUCCUCCCUGGCAAUUGCUGCAUCAACACCUAUGUUUUCAGAACCGGACUGGAUAGCGACUCGGCCGAGGUCAGGGGUCAGGGGUCAAUGGGUUUGAUCGGGGGUCGAUAGGGGUCGAACCGGAUGAUGUCAUAAAUAAAAUUAUUUAAAAAUUAAAAUAUUAUAUAUAUAAUAUUUAAUAAUAUGUUGAUAUUAAUAAAGGUAUAUUCAUAUAUAUUUGAUGUUUCAAAUAUAUUUAAUAAGAAAAUACAAAGAAAUUAGAACAAUCAAGUAGCAAUUUAUAUUAUUUAAUAAAUAUUAUAAGUUUAGAAUUAAAAUUAUGAAUUAAAUUGAAAAAUAACAUCAAAUUUUAGGAUAAUAUUUAUAAAGUAUCAAAUAUUUGAGGUAUAUCAAUAAGUUUUAAUAAUUUAGGGGGUCAAAACAUAAUAUUAAAAAUUUUGAAUUUUUUUUAAAAAAAAACACUGUUGAACCGGAAAAAUCGGGUUUUUUCCGGUCAAAUCCGGUUUUUGACCGACUUUGACCGGGUUUUAAAUUCCCGAUUUUUUAGUAUGACUCGGACCGACUAUCUGGCCGGUUCUCGGUUCAACCGGUUCGACCGGCCGAUCCGGUCCGAGUUUCAAAACAGAGAUCAACACUUGAUUCAUUGCUCGAUCUGAUGGCUGGUGGCAUACUGUGGCUAACUCACCUGUCUACGAAGAGCAUAAACAUUUACAAGUAUCCCAUUGGCAAAUUGAGGGUCCAGCCUGUGGGCAUAAUUGAAACCAUCAAUGUUUGUUGGGCAAAAUUUGAAGGAGUCCGACAUUUUUUAAUGGGUGGCCCACCCAUUACACGGCCACAAUGGGUGGCCGUGUAACCAACCCAUCAUUACACCCCUUAUGCAACUCCGUUGGAGUUGCUCUAAGAGAUACUUGAGACUUCAUACUUUCUUGUUUUUAUUUUGUGAAUAGUUACUUUAUAUAAACUGAUUCAUCAUUGUCAAUAAGCUUUACUUAUAUACACAAUGAACUUUAUCUUGUUGUUUUGUUGUUCUUUACUUACGUACCCCUAUUAGUUUUUUUUCUAAUAUAAUUUAAUUAAGAAUAAAGGAAACAAGAAUAAUAUAUGUUUUUUUGUAGAAAAGGAACUAAUUGGUUGUUUUCUUUACAGCUUUAAUAACAAUUAGUUAAAUGCAAGAAAAAAUAAAUUAUUAAAGGCACUAAUUGGUUUUUUCCUUGAAACUUUAGUAACAAUUAGCUAAAUGUUAAAAAAAUUAUUCCAUAGGAAAUAGAAAAAAAGAAAAUUUUUAUGUAAGCAAAUGCUAGAUGGAAACAAUUCUAGUUCUUAUUGAAUUCUUCUCUCAUUCAAACAAAGAAUUUGGAAUUUUAAAUGAAUUGUGUAUCAAUUCUGUGCAUUUCCCAAACAAAAGAAUUCCAAUAUAUUGAAAUUCCAAUUCCUAGAAUUAUAAUUCUAUAGAAUUCCAAUUCCAAUUCCAAUUCUGUAGAACAAAACGCACCCUAAGAAAAAUAUCCCCAAAUUCAUGGAGCCCUUCAUUCAGAACAUGGAUAUGUACAUAUGUAUUAAAGCACGAAACCUAAAGCUUGGAAGAUGGUUUGCUGCUUUCCUCCCUUAGCUGCAGUUCGAGAUGAUCAUGUUCUUCCCUCCUGCCUUGAUGACUUCUUUUACCCCUUUCGUUGCUUUCAUUUCCUACCUCCAUUUUGUCAUUCAGUUCAUCAGGAUCGAGUAUUUGCAUAGGAAACAAUAUUGAAAUGGUUAUUCUGGGAAGAAACUCCUUAAAGCAACUAUUUGUAGUUUCCAAGGCUACUACAUCUUGCAAGAACCAAACAGAAUUUGAAUGCUAUGGUGACUGGAGCUUGCCUUACUAUUAACAAAACGAAUACGAACAGGAAUAACACACUCUUUCCAAUUUUUUUGGGUGCAAGUCAUUGAUAACAAUAUUGUAGCCAGUUAUGCAGAUUUAUCCAAAUAGCUGGUUGAAUAAAUAAGAAUUAUGGAUCCCAAAACCCCUUAAUCAUACCAUGCUUUUGCUCAUAGCAAUUAAACCAACCUUUUCUCUGGCUUUGCCUGGAGGAUGCUGCUUCUUCUGUGGUCCGGUUUCCACUUUAAGUGCAUAUGCUGGACAGUAUAACUCUCCCUGUCCCACUUCAUCUGCUGAUGAAGAUUCAGAAUUCCUCUUGGCUUCUGUCAUUUCUAUCUUUGCUUUUCUUUUUCUGUAUUCCUUGCAUAAAAACUACCAUGAAAAAUGGUUGCACGAGAAAGUCUUAUUAUAACACUUGUUUCUGAAUUUCAAACGGUGCAAACAUUAGCAUGCGGACUCAUCCCUUGCUGACAGCACCUGUCCAUUUUUUUCUCUGCUGCAUGCUAUAUUGGAUUUUGUCUAUUAGGUCUUUUCUCUUCUCUUGGGUUCUUUUUGGCUCUAGAACCUUAUGGUGAGUACUGGUUAUUGCUAAAAAUAGAGAAAAUUUGAUAUGGUCCUGGCCCUUUAUAUUCUACCAGUCAUGCUCGAAUGAUUAUUUAAGGGGUUUGACAAACUGGAAUUCUGGUCUCAACAAUUGACUUGAAAAAAGAAAAAAGAAUUCUAACAAAGAGAAGUGAAAUGUAAGAAGUUGCAGGAAAGAACAAGGAUUUGAACUUAGGAGUAAGAAGCUCAGAGGAGGAGAAUUUGAACUCAAGAUCUCUAAUUCCUGAGACCUAACCUCAACAAAUGACUUUCUGAACUGCUAGUAUUAAAAAUUUAUUCAAGACAAGUAAGAAUUUAUUCAAGACAUUUUCCUAGCACCAGUUGCAAUGUGUGAGCUACAGAGACCAAUUGCCUCUCUACCUUAACUACAACAUCCUCAAUUUAAAAAAAAAAUUUGUUUCUUGAUAAUCAUCCUCAAGAAUAAACUUAAAAUGGACUUGAGCAUUAUCGGGAGUUUGGUAUAUUAAAAAAAAAAAAAAUCGAUGUUCAGAUUGCAGUACACUCUCAUAGUGAUCUUUGACUGUCCACAUCCCUGCCCAAAUGUUUGUGCAAAGUAAAAAUGUUUUGAUUUUUCAUAUAGAAUGAUACUUAAGAUAGCAAAAGUCACUGUGGCUGAUCUAGAAAGCUUACAAAGCUUAAUAACAAGAGGCAGUCUACAGCCUGCAGCAAUUUUAGAAACUAAAAGACACAUCUCUACAUUUAUGAAAAGCCUCAGGAAAGAUCAGUUUAUUUACACCGACCAAAACUAAAUGUAAAGCCAAAACUGUAGCAAAAUCGGGAUACACAGGAGAGAACAUAUAGUUUCUCAAGAGGUCAUGUUCAAAGUGCAACAACCAAUAUCUACUCUAUCCACAGCCGUUGCCCUCAGUUGUGUGCCAUUCCACCAACUUGUUACUCUGUAAUUCCACUGUUAACUGCAUUACAAGUUCAUGCCUUUGAGAGUAAACGAAGAGGCAAGAAAAUUGAUAAUUGGAAGAAGAACAAGGAAAAGAAAAACGGACACACGGUUUAAGUAAAGAAAGUGUAAAGCCACUGAAUGAAAAAGACAAUAGUUGAUGAGCAGGGUUAAAAUAUAACAACUGAUGGAAAACGUGAAAAAAAAAAAAAGAAUGAUUGAAACAGAAGUUACCUAAGAGUUCGGCAAUAAGCGACCAUUAUACAUCUUGUCAAGCAGUUGUUUAGCAUCUGGCCUUCUGAGCAGACCUUUGUUGUUGGGCAAACCAGUCCCUAAACAUACAGGACACACAAGUUUCCCUCUACCUGCAAUGAAGUAUCGAAUAUCAAAGCUUAACCAAUGUUGACACUGUUUUGGAUCAGUACUCUUCUGUACAUCUCAAAACCACUACCACUUUAAUAUAUUUGUCACUCAGGAACCUGUUCUCUGUAACUUGGGACUCGAUCUACGCUGUGUUUUUAUGCAACCAUACAAGUGUAAAGCAUGUACGUGCAUGUGUAUAUAGAUACCUUUUUUUUUUCUUGUAUACGGAUAUCUGUUUUACAUUGAAAAGCAACUUUCUCUAUGACAUGUCAGUAUAGGAGGAUGGUAGUGGACUCUGAAAGCCACCAUAAAUGUACAAUAUAAUCUCUAUUGAUUAUGUAGAUUUUGGUUUGCAAAUGGAAGAUGUAAAUUGCUGGAAAACAAUUCAAGGAGAUAUUCCUUCAAAAUCACCAUUUUAAGGUGGUGAAACAUUGAUCACAAACAACCAUGUUCACCAAACAGCUAACUUGUCUCUCCAUGGCUAGUGGGUAAUGUCAUAUUAGUGUAACUGCAUAGUAAUAACCAUUCUACCAAGUAACUCCCUGACGCAAAUGUUGUUUUUGUAAUCUGUUGUAGUUCAAUUCUAGUAAAAUCUUUCAUUGUAAUUACAGGAUUGGGUUUUCCUCAUCAAUCUUCUGAGGAACAAUUCUAAAAAAUUUCCAUUGAGGGUUUAAUAUAGACCAGCAUUGUUCUAUUCUCAUAACAAUUUCUUUUUCCUUUUUUAACAUAAGUGUCCAAUUUAUUGGUUCAGUAUCAACGAAACCAGUAUAUGCAGACAUGAACCACUCGUCAGCAAAUCCAUCUUCCAAAACACGACCUAAAAGUAGUCGAAAGACAAGAGAAACAUAUUCCAAAUUCAGGCUUCACUUUUACUAGAAGUCAAAGUUCCAAUAUUUGGGUGUUCUCCUGAAAGUGUGAUCAAGAACAUCAAAAGGUACAGAAACCUGCCUGCCUCACAUAUUCGAAAUGCAAAUCUAGUAAAACAAAACAAAUCAUUUUGAUGUAAAGUAAUAAGGGAUAAAAAUAUCCUGCUGAAUGACUGAAACUUUCUGAACUCAUAUGCAAAAAUGUCUAGCAUCAUUUCUGGUAGCUUUCUUUCAAGAUAACAUGUAAUAUAGUAAAUAAUCAGUAACAUAAUGCCAUCUUUACACAGAUAUAAUGCAGUGAGGCUACUAAAGUUAAGUGCCCUAACUGGCUUAUAGCACAGAAGUUUUCAUGGAAAUCAAGAAUUUAUGAGUAGUGAAAAUUUGCAUACCAUAACAAUUGGGACACUCAGUGAACUCGUAAACAUCUUUCGCCCGUUUUCUGUUGAGAGCUUUCCAUUUUCCUGUACCACCACACAUAUCACCUAAAUAAAAAGCAACAACCAUCUUAUAGGUACAUAUUGUCAACAUGAAACCAAUUAUAACUUAUAUUUGCAACAAUAACGUAUCUGUUUCAUUGACGGCGCUGUAUAUAAGGCAUUUGACUAUGAUUAAUACAAUAUACUUGAGACAUAGAAAAGUAAUGCAGGAAUCAUAUAUUUGAAAUAUUUGCAGAAGAUUACAAAGAAUUGUAAUACAAAACCAAAUUUAGUUUUAAAUGUACCCUGUCAAUGUUAACUGAUACAUGUAUGGCAUAAUAGAGUAUGAUACUCUACAUGCAGCCCUAGAGAAAAAGACUUGAACAUAGUCGGUGGAGGUGAAAUGAACAUGUAGGCAACAAAAUAUAUGCAUCAUGUCAAGUGUCAAAUGAGCAUUGUCUUUGUAAACAAAGAGGUUCAUCUUCACAGCUCAGCCCAGUUGCAUUUCCAUAGUUCAGUAAACCAUAUGUGUUUUGUAUAUUGAGCCAUAUCUAGGAUAUGGUCUUUUGAAUUUUGAUGAAAAAUAAUUACCAAGAGGUUUGUGUUGCUAUUACAGCUUAUGUACAAAGAACCUUAGGUAAUGAAGAUUCAUUUAAUAUAAGGAACUGAAGAAAAGUAGCUUUAGUGUCAUAAGAGCUUUGCUAGCAUCAAGUCACUGAACUUCUAUCCUGGCUUUUAUUAUUUAAACUACAUUUUCUACCAAAGAAGGAUGAAUGGAAUAUUCAACCCUGCCACUAGGACAAGCUUGGCAUGAUUCUAUAAUUGUAGUCAUAGGAAGUGAAUUAAUCCCGUUGAUCAGUGAAAAAUAGUCUCUUUUUAUGUUUUUCUUUAUAUCUCAUUGUAAUUGACAAACACUAAGCAUUUUGCCUUCGUGAGUUAUAAGUUUACAAGCAUCCCUUUAAAUGACAUUACAUAGUAAAGAAGAAAUGAAGUGAGGACCCCCAAUAUCUAAGAUUGACCAAGCUAUCAUUUAUCAGAACAGAGAUUGUUAUCAUGCAUUAUGGUGGUUCCUGUUAUCACUUAAAGUCAUCUUGACCACAGGCUAAUAUAUAUGCUUCAUGAAAAUAAUGAAACUUUGUCCACGGAAUUCGAUAAAUCAAAGAAUCGAGUGGACAGUCAAACUCCAUCUAUGCCUUAGACUUCUAACAGUUUUGGAUCUACAAAAUGAAUUAUACAGAAUGUAAACAAAAAGAAGACAAGAGACAAAGAGAACAAAUAGCGAAUUUCUAAACUUACAAACGACUGCUCCGCUACCCCACAAUUCCGACAAACAGCUCGCUCCUUUGCUUCUGAAGCAAUUGCCUUAGGUUCAGAAACAGAACUGCUAGAAAUGUUUAUCAGUGCUACUGUUGAACAUAAACAAGUCAGACACAAGCGUCGUGAAAUUGAUGUUUCCAAACCCUGUUUCAGAAGAAACAACCAUCCCAGCUGUAAUUGUUGUACAAUAUAACCCAUCGAUAAUUUUAGCAGCAUAGACAUACAAGUUUCUAAUUCACAUAAACAUUGUCAUUAAGAAAUUUAAAAUCAUCAUUCUUUGGUACAACUAAACUACAAAUAUGUCUACUGAUGUGUGCCUAUUGUAUUCAUAUAAGUUCAGGUUCAAAGGGCUCAAGCAUUCGACAUUUGCAGAUAACUAAAGUCUUACAACAAUGUUGCAUAGGUGCAUAGAUGUAAAACUAAAGAGCAUAAGCCAUAAUUAGCUUUUGAGCUCCUUGGAAACAACUAAGACUCUAUCAGAGAUUAACAAAGAAAUUAAUUUUCAGACAGGAAUAGUUGAUACCACAACUGUAUCAGAGCUCAUGUGGCAUUUCCCUGAUGAAAGUUCUACUCAUCUUCAUUACAGAUAAUUAAAUUCACCCAAAAAAUUCAAAAUUCACAGACGAGCAUUUUCCAUUUCGUAAAACUGUGCAAGGUAUUGAGAAGUUUCAUAUAGCUUCAACAAUUUGUUGACUGCAGUCUGUCUAAAACUGUCAAUGAUCACAUAAGAAACUCAAUAAAGUACAAACCGAAUAAGAAAAAGGAUUAAAGAAAGGGGCAGACCACUUUAUCACUGGGUUGUGAUGAAUGGUCUGAGGGUGAGCAAUUCUCAUCACCCAAGCUGCAUCUCAAAUUAAACCUGGCUGGCUCCAAUUUGGCUGCAAUCCCACAUCACAAAAUCAAUUCUUUAAUCCAAAAACCGGGGGUUUGGGAGUGGGGGGCACACCCAUUAUAUUUCAAAUUUUGGGUUUUCUUUAUCUAGUUUGAACAACGAAAGAAAUAUGAAAAAUGAAGUUAAUUGUGCAAAGAAAUUCUAGUAACCAAAAAACAGUAGAAAGAGUAUAAAAACAUCAGCUUUAUGCAGUUCUGUGGGAUAUAAUUUGAUAAUCAGCAAAAACCAAAAGUUGAAACCAGUAAGCUAAAACUUUUAAAUUGCUUCAUACCAGUGCAAGAGCUAAAUAGAGAAAGAUAAAGAAAGAUACGAGGAAAACACUUGUAAAUUAUGCAGUUAUCUUAUCUGUCUAUCUUCUAUGUAAGCUAUAGCUGCUCUAAAACAUGAAUGUAUGUAAAAGAAACCAUAGAGAUAAAGAAGAGAGGGAGAAUCUGACAAUGGGUUGGGGAAGAUUUGAAGCGUGGUGAAGAGAAGAGCGGGAAAGCUGAGGCCACCGUUGCAGAAUAAUGGGAAAACAGUUGAGACGCCAUUUCUGCUCUGUUACACUCUCGCUCUCCGGGUGUGGAGGAUAUUGCCAAUUUAUGGUAUUCCUUUAUUGCUUCUUUCUUUCUUUUUUUUCCUUUUCUUUUUUGUGUGAAUUUGGGUAAAUUGAUACAAUGGGCUCUCAAUUUUUUUUUUUUAAUGACUUCAAUUUAGUUACUCAGGUAAUAUUAUAAACCUUACCAAAUUUGUAAUAAAUCCCAUGAGUAAAUAUUUCAUGCAUUGACAAUAUACACACUUGUGCAUCCAAUUGCAUUUCCAACAUGUAAAAUUUGUUGUUUAAAUUUAAGUUUAGAUGAGGUGACAUGCAUUUAUAUACACAAUUGCAUAGCUAUUGCAUUCCCAACAUGCAAAGUUUGUUGUUUAAAUCUAAGUCUGGAUGAUAUGACAUGUAUUCAGAUCAAGGUUUUCAAAAUCAGAAUCCUACCUAGGAUCGUUUUUUGGUUAGCAAAAUCGAAUCGUAGAAUCGGUAGACCCUACAAAAAAAUGUAAUAAAUUGUCAUAUUUAUAAUUUUUAAGUUUGCAAAUCAUAAAUAUAGUGACAAAUAAUGUAAUUCAUGUGCAAUCAAUAAAAUUAUAUUGCUAAUUAAGGUUAAAAUUGUGCUAUAUAAAGUAUUUCGGACAAUUUGAAAAAUAUAGAGAAAUUUGGAACUACUUAUAAUAAAUUGAUUAAACUAAACAACUUGUUCUUUCUUGUUGUAAACCCAAAUUCAAUUAUGGAACAAUAUACAUGGAAAAGUUGACUUUAUAUGUGUAUAAAUCAUCUUAUUAACAAAAUAGUUAAGCACAAUACAUUUAGUUAACUAUGAUUUAGUGAUUGAUUAUUACAUCAUUUUUUUAUAUAAUAGGAUAAUUAAAUAUUACAUAUAUAAUAAAAUGUUUCAAAUAUAUUUUAAUUGAUAGAAAAAUUGGUAUACAAUAAAUAAUUAAUUAAAGAAAAUUUUGAGAAUAGAAUUUUUUGCUAAAAAACGUGUAUUUUGGGUUCAAAUUUAUAAUCUACCACUUAGCCACUUAUAAUUAGCAAAAGUAUUAAUUCAUUUCUAUAGACUCUAAACCAUAUUAAUUUAUUAUAAUAAAGACACAAAACACUAGCUCCAUGUGAUAACCUAUAACAAAGAUCAUCUAUUCACUUUAGUGAAUUAUAUGAGUCAAAUUUAAAGAUUCAUCAAAUUUUCUAGGUUCGGAAUUGGGGUUAGUUAUUUACAUAGAUUUGAAGCACUUUGACUAUAGUUUACAACGUAACAAACAGCACUCAAUUUCGACUUUUCUACACAAAGAUAUGGUCAAAAUACUAAAAUUGUUACUUAAUUUAUUAGAAAGUUUAAUCCAUAUAGUAUAUAAUAAUUCAAGUUUAAGAAUUAGUUAUAGAGUUUAAGAAUUAGUUAGUGUGAUGUGGCAUGCAUUUAGACCUAUCACUCUAUAUAGAAAGAUUAAUCAUUUAGACCUAUCACUCUUUAUAGAAAGAUUAAUCAUAAUAUGUAAUAAUUCAAAAAUUAAUUAUGUGAAAAGUCACCAAGUUCUUUCUUUCAUUUUGUAGAUAAUUUUAGCUAUAAUAAUGUAGGCAAAUUUUCAGCCUUCACGUAUGGUUAAAAAUCCAUGAAUUCACCAUUCUUAUAAAUAGGAUUUGGGAUGAUCUUGUAAGAAGUCAGGAUCCUCGGGUUGGUUUUAGUUUGGUGUCUUGAGUUUUGGUCCUUUAGAUUGUGAUAACUUGGUGUAAUAUUUUACAUUAAAAUUGUGAGCUUUGACUAACACUGUGGGGUAUCCGGACCACCCCACUAAUCCCGCACAUCACCCAGACAGAGCGGACCCGACCGAUACCUAAGAAUUCAUCAGUUGGGUUGCAGACUGGAAUCGAACCCAGGCGGACUUGGAGUAACUACCCCGCCUCUACCAUCCGAACAAUCCAGCGCGGGCUCUGGACUCACUACUUGAGAAACUCAAUAUGAUGAAAGUUUUGCAUAAAGUUUAUUGGAAUGAAAAUUGGAGCCACUAAGUCGACUAGAAGGGAGAAGGGAAAAUGUAGAUGUCGUGAAAACAUACAUGCCUACACAACCACAGAAAUGUGUAAUAAAAACUGCCUAAGCUAUCUCCAUAAUGGAACCAUUAAGUGCUCAACAAAGUUUACAUGAACACCCACAAAAAAAACACGUGGCCAAAUUUAUCAUUUGCCAUACUUUCUAGGCUGAUAACUCUUCCAUAUUCCAGAACUAAAACAAAAAAAAGCAUUACAUGACAAAGAAACAGAAGGAGAGGUAGCCACUCUUUAGUCCAAUUGCUUUAACACACAAAUCAAACUACCUGUAAUAAGACCAUUAUUAUUCCAAGGCACGAGGAAUUGUUACCAAUUUUUGUAAGAAAAAAUUGCAGUCAUUACGAGAUGUGUAAAAUGAACGUCCAGCAAUAUUUGACCAAAACAAGCAGAAUUAAAUAAGUUUUGCCAAUCUAUUUUUCCCUCUUUUAGGGACCUCCCAAAAAGUUCAUUCACAAAAAGGUAAAUGUAAGUGUAACAAUUAUAAGACCGCACGUAAAUUCAGAAUACCAACCUAUCUGACAUCAUCAACUGCAUGUGAUCUUCACAAAAUGCUGGCAAACCUUUUCUCCAAGGCAUCUUGCAAAGCAAGAAAGCACCCCCAAAAUCAUGAAGCAGCAAAGGAAUCAAGCUGCAAAACAAAAGACUCCCUUAUACCUACGAAUUAAAGCAUAGUCCACUCCAACAAGAAAUAAAAACAAUAAUGAGCUGAAAUACUGCAAUCUAUCUUCGCAGGAGCCAUAGACCAGCUUAGAGGUAGAGUGACUAUUGCUUACAUGAACUUCAAUCUAUGAGGCCUCAAAUUACAAAACCACUUUUUGGUACUGUUUCAACUGAUUUGAUUUGUACUUCUAUGCCAAGGAUUGCCCAAAUCUUCAGUUCAAGCAUAUGGGUAUGCUUUAUACAAUUCAUUGAUUUGUAAGCUUCAAAUAAUCAUUUCUAGAAGCAAGUCCUUUCACUCUAUUUUUUCAUUCAAGAAAUAUGUCUGUGAUUCACUCCCAGAUCUAACUCUCUCAAAAGAAUGGCACAGUCCUUUUCGCAUUCUUUGUCAUUGAACCAACUGCAUUUUUCCCACAAUCCCAAUUCACUGAUUAGCUGCAACAAAAACAUCCUUCAAUAACUCCAAAUGUUACCUUCUUAAACCAGGGAAAAAAAUACAAUUAAGGCGUUAAAUCAUCAUUUCAUAGACGUUUAAGGAUACAAGUCAGUGAAGGGGAGAAAAGAAGUAAGGUGUCUAAAUUUUUUUUUUUUAAAAAAAGGACCAACAAAAACAGCAGAAGGGACUGAAAUACAAAUUUAAGUGAAUGAAGCCAUUCUGUUAUGCAAUGAUUUUAGAAAAGAGGAACAAGACUCCAACUCAAACAUAAAAUCCUAUCAAGAGAGGGAAAGAAAAUGAAAUAAAAAAAUAAUCAUCUUAUAAAUGGAAUUCUUAUUUUUUUUUAAAAAAAAAAAGCAGCAGCAAAGACAAUCAGACUCUCAACAUAUCAUUUCCAACAACUUACCACCAUAAUAGACUCAGAACAGCUUCUAUGUACAAUUUUAAUUUACUCCAUCUUAAAAACUGCCUGAAAGUAUAGAUUUGCUCAAUCCAAGUAAAGUCAUGGGCUUAUCCCCAUCCAGCUAGCCACAAUGCAUCUUCAUUUGCUAAACAUCUUAAGAGUAUCCAUGCUUCUAUGAAUUGAGCUACAAAUCCUCCAAUUUUUUGUCCAUCUCAAUAAUGCAAACAGAUCAUUUAUCAUGUGAAGUUGUCCAUUUAGCCUAUCAGCAAAACCUCCACUUACUACAACUGAGCAAAAUUACUAUUUUGUUUAAAUUUAGAAAAUAUAUGAAGGAAAAAGAAGAAGGGAAUUCUUAACGUUCCAUUAUUGCUGAAAGUCAUAGCCUUCCGCCACACCAUAUCUCUUCUUUUUUAUUAAAUUUCAUUUUCAUCCAUUAACAUCCCUAAUCCUACCUUCCAAACUGGCUUUUUGGGACUUGUAGCAUAUAAUGUGAACCAAACAAUAUAAAAGAAAGAAUUGAGUUAUAAAUAGAUCAGAAUACUAAACUUAACUGCCAAGCCAAGAGAAUAAGCCAGACCUCCUAAAACAUGAUGGUUAUUAACAUGAAUGAAAACACAUAACAGGCAAAAGUCCGGACAUAAAAGUCACCAGCGAUGAGACAGAAAACAAGUACAUCACCAAAACAGAUCAACCAGAAAAUCAAACAUAAAUAAGCAGUCAAAGGAUAAAAAAGCUAAAAAGGAACAGAUAAGUAAGUAGAAUUAUGUGCAGUAAUAUGGAGGUCGAUGCACCAUACAGGGUUAAAGCAGUCCAAAUACAAUACACAAGACUGGGAAAAAAAAAUCCUUUGCCUGGUAUUACUGGUUACCCAGGAUUUCUUCCACAAAAAGAAAACUCACAAUGCUGGCAAUGUCUCUUGGAGAAUAGUUGAAAACCAGGAAACCAAUGCAUGAUAGAAUCCCCCAAGAACAGCACAUUUCUCAUUUUAUCAUGUUAAAAAUAAAACUUUUAAAGGUCCAUCAAACAAAGAUUCAAGGAAUCUAUUAGCUGACUGAGCAUGUGCAAGUAGCAGAUACCAUCUUAAAACCCAAAUCUUGCAUUUUGAUUUGUUAAUCAAUGCUUAAUUAAUUAUUGCAGAUAGCCAAGUGGGUGAGGGACAUACUCACCUUGAAGCAUCUAUUUUUCCUUAUUUCAUAGGUAGGAAUGAGAGGUUUUAUCUCCCUACCCAUCCAUAAUAAACCUUGAAACUUUGAACAAAAGAACAAUGAAAGGAAUUCAACAAGCAGAAAAUUUUUCCUCUAAAGAUAAACAGCAGGUACUUAAAAAAUUACAAUCCAAGAAAGCAAAAGAGGAAGAGAAGGAAAGCAAAGAUACAAUCGUGUGGGAAGAUCUUAUACUGACAAGUAGACCUCUUAUUACUAAAUUCAUGAACAAUUUAGGAAAAGAUAUUUCAACACUAUCAUGAAUGUGAAAAGCUAAAUUGACCAGAUAUGGUAUUGUAGGGCUCAUCUUAAGAAUGCACUAAGAAAGCAAUGAAAAAGACAAAUAUGGAUGUUUCCAUCCCAUCUAUACAAAGCUUCCGAAAAAAGACAAAUCUCCUCUCCAAUUCCCAUCUAGUGGGGUGUUUCAUUAAUAAUCUAAUCAAUAAGAAAUACAGGGGUUUAAAAAAAAGUAACUUCGUAUGCCUUUUUUACUCACCAGGACAAAACAUUUCAAAAUAGGAAAAGGUUCUGUCUUCACCAUUUGUUACUGGGUGAUCAUAUUCCACUGUGAUCAGCCAACAGUUCAACAAGUGGGUUAGCUUCUCCUAAUGAUGAUGAAUUUACUUUAUCAGAUACAGUAGUUUGAUGCAAGUUAUGAUCUAUUUCUAACCAACUAAGUGCUUGUUCUUUGCUAAUAUUCCACUCAUUCAUUAUCUGUCUCAACCUCAUCACAGAGUCCCACUUGCCAAGUGCUGCAUAUAUUUUUGACAGUGAAAUGUAGAUUGCUGGUGAUUGAGGAUUCAACUGAAGAAGGUGUUUUGCUGCUAUUCUUCCCAGCUCUAUAUUUCCAUGCAUCGUACAAACACCAAUUAAGGCAUUCCAGACAUGUUCGUCUGGUUUGCAUGGCAUCUUUCUUAGAUGAUCCAUUACCUCAUGGAAUCGUCCUGCUCGACCUAAAAUAUCAAUUAAGCAAGAAUAAUGUUCUUGAUCUGGAACAGUAUUGUGAUCGCGAUUCAUUGACUCAAAUAACCUAAGUCCCUCGUGCACAAGCCCUGAGUGACUACAUGCACUGAGAAGAACAAGAAAGGUGAUUUUGUCUGGUCUAACGCCCGCUGUCACCAUUUCAGCAAACAAAUUUAUUGCUUUCUCACCAGAACCAUGCUGUGCAAGUGCAGAUAACAUUGUGUUCCACAAUACUACGUCUUGUUUGUCACCCACAACAUCAAAAACUUGCUUUGCAAGUUCCAGACAACCACACUUUGAAUACAUGUCAAUGAGAGAACUUAAAACUAUUGAAUUAGGCCUAAAUUUAAUCCUUAUCAAAUGUGCAUGGAUUUGUUUACCAUGUUUGAGUGAGGCUAUACUUGCACUAGCACAGAGGCAACUACUAAAAGUAAACUGAUCAGGUCUAAUGCAAAGCAUCAUCAUCUUCAUAAACAAGUCAAGGGCCUCAUGUCCCUUGUCAUUACGAGCAUAACCUGAAAUCAUAGCAGUCCAAGAAACAGGAUUCCUUUCAGGCAUCACAUCAAAUAACACCCUGGCUGACUCCAUAUCACCCCAUUUGGCAUAUCCUGAUAUCAAAGUGGUCCAAGCCAGAACAUCCCUUCUUCCCAUCUGAUCAAAUAAUUUCCUGGCAUCAACCAAUUCCCCACAUUUAGCAUAUGCAUCAACAAUGGAACUAGAAAGGACCACAUUUAGUGAAAACCCUGCAACCAAAACUUGAGAGUGGACCUGCUUUGUUAGCCUCAACUCCUUCAACUUCACACAAACCGUCACCACUCCAGCAAAGCUAUACUCAUUAAACCCAAUAACUGACCUCCUCAACUCUUUAUAAAACCUCAAAGCUUCAUCACAUAUACCACUCUGCGCGUAGGCAAUUACCAUAGUAUUCCACGAUACAACGUCCCUCUCGGGCAUUUUAUCAAACAACCUCCUUGCAGGCUUUACCAUAAGUUGUUUAGCAUACCCAGAAAGCAUGUUGUUCCAAGAAUACAAAUUUCUCAAGCUCAUUUUAUCAAACACUAAGCGUGCUUCAAUGUGAUCGCCGCAUUUACCGUACAUAUUGAUCAAAUGAUUGGCUAAAAAUGUAUUGGGGUGUUUGAGACCAGUAACCUUUAGAUGGAGGUGAACCCAUCUGCCCAAUUUCAAAUUCUUGGACUCAGCACACUUCUGUAUGAGAAAAGCUAAUUUUUUACAGUCCAAACGAAUGCCCUUUUGCGCUAAGAGGUCUAAAGACUUGACAGCUUCUUGAAGGUGACCUUGAGAGCAAAGAUUCAGAAAGUUUUGGACUAUGCAAGUAUUAUUCUUGUUACUGGGCUUAAAUGACGGCUUGAGAAUGCGAGUUGGGGAGAAGAGAAAGGGCAUUGCAGGAUGCAAACAUAUGGGAUGGCGGCGGCACGCUGUUGUUCUUCAUUUAUGUUGUGAUGAAGUCAUUGAAAUCAACCGCUGUAAUAUGAGCUCCGGCGAGUAUCGCCGGUUCAGAUUGGCCGUAGGGAGAGCAAAAUGCAGAACCCACUAGUCAAAAUUAUUCAUAAAUGGAAAUCAUGCAAAUUUUCUAAUGAUUUACCGUUUUCAGUGUGUAGUGUUAUGGGUGAGCUGGUCCAAAAGCGCAACUAGACCUAAGAUAAUACAAAUACUACUUAUUAUGUAUUAUUGCUCACUAAACAAUGUACAAAAAAACUCAGCCAAUAGGCAUUGGUUAAGAUGAGGUCUAAGUUUUGAGGAAAAAAAUGAAAAAGUGAAGGUAAAUGUGAAACAUGAGAGAGUUUAGACUAAACAUUUUUUAGAUGCUUAUAGAACUUUUAACGAAUCGAACGGUUUAAAGUCAAUCGUUUAAUAAACAAAUCGGUACUCGAAUAUUUAUACAAAUAAACAAAUUGAACUCGAAUAAUAUUCAUAACUCAUUAAUUAAUAUUAGAGUUGAACUCAAACCCUAUUCGUAUAAUAUACAAACAGAGUUUGAACACCAAAUAUUGUGUUCGAUUCAGCUCGUAAAAAUUCUAGCACUCGAAACCUAAUUAGUGUAUGAAAUUUUCAAUGGUUUUAUAGAGGUUGGAAACUUUUUAUAGGGUUCAUAUAGAGUUCAUCUAAAUGGUUGAAUGUCCGUUCCAAUUGCAAUCCCAAACUGAAGGUUUCGUUAUUUGUUGUGCAAGAAGGAAGCUUGAUGUGAGUUGGUCACACUUAUGUUAGUCACUUUCUCUUAUUUAUUUUCAAAUUUAAUUGUUUGGUUGUUGAGUAAAAGUAUUUGUCAUAAACAAAUCAACUUUUAUCUUCUUAAGUUAAUUAGUGAAAGUGAGGAUGAUUGUGUCAUAUUCAAUUUGAAUAUAAAAGGAUUAAAGGUACAUUUCAUAUUCUUAAUAGCAAUUGUACAAUUUAAAUCGUUUCCAUUUGUUGAAAAAAUAAAAUGUACAAUUUAAACACUGUAAAAUUAAAAAAUGAAGGAAAAAAUCAAAUUGUGAUCUUCAUUUGACUCCAGCAACUUUCGUAGACUAACAAAGAACAUAGUCACAUUUAUCUUUAGGUGGAAAUAGGAAAGUUUGGUGCUAAUGAUAUGAAUAGCAAUUCACGCGCUUCUUCCAUUCACCAAAAAAAAAAGGGAAUAAGAAUGCCUAUUCUUUUUCAAUAUGAUUAUUCACGAAUAGCUAGCCAAAGCAGAAACUCGCAGACUCAUUCUUUGUAAUUUCAACUUCAGAUGUCUAGAUUUCUAUCUUCAAGGGUUUUAAACCAACUCAAUUCAUGUACAUCACCUAAUCCACCUUUUUGGUUCAUAUGCGGGUAUAGAUAAAUAUUUUCAAUUAACUCCUCUUUUCAACGCAUUGAUUUCUGAACUUUCUCUGCCUCAUUUUAUCACUACAAAACAUGUUUAAAAAAGGGGGGGGGGGGGGGAUUCCAGGCUCAUAACAGGCACCUCUACAAUCACCAUCAAGUAUAUAUUUCCACAAGAACAAUCUUUACAUUAGGCCAUGGAUUCUUCCGAGGCAUCUAAUCCCAGAGCAACUUUGUUAUCAAAUAUCAAGGGCAAGAAAUGAGGAAAAAAUCUGGACAAAUGUCCAAACAUAAUUCAAUCUUCUCCGCUGGAUCCUCACAAUUAACUACAGACUUCCUGGUUCAUGCUCAGAAUCAACACACAGUCCGCCCAUAGCACAGGGAAGCAAGAUAGAGGUUCUUUGCCCAUUUUUCCUGCUUAUAGUAAACACAUACAGAGACAACAAAGUUAACCUCCACAAUAAAUGAAGUAUUUUGAUAACAAGAUCCUUGUCCGCCAAACCAAACUGCAGGAUAGCCCUUCGGUAUGCAAUAAAGUUAAAGCAACAACGAUUGAAAACGACAGGUUACAAGGUUCAAAUAGCACAUCCCAACAAAUAUUUACCUUAACAUGGGUGCUUGGGAACUGAGAUGUUCUUAGAGUUUCCUGAGUCUCAUCAAGCAGUUUGCGCCGAGGCACACUCAAGAUAAGAGCAGCUUGAUCCCAGGUAGCAGCAGUGGCUGUAAUUCGGUAACCACUAUCCCACCGUUUAUGAAUGCCCUCACUGGGAUAAAGAAAAUCAAGCUCCACAACCUGGAAAAACAAAGAUAUCUCAGUCAAAACGUUUUAUGCUUAACAGAAAUAAAGACACAUCCAGGACAGUAAUAGGGAACACAAGGCACUCUUCUGACGGUAACAGCCCAUGUUUUUUUAAAAGAGGUGGGGAAUGCCAAGUUUCUGUUAAUUCAUAGCUCAAUUCCUUUCCCUUCUCCCUGUCAAUUAACAUAACAACUGUGAACAGCACCAAUAAGACUUUAAAGUUUAAACGGCAUGCAUACACCCCAAAAAAAAAUAAUAAAGAAGGGACAUAAAACUCUUCUAGGCAAAAAUUCUCAAGACAUUCCACUGCAUGAAGAAGAUAAAAAAGGGCAAUUUGCACCAGUUGCACAGCAUCCACUGUUGUCUAAGUUGAAUCAAUCUAAGAUGGCGAUUUUUCCAUUUUCCCACCCUAGCACAAAUGUCUAAAAAUGCAAAUUAGUUCAAUGGUUUUGAGGCAAAAUGUCUAAAAGUUUGUGCAGCUGAUAAGGGGUGAAUUGGGUCAAAUCUGCAAAAUAACCAGAAAACGAAGAAACAAGUAACCUAACCUGAUCACUGAAGCCAGAGUUUCGGGACAUGACCACAGCCCACCGAGUACCAGCAGUAGCCAUAGAUGUCACGUGAAACCCUUCCUUCCACUUCUUGUUAAUCCACUUGAAUGGAAAGGAAUCACUUACUUUGUAAGAUUGUUGGUUAUACAUGGUGCCUGCAGAGUAACAGGAAUUUAGUAUUAAGAGGCAAGAUAUUCAACUAAUAAAACUGAUCGAUCACACGUCCAAGGUUACAAAAAAUUAUUAUGCAUACAACUUUUUGCUCAAAAAGAGGAAAAGUAAAAAUAGUAAACCAGGCUAAACCAGGCUUCAUGCUAAUUCCCAAGCCCAAGGAGAUAAACUCCUGGUCCUUCCUCUUUUCUUUUUUUUUUUUUUGGGGUGGAGGGGACAAGGGUUGCAAAGGAACAAUAAAUCACAACUUGAUGUGGCAUGGACACUUGCAAAAUGAAAAUUGAGUCAUCUGUCCAGUAUUAGCACAAAAAUUGAAAUUAUACAGCACAACCAGAAUGAAGCAAUUUUAGAGUAUUAGCACAUCCCAGUCUCACUUUGUUCCCUCAAGAGACAAAUACUUAGCACAAGAAAUCUGUCAAUCUGAGCUCUACAAUGGUUCACAUAGACUAAUCUCCACAGAGACAAGCCACUGUUACAGCUCACCCAAAUGGACAAGAUGCACAAAUAAUGGUAGCAAUACUUAAGAAUUGUUUCCCUAUUCUUGAUUCAUCCGAAAGCAUUUUAGCAAGUAUAAUUAUGUUUAACUGAUUGAUAACAGACACCAUAUUUUGCAAUCUUACCUUUUGACAUUACCACUAACGAACUUCCAUUGGUUGCACCAGCAAGACAGCUGAUAUAGUAGUUCUUGUCCCACUGGUCCAUAAUCCACUCCUGUAAUAAAAAAAUAAUUGCACUUAGAGGUCACUUGGUCGGUGAAGUUCCAGAUAAGGACAAUAUCUCUGUUUGUCAACAAAACAGGUUAUGCAAAUAACUUACCUUGUGCAAGAAAAAAGGUGAUAUCUCAAAAACUUGGCUUGUAAAAUUAGUCCCAGCAUCCAUAAUAAUAGCCCACAAGUUGGAACAUGAUGCCACAGAACUUAUAUACAACCCAUCUUCUACCCCUCUUUCUACAUGUUGCGCUAAUCUUGCAUCCGAUACAUUAUAAUGGUACCUUUUGUGUAGAACCAAACAAAAAGAGGAUAAAAAAGGGUAUUCAAUAGGCAAUGACAUUAUGGCAAUGGCAGAGGACUAUCUACAUAUAUAAAUACACACGCACACAUAUACACAUACACAAUAGUCCUUUUGUCAUUUUCCCCAACUUUUUAUCCAAAAUUUUUUUUCUUUUAGGUUAUGUGGGUAAGCUUCACCAUCCCAGAACCACUGACAAAUAUAUUCUGGUCUAUUUUCCCCCUUUAACAGAAGCAGCCGGAACCAAAAAAGAACAAAGAGGAAACAAUGCUUCCAAUCUAUGUUCAAACCAAGUACUUACUGUUUCAGGAUUCAGAUUAGACAACAGAACACCCCGGUAACUUGAGAAAUAAAACAAUAUCAGAUAGCAUGAACUGAACUACCACCAUUCUAAGAGAAAGAUCUUUUUUUUUAACCUCUGUUUCAUAGGCUUCCUAGCAUUGUAAAUUGAAACCCAUUGUGAUGCUGGGACUCCCAUACGAACUUUCUUCCUCGGCUGUUCCUCUUCAUCCUCAUCAAGAUUCAAUCUGGGUCGCUUUUGGCCGAUUUGGAUAAUCUAGCAAAAAAGUUAAUAAAUAAAAGCUAUAAAAUGAUUAUGAACAUCAAAUAAAGGAAAGCAGAACAUGUACUCGGGUAAUAAAAGAAUCACCUUUUGAGCACCAUCUGUAUUUAAUGGUCGGGUUGCAGGAUCGGCAGCAAUCAUACCCUCAAAAAUAGAUAUUAACUUUGAAUACUUUGGCUCUUCGUCAAAUUUCAAGUUAACAACAGUUUCAAGAAAUUCUCUGAGAGGGGCAGGGCAAAAGCAACAUAGCGCUUCAGGAGCUGUUGCCAUCUUUUUCUUAGCCACCUGGAAUGAUUUGUUAUCACCCUGAGGUAAAAAGAUUGAACACGAGUAAAACAGCUGAAGAGGACAUCAGAAAAAUAAAGUAGACAUAGGGCUUAGCCGAAUACUCCAGUCUAAAGGUCAGAAAGUAGGACAAGGAAGUACCUGAAAACCUUGCCAUGGCAACCUGCCUCUGUGGAGAAAAAUAAGCGUAUAUGCAAGUGAUUCUAAAUCAUCCCUUCUACUAGCAGUCCUUCCUAAGUGAGCAUGCACACUAGCAUAGCGGACGGUCCCUCUGGGACAUCACCAGAAUGGGGGGAAAAGAGUAUUUAGUGGAAGCAGAGUUAUUCGAACAUCAGACUUUACAGUAUGAGCAACAUUCACCUGAAUAUGUCAGGACGCUGAUCAUAUUCAACAUGUUGCCCCCUGGUGCUGUCUCUCCACUUAGUUGCUGCAAUAAACGCAUAGAUACAAGUAAAAUGGAAAGUAUGGGAAAUUGUUUAAAAAAAAAAAGGAGAAGAACAAAUAAGAAGUCUAUUAGGUUGUGUGUCUCACCUAAUCCUAAAUCUACAAGAAACAACUUCUUUUCUUGAGGUGUUGAUGGCUGGCCGAGCAAAAAGUUCUCAGGCUUUACAUCCCCAUGCACAUACCUAAUUUCAUGAAACGUAAACCAUGGCAAGACAAACAUACAAACAUCAGUAGAUCCCAUCAAUACCAUACGAAACAUUAAGAGAUACAGACUGAAGGUAGGAACAAGAAAAAGGUGGUGUAAUACCCUUUUGCAUGCAGCUUCUCCAAUAUUGACAAGGAUUCAACUGCAAUGCAAGCAACCAUUUCCCCAGACAUCCUGCUAAUUGUGCAUGAUCAGUUCAAAAGCAAGGCGACUAAGUACAAUAUAUAUCUUAGCGAAAGUGAGAAACAACAGCAGCAACCAAUUCUGCUGAUACACUGCCUACUCCACCUACAAGGUUUCAAAAUACACUAAGACAGCAACAGAUAUCAAAACCAUUGGCAAAAAGUCAACCUUAGUUUAAAAUAAAACUAUUGGCAUCUCAAAAGAAGAUAACAGACUAUCACUUUACCCAAUUUAUCUUGUCUCCUACAUCAUCAUGGCAUAUGACCCGUUCUUAUACUUUUUUAUGCACAUACUAUUAAUCAACAGCAAGCAUCUGAAAUUGAACUUCAAAAUGCACCAAAACAGCAACCAAGUGCAAUACUACGAUAAAAGAGAACUCCUACUUCAACAAACAUCAAGCAUGCUGAAAGGAAGUUAAAUUUUAGUGUGCAAAAUGAAACCCAAUAGACAUGUAAAAGAGAACAUGGCACACUAUAUAAGCAACCCUUCAGAAACUUACGACUGCCCUGAGGAGUUCCAAACAUCCCACAAGCUGGGCCCUAACAUGUCCAUGACCUACCACAUUCAAAAAGCAAUCUAUCAGCAUACAUAUAGCCGGAACAGCAAUUCACAAAUCCUACACGGGCGUGUCUAAAGACACAUGUGCAGUACAAAGGCUAAAUGCAUUUAGCACUCAGAUCAUACCAUUACAUAGUAGUCUCCUUGUUUUCCUUUAUAGUGUACUUUAGGCACUCCAUGGCUACCUCCAAGAGUGCUAUUAAGAUAGAAGCAAAAAGAUUUUUACAAUUGAGAAAAUGUAGAAACGCUUGCUAAGGAGAGGAUUCAAAUGCAUACUUGUAAACCUGCCACUCAUAUGGAGGACCAUAGCUGCAGCCUUUGCUAUUUCUAUGCUCAAAUUUCAGAGCUACCUGAAAUGACAAACAACAUCAAAAUUAAAUCACAACAUCUGCAUUUAUUUGUGAUGCUGUUUAUUUUGAAUAGAUAAACGUAGUUUCUUGACUAAUUUAAAGAAAACGGGAGAAAAUUAACACUACCUCCACAGCUCCAGGACCUGUUGUCCGCUCUCCACCAGAAACACGACGACCCAAAAAAACCUGUCCAAAGCCACCUUUACCUAAUUUCCUCUCAACCUUAUACAUGGGUGAGCCUCCAACUUGCACCUGAAAAUCCACUCCAACAUAAGGAAAAAAUGUUCUUAACAUGCAUAAAGAAGAUGAGUCCACUAAUAACUUUCCUGUCUAAUAAAGCAAGCAAAUAACCCAAUUUUUAAAAAAAUCAGCAGGGGAUGGUUGGGAUUUAAGAUACCAGGGGGAUGAGGAGGGGGAAGGGGAUGAAACCGGGGACUUCUAAAUCCCGAGGUCUCAAUCCUGGCCAUUAGACCAAGGCCUCUACAAAAAGCCACAUAACCCAAUUAUCAACAUGCCAAACCAAAAAUAACUUCUUAGUCUUAAAUUAUAAAAGCACAAUUUGAGUUCUUGCAAAUCAUCAGAACAAGAGCUGCACCAAAUUUCUUCCACAGUCAGAUACAACGCCACCCCCAAGGCAUGAAGUCUUUGGGACUAAAAGCAUUGCAAAGUAACUAUAAAUUGGGAUCUACCUCAACACCCCUCUGCCAAAAUUCUCAAACAUGUGCUUUUACAUAAGAAGAUACACAGAUUGAGAUGCAAUUGAGCUUGUUCACUAACCCAAAUAUCAUUAGUUAAACCAAAAAUUUAGGAAAAAAAUCACCUUGAUGAAUUAGCACAUUGAAUGCCUGCAUUUACAUCUUUCAGCCCAUACAAACGCGCAUAUAGAUACAAAAUCAACAAAGUACUGCAUGCAGGCCCAUUUAUAAUUCAUCUUUACUCCCACCUACACAAACUAACCCAUCCUAUGCUGCAAUUAACUACGUAAGUGAUUAAUGAAACAGCGCUCCCCCCCCCCAAAAAAAAAAAGGAAUUAACCUUAUCAGGAAAAGAUGCAAGAGAGGCAUCAUCUUCUAGUCCAGCACUCCCUUUAGCACUCAUACCCCCACUUUCAUCCCCCAUCUUUUUGACCUUUUCCUCAACCACCACCGCCGCUUCUUCUUCCUCCUCCUCCUUUACCUUUUCCUUUUCCUUGUUAUCCGCCUUAGCUUUUCCCUUUCUUACCCUUUUCACCGGCUUUAACUCCUCCUCUACCUCAGCUACCUUCCCCGCCGCUUCCGCCGCUGCUUUAGCUUUCGCAGCACGAGUUUUAAUAUAGUUCCCAGCAAACCCAACACCUGCCGCCUCUCCUUCUACUUUCCCCUUCCUCGCCUUCUUUUCUUCUAUUUCCUUUCCUUCCCCAGCCGCUGCUGGCGGCAAAACCGGUGGAACUACUGUCGGCGAACCACAAAGGCCUAGACGAACUCCGGCCCGCAACUCCGACAUUUGCAGAUACCACAACCCAUGCAAUGAACCCUAACCCUAAUUGAAUUUACCACCAUCAGUACUACCUUUCUCUCUGUCGCAGUCCUCUUGAUCUUCUUCAGCUAAGAAAGCAUCAUUUCCGGAACCCUGAAAUCUAGCAUUAAUUGAAAAUUAAUAGAAAUAAAGUGUUUAUAAUCGGAAUCUUGACAAAGAAAAAGGGGAAAUCGGGGGAAGAAAUCUGGGGUUUGAAUUUUGGUGAAAUUGGGACUAGGGUUCGAGACGGAAAGCACGCAUGCCAAAAUAUCUCUGACUCUCUGUAUAUGUGUUGGAAAAAAGGUGAGAUAGUGCCAAAGAAAAAGGAAAGAAAACUGGUGUAUGAGUUUGGGCUCUUUCUUUAUUUGUAAAAUUAUGGCAUGUUUUGUGAAUUGCUCGAUGAGUACGUGGUCUAACUUUUCUAGAAGAAAAGAAUGGUGACCUACAAUUUUUUUUAAAGCAAAUUUAGCCCAUUUGGAUUGCUAUUUUUUUUGGGUUUUUUUAUAAAAAAAUAUAUUAUAACAAUUCGACAUAUAUGAGAUAAAAAAUAAUUAAAAAUUUGUUCGUAGAAUGUAAACAUUUUUAGAAGAUCGGAUAGAUAUUUUUCUAAAUUUUUGCUUGCAUCAUAAAUAUAUAUUUUCCAAUGCAUCCUUUUAUGUUCCCAAUCACAAUUACUUUUGUUACGUCGUAUAUAUCAUAUCAUAAAAAACGUUACAAUGAUUAUUCCAAAUAAUACAGCAUUUUAUCCAAACACAUUAAAAUCCAAACAAAAGUGCAUUUGACCUAUGAGUUUGGGGUAGCUGGUAAGCGAGGUGAUGAUGCCAAUAGGAGGUCGCAAUUAGAUUCCUACAUGUGGCACUUUAAAAAGUUCUAGCCAAACCUUCACCUCUGAAUAAGAGUCAGACUUUGCAAGCAUUUCUCUAGUCAAAUAUGAUGGAUUAGUCUUAUUUGAAGGUGGGGAUAUCAAGUGUUCAGUGGGAAAACAAAAAAAAAAAACAAAAGUUCAUUUGGAUAGGAUUUAUUUAUCCAAAAAAAAAAUUCUUGUAUCAUAAACAUAUUUUUUGAUAUAUUUUUUUAUUUUUUCAAUCACCUUUUAUCUCAUGUGCAUUAUAUUGUUAAAAGUUCUAAAGUAAUUAUUUCAAAUAAUCUCCUAUUUAAACAAGAUAUUAGCAAGUUCAGAAAAAAAAAAAAAAAACUUUCAAACCCCCAGUUUACUGUUCAUAUUAUUUUAUGUCUAAACUACUCUAUGACUUUUAAGAAUAGCUAUUAAAAUUGGCUAGUUAUUUUCAUGUUGAUGUCCAGUAAAGCUGAAAAAUAAUUUUAAAAAAAUUGACAAUUGAGUUGAUCUAUGCUUUUCAUAAACUUUGAAGUUGUCAUAUGUAGUAUCAUUUUUUUUAUCUGUGCAUUUUAACUUGAUAGCUUAAGCAUCAAAUUUAAUAAUUAAUGAAAGGCUUGGAAGCCUUAAUAGCAAUCGUCAACCACCACACUUGCGUAGGAGGUGUGAAUCGGUAAUUCGAAACUUUGAAAUUGGAAUUUUUUGAAGUUUUGGCAUCAGAAUUUCUGAUCGAAUUCGAUUUCGAAUUCACUAACUUCGAAUUUGAAUUCAAUUCGAAAUUCGAUAAAUUUUGAUUUCACUGAAUUCAGGAAUAUAAAAUUUAUUAUUAUAAUAUAAAUAUUAUAUUACAUAUAUAUAUAAAUAUAUAUAUAUAUAUAUGAAAAACUAAUUUGACAUCGAAAUAGGAAUUCCGAAUCACCGAAUUCAGGAAUAUAAAAAUUAUUAUUAUUAUAUAAAUGCUAUAGUUCAUAUAUAUAAAAAAAUAUUAUAUAUAUAUAUAUAUGAAAAAUGAAUUUGAAAUCAAAAGAGGAAUUCCGAAUUCCGAUUUCAAAUUCACGGAAAUUCAGAUUUGAAAAAUCCCAUUACUGAAUUCAAACCAAAUUCGCAUAAUUCAAAAUCGGAAAACCCGAUUUCAAUUCUGAAUUCCGAAUUACCGAUUUCAAAAAUUCCAAAUUAAAUUCGAAUUCGAUUGAUAAAUCAGAAUUUUUCGAUUUUGCACACUCCUACACUUGCACUAUUUCCCGUAGCUCCUCACAAGAGUCACAGAGAAAAAGGGGGGAAGAAUGUCACAACAUGAAAAUCCACUAGUACUAUCAAUCUGCUAACCAUAAAGUUCCAACUCGGAUGAAAAAUCAAAAAGCUUAUUACGAUAAUAUGGUGGAACUAGUGACUCUUUUUGCUUUGAUCUUGGUGGCAUUGGUAUCUAUAUUAGUCAUGGAUUGGGGUUUUUGUGCAAGUAGGAGCUAAUUAAGGCAAUGAGUAAUGCAAAAUUUGGUAGAAGGUUGCGUAGUUAGGUUCAGUAGAGUUAGAAGCAGUGGUUGUGGUUCUACGUUGCAACUAGGUGAUAUGGGGUUGGCUGGGGUGGGUUCUUAGGGACAACAAGUCUUCUGUUAUGCAAUGGUUGUGAAACAUUCAAGCUACAUGCUUUAAUAUGUUGAUAUCUGCGCUCUUUAAAUUAUCACAGUUAUACUUUUAAUUAAGUUGAACUUUAUAAAAAAGACACGUGUUAACACAUCAGGAUGUGUAAUAUAGACGUUACAUAUUAGUAUAUAACAGAAGAUGCAUAGUCGUCGUUGAACCUCUUUGUCAUGGCUUAAGGAAAGAGUAUGCACAAAAUACCCAUAACCAUUGUUAGGCUUCUUUAUCAUGGCUUAAGAAAGGAGUAUGGGUCAUAAUAGAGAUGUAAUCGAACCGAGCUGCUCGUAAGCACGGUCAAAAACUUGACUCGAACUCAGGUUGACCAAGUUCGAGUCGAGUUCGAGCAUCCAGAAGCAUUGUUCGAAGGAUUGUCGAGACUUAUCGAGCUUUUUAAUUUUAAUUAUUUAAUAUAUUAUUAUUAUAAAAGUACCCUUAUACCCAAAAGAGUUGUUGAAUUUACGAAAUGUUUCAAAUCAUAUAAAAAUUUUUAAAGGGCAAUAAUUGUUUUUUCGCUAAAAAAUUAUCAAGAAAAUGAAAAUUUUUAACUCAAGCUCGAGUUCGAGCUUGAGCGAGUAGUAUUAUUGCAUGUCGAGUCAUACUCGAGGUCGAUUCGACUCGAUUACAUCCCGAGAUCAUAAUCGUGUUGGUGACAAGGUACAAGUGAGAGUUGGUUGACUUUAGUGAGUCGUUUGAAACUUUAAGACCCGUUUGGCAAGUGAAUUUUUUUGUUAUUUGUCUAAAAUCUUACUGUAAUUUACUGUAAAAAUUUUUAUAAAAUUUUUUAAAGUGUGUUUUUUUUUAAUAUUUUGAAGUGUAUAGUAUAAAAAUUUUAAAAAGUUUUUUAAGAUUAGUGUAGUUAAAGUUUUAAUAUUAGUUCACUGUAAAACUUUUUAUAAAUUUUUUUGAAGUGUGUUUUUGUUUAAUAUUUUGAAGUGUAUAGUAUACAAAUUUUGAAAAGUUUUUUAUGAUUAGUAUAAUUAAAGUUUUUAAAAAAUUUAUAACUGACAGACUUGACAAAAAACUUAACUGCCAAAUAAGGCCGUGUAUGAUGUGAGGCAAAGCGUUAAAGACAAUUUUGUCAUAAAAGAAUAAAAAAAUUGAGGGAGGAGGGCCCGGGUCCAAAUUGGUAGUGCAAAUAACGGCUGCCUUUUAACAAUCAACUAUUCCAAAAGAUAUCUCCAAUCAACGUGGUCAACGUUUGUUUUCAAACUUGCAUUUAUGAAUUGCCUAUAAAGCUAUAACAUAUUUUCUUUUAAGCAACUCGAAAAAAUCGUGAAACACAUCAAUCUUUAAAGACGUCACUUGUGAAAAAUUAAAACAAUUGAUAACAUACAGGAAAUUCUUCCAAACUCGUGGUCUUCACAAUAUUAAUGAUUUUUUCUAUUUUCACGUGAUAAAAUUGGACCUCAUGAUUUGGACUUUUCCAUUGCUAGGUAAUAAUAUACGAAGGGUUUGUUUGGAUUGGCCUUUAUUUUCCCAAAUAUAUUUGCUUACAUGAUCAUUACAAUUUUCAAUACACUUUUUUACCUUCUCAAUUACCUUUUUAUCUCACAUACAUCACAUCACAAAAAGUACUACAGUAAAAAUAUCUCAAAUAACUUAUAAUCCAAACAAACCCAGGCAAAGAAAGUUUUGUUGUUGAGUAACUAGUGAUAGAUCUGGAAAGCUUUAGGUAGUUGUGGUGGUAAAUGAGCAGAGAAAAUUAAUUGAUAGGCAAUAUCAUAAUAAUAGCACCACAUAUUUGUAAGUUGUACCUUUUUAGUCUUUCGAUGAUUCAAGUUUGAUGAUUACAAAUUGCAGCUAAGGAGAUAGCCAAGAGAUGAAAUCUUGGAUGGGUUUUAAAGGAUCAAAUAUGGCUUAGUUUCGGUUAUUGCAUCAUAUCAAAUGGGUAAAGAAACAAUAAACAACCCUAAGGGAUGGAAUAGAAUAGAGAAAGGGUUUGUUUUACAUUUAUUUUUUAAAGUUUUUGAUUUGAAUGAGUGUGCAAGAGUUGGGGAUGUUUUUGAAAUAUUUUAUUGUAGUAAUAUAUAUGAAAAACUUUUACUGUAAAUAUUUUUAAUGAUGUUUUUUGAGAUAUUUUUGAGAUAUAUUUUAGGGUAUUUUUAAGAUUUAAAAAUUUUUAGAAUAAUUUUUAAAAAUUAACACUCCACCCACAAUCAAUAUCCACCACCGCUAUCAUCCCCUCUCUCCCUCCUCCUCUCUUAUUCCCGUACCUCUUCCUCCUCCCUCUCUCCCCUCCCACCCUUUCCUUUCCUUCAUUUUCUCGCUAGAACCCGGGCCUCCCCUUCCUUGCUCUUUCCAAUUUAACCUCAUUGAGACCGGAUCCUGGCCUUCGAUUGAGGCCUUCUGGUUGAGGCUAGAGGGGAGGAGAUGGGGUAUCGUGUGGAAGGGAAAAGGAGAGGAGGAGGCAGAGGGAAGGAGAGGAAUGAGGAGGAAAAAGAGGGAGAGGAAAGAGGAGAAAAGAGAGGGAGGAGUAAGAUGGUGGGUGGGGGUGAUAGAUUAAAGAAGAAGAUAAUAUAGAUUUUAUUUUUUAAUUUUUGAUAUAUUUGAAAUUAUUUUUGAUAUAUUGUAUGGAUAUGGUAUUUUUAGAAUUAUUUUUAUAUGUGUUGCUGUAACAUUGUAUGUGAAAAAAUUGGUUUUUCAAAAAGUGGAGAAUCCAAAUAGAGCCUAAGUUCUUUGGACUACAAGAUAUGGUAUCACAAUGUGCUCGGCAUCAUGAUCAUCUAAUUGACAAAUAAGGGUAGCCAUGAUUCAAAUUUGAACUGGAACACAACCGAAAUCAGAUUGACAAUUUAUUGAAUUGCAACUAGAAUUGAAUUUUGGAAACCAAAAUUGAAACCAUAACCGUGACUAAAAUUUAGGUUCAAAUUCACUAAAAUUUUGAACCAGAAUCAAAAUCAACGGUUUACUAACCGCUCAAACCAUUUGAAAAAAUAUUUGCUACCUAAACGUAUUUAACUAGUUUAGAGUUCAACGUCAAUACUCACCAUUUAAUACUCGUAACUCCAAUUAUGAUCCAACAACUAUUUGUCCCAUUCCAUUAGUAAGUCUAUACUCCAUGACUAAUCUAAAUCCAAGAUGAAUAUAAUUUAAUUAACAAUGAGAUAUUUUUCAUAAAAAUUGCAUCAUUUUUCUUUUUCCUUACACAUGAUAGCAUAAUAAAUUUCUUUCUUUCUUUUUUUUUUUUUUUUUUUACAUUCAUUGUCAUUUUUUCCUAUAACCAAUUUUACGAUAAUAAGUCUUUAAACAUAACUAAAAAAAUUGGAACCGUAAUCGAAAAAAAUCAAAACCAUGACUAGUGCCGAAGGUUCAAGAACCGUAACCAUAAGCAUCCUUAUAAGGAUCGGUUUAGGUUUUCCUUUUAACAAAAUCAAAAUCUUCAAUUUUUAAAUCGAAAGUAUUGAUUUUAGAACCGUGGUCAUGCCUAUUUGGCAAAUGGGAGCACAUGUUACUCCAAAUCAAAGAAAAUGUGGGGUUGUCAAUCCACUCAAGGUGUGGAAAAUAGAAGUAUAAGCUGAAUUGGUGGAGGCAAGGCAAUUGUAAUAUUUGCAAAAGUAAAUCUUAUAUACACUGAAAAUGUUUACACAUCACCAUUUGAUUCAUGAUAUACAGGAAAUUCUUCCAAACUCGUGGUCUUCACAAUAUUAAUGAUUUUUUCUAUUUUCACGUGAUAAAAUUGGACCUCAUGAUUUGGACUUUUCCAUUGCUAGAUAAUAAUAUAAGAAGGGUUUGUUUGGAUUGGCCUUUAUUUUCCCAAAUAUAUUUGUUUUCAUGAUCAUUACAAUUUUCAAUACACUUUUUUACCUUCUCAAUUACCUUUUUAUCUCACAUACAUCACAUCACAAAAAGUACUACAGUAAAAAUAUCUCAAAUAACUUAUAAUCCAAACAAACCCAGGCAAAGAAAGUUUUGUUGUUGAGUAACUAGUGAUAGAUCUGGAAAGCUUUAGGUAGUUGUGGUGGUAAAUGAGCAGAGAAAAUUAAUUGAUAGGCAAUAUCAUAAUAAUAGCACCACAUAUUUGUAAGUUGUACCUUUUUAGUCUUUCGAUGAUUCAAGUUUGAUGAUUACAAAUUGCAGCUAAGGAGAUAGCCAAGAGAUGAAAUCUUGGAUGGGUUUUAAAGGAUCAAAUAUGGCUUAGUUUCGGUUAUUGCAUCAUAUCAAAUGGGUAAAGAAACAAUAAACAACCCUAAGGGAUGGAAUAGAAUAGAGAAAGGGUUUGUUUUACAUUUAUUUUUUAAAGUUUUUGAUUUGAAUGAGUGUGCAAGAGUUGGGGAUGUUUUUGAAAUAUUUUAUUGUAGUAAUAUAUAUGAAAAACUUUUACUGUAAAUAUUUUUAAUGAUGUUUUUUGAGAUAUUUUUGAGAUAUAUUUUAGGGUAUUUUUAAGAUUUAAAAAUUUUUAGAAUAAUUUUUAAAAAUUAACACUCCACCCACAAUCAAUAUCCACCACCGCUAUCAUCCCCUCUCUCCCUCCUCCUCUCUUAUUCCCGUACCUCUUCCUCCUCCCUCUCUCCCCUCCCACCCUUUCCUUUCCUUCAUUUUCUCGCUAGAACCCGGGCCUCCCCUUCCUUGCUCUUUCCAAUUUAACCUCAUUGAGACCGGAUCCUGGCCUUCGAUUGAGGCCUUCUGGUUGAGGCUAGAGGGGAGGAGAUGGGGUAUCGUGUGGAAGGGAAAAGGAGAGGAGGAGGCAGAGGGAAGGAGAGGAAUGAGGAGGAAAAAGAGGGAGAGGAAAGAGGAGAAAAGAGAGGGAGGAGUAAGAUGGUGGGUGGGGGUGAUAGAUUAAAGAAGAAGAUAAUAUAGAUUUUAUUUUUUAAUUUUUGAUAUAUUUGAAAUUAUUUUUGAUAUAUUGUAUGGAUAUGGUAUUUUUAGAAUUAUUUUUAUAUGUGUUGCUGUAACAUUGUAUGUGAAAAAAUUGGUUUUUCAAAAAGUGGAGAAUCCAAAUAGAGCCUAAGUUCUUUGGACUACAAGAUAUGGUAUCACAAUGUGCUCGGCAUCAUGAUCAUCUAAUUGACAAAUAAGGGUAGCCAUGAUUCAAAUUUGAACUGGAACACAACCGAAAUCAGAUUGACAAUUUAUUGAAUUGCAAGCAACUAGAAUUGAAUUUUGGAAACCAAAAUUGAAACCAUAACCGUGACUAAAAUUUAGGUUCAAAUUCACUAAAAUUUUGAACCAGAAUCAAAAUCAACGGUUUACUAACCGCUCAAACCAUUUGAAAAAAUAUUUGCUACCUAAACGUAUUUAACUAGUUUAGAGUUCAACGUCAAUACUCACCAUUUAAUACUCGUAACUCCAAUUAUGAUCCAACAACUAUUUGUCCCAUUCCAUUAGUAAGUCUAUACUCCAUGACUAAUCUAAAUCCAAGAUGAAUAUAAUUUAAUUAACAAUGAGAUAUUUUUCAUAAAAAUUGCAUCAUUUUUCUUUUUCCUUACACAUGAUAGCAUAAUAAAUUUCUUUCUUUCUUUUUUUUUUUUUUUUUUACAUUCAUUGUCAUUUUUUCCUAUAACCAAUUUUACGAUAAUAAGUCUUUAAACAUAACUAAAAAAAUUGGAACCGUAAUCGGAAAAAAUCAAAACCAUGACUAGUGCCGAAGGUUCAAGAACCGUAACCAUAAGCAUCCUUAUAAGGAUCGGUUUAGGUUUUCCUUUUAACAAAAUCAAAAUCUUCAAUUUUUAAAUCGAAAGUAUUGAUUUUAGAACCGUGGUCAUGCCUAUUUGGCAAAUGGGAGCACAUGUUACUCCAAAUCAAAGAAAAUGUGGGUUGUCAAUCCACUCAAGGUGUGGAAAAUAGAAGUAUAAGCUGAAUUGGUGGAGGCAAGGCAAUUGUAAUAUUUGCAAAAGUAAAUCUUAUAUACACUGAAAGUGUUUACAUUAUCACCAUUUGAUUCAUGAUAUGUAUGCAAAAAUUAAAUUUUAAAUUUGAAUUUUGUAUAGUUGUCAUUCAUCUAACGCUGAUAGUGUAUAUACACUGUUAGUGUAAAAAAAAUUAAUCCUAUUUGAAUCUAAAAGUAAGAAAUAUAAGUGUGUGCUUAAAAUUCCAAGAAGCUGUUAUCUCGAAACGAGCUUUAGACCAACAAAUCCUCAUAAAACAAGGCCAAGAAGCUAUUCAAGAAACCAAUUAUAUAUUGAAUCUUCAGUAAUUAAUCGAUUAGGAAAGUUCUUGACUAAGCAUGCAUAAUGCAAUGGAACAUUUAAACCGUCUUUCUGGACUUCUUAAAUUUGUUGAGCCUUUAGUGUACUUUAGGUUUAAUUUGCCUUGCAUAUGCGACUAAUUUUAAUCCAUAUAUUUUGUUCAGUGACUUGAGUCUAAGGCUUGUCAGUAAAAUUAAUCGCUUGCUAGCAUUAUACAGUUUCAAUAGCAUUUUUUACAUUGUGAUAUAUGCGAGAACAAAAGAUUAUUGAAAAGAUAUAAAUUUUGAUUGGAAAAUAUGUUUAUAAUGCAAACAUAUAAUUUUUUGUAAAUAUAAUGUGAUAUCCAAACAAACCCAUUGUUAUAGCUAUCUUUUAGGCAGAUGAAGAAGCAAAACUGCGUGCCAACUGGUGCAUUGCAUACAAAACAAUUAAGACUUUGUUUGAUAACUCAACUUAAUCCUUAAUUUUAAUGGAUUUAAAUUUUAAUAUUUUCAGAUCGUUUGAUAAGCAAAUAUUGAGCAUCUAAAUUUAAUAAGUGGCACUAAAUUUUUUAUGCAAAAUUUGUUCCAAAAUUAAAUGAUAAACUAUUCAUUUAUCACUGAAUCUGAUAUGCACUCAAAUGUAUUAGAUUUAAUGUUUAACAAUUCAAUAACUUAAUGGAUUCAAAUUUCAUAUUUCAAACUUUAAUUUUAUUAAACGCACCUAAGUAUCAAUCAAGUUCCUAUAACUUCAUGGCAUAAUCCUAUUGCCAUUUCUAGCUCAAACACUGGGUUUGUUUGAAUCCAUUAAACAAUUGACAAAUAAUUCUACAAAUAAUACUCAAUUUUUUGCAUGAGCUUCAAUGUUGAUUAAUUUGUCAAUUGUUUCCAAUUUUUUGCGGCCAUUUACUAUUUUUAUGCGUCUAAUUAGAAGUAUGAAAAGAGAUAUGUACCAUGACAGAUUUUUAUCAAAAUUUUAACAUAUUAAUUACUGCAACUUUUUCAACGAUCGAAUAUGCACGGAGCCACAACGUUAAAUUACUCAUUUGAUGAUAUAUUCACACUAAAAAAGAAUGACUGGCUUGGGAUGUUAUUCAGAAAUAGAGUGCAAUUUAGGUAAGUAUAAUUGUAAAAUCUAAAAUUUUUGUUGUCAUUCGUGAUUUAUGAAAUUUUUUUCUAAAAAGCUCCCAAUAAAUGAAAAUGGUUACUACUAUUAUACCUUCAGUCACACCUCACAUUUCCAAAAUAUUGUCAUUAAACACUUUGCAGAUAAUUAAUUGAUGUAUUUGAAUCACCACUUUUAUUCUUUUCAAGUACAUAAUGAAUACAAAAUUUUGCUAGUGAUAUUCUCAAUCUCAAAUAAACAUCCUCUUUUAAUGUAAUCUCAAAUUAAUUCAACUCUAUCGUCUAUAACCAAAUCUCAAAAGAAUUCAGUUCUUGUUUAAAUUGAAGGCCUCAUUUUACAAAUGAGUUUUUUUAGCGUUUGUUUAAAAUUUUAAUGUAGUAUUGUAGGAAAAAUUUUUAAAGUGUAUAAAAUUUUAGAUAUGUUGAAGUGUAUAGUUUAAAAAAUUUAAGAAGUUUUUUGAGGUUAUUGUAGUUAAACCUUUUAAAAAAUUUGUAGAAAUCAAAAUUGACCAAAAUCUUGUUUGCCAAACGAGGCCAAACACGCCCGUAGGCCUCGUUUGUCAAAUGAUUUUUUUUGAUAUUUAUCUAAAAUUUGACUGUAACUUCAUUAGAAGUUAUAGAAAAAAUUUUUGAAAUGUAAUUUUUUGAAUAUUUUGAAGUGUAUAGUUUAAAAACAUUGAAAAGUUUUUUGAGGUUAGUAAUAUUUAAAGUUUUAAAAAAUUUGUAAAAGACAAAUUUGGCAGAAAACUUAUUUGCCAAACAGACUCGUAAUUUUCUAAAGAAAAACUUUUAUAUUUUUCAUAUAUAUAUAUUUUAAUUAAUUUUUACUUCACCCAUAUCAAAUCAAAUUGAUACAAUAUAUAAUUUUUUUAAAUAAAAAUUAUAAAAAAUAAUCUAGACUAGACCUUGUAAUAUUCACGUUCUAUUCAGUAUCGGGUAGCAACCCGUGAGUCUCGUUAUUACUAGGGAUGGUAAUAGGGAUGGGUGCCCGCGGGUGCCCGCCCCGCGGGGGCUCACGGGGCGGGGGCGGGGUAUACUCCCCCGCCCCAUCCCCGCCCCGCCACCCGCAAAAAAAAAAAAAUAUAUAUAUAUAUAUAUAUAUAUAUAAAUGACUAUAUAUUAUAUGUAAGUUAAUUAGUUAUAAACUUAUGAUAAUGAUAUUAUUAAUUAGAUGUAUUAUAUAAUGUAUAUUAGUUUAUGUAAUAUAAUUGAUAUUAUCAAUUAUAUGAAUAAUUAUACAUGUCUACUAAUAUAAUUUAUUAAUUAGUUAUACUAAAUUUACUAAUACAUUUAUACUAAAUUUCUAAUUACACUUAAUAGAAUAACACUUUUUCUAAAAAAAAAGCACAAAACAAUGAUGAAUUAGUGAUUGCAUUUGUACUAAAAGUGAAAAUUUGACUAUUUUAGUUAUAUUUAUUUCAUCAUAUUGGAUUGUAUUCAAAUAACUUCUGUUUGAUUGUUUUUAUGAGUUUCAAUUGUAAAAUUACAAUGAAUAAUAAUUUGGUGAUGUGUUGAUAUUUUAGUACUUGAUUAUUUAUUAAAAUUUAAUUAUAAUAAAAUUUUAUUAAUCCCGCGAGUGCUCCGGGGCAAGACGGGGCUGGGGCGGGGCGGGGCGGGGGGAGCGGAGGCGGGGAACGGAGCGGGGGACGGGGGGAACUAAUAGGCAACGGGACGCGGGGACGGGGGAGGGGUCCCCGCCCCAACCCGCCCAGUUGCCAUCCCUAGUUAUUACCCAAUACCCAUACCCAUAUUCAAACGCCAAUGAUUAUCCAACCCCUCAACGUUCACUUUCCUCGGACUUCACUUCCCUCGUUCAAAUCCACUUCAUUCACUCCCCGAAAUUCCGCCUUCCCGCCUAGAAAUAUUUUCAAAUUCACAUUAAAAAACUCGCAGCAAAAGACAGGGAAGAAGAAGCCCUCCUUUUCAAAAACAAUACCCCAUUUCCUUCACCUUCUUCCUUACCCCCUCAAAAAACCCUUUCUACUCUUUCCCCAUUUUCCACAAAUCUCUUCCAUCGUUCUUGAACUAAUUCUUUCACCUCCGAAAUGGGGAAGAGGAAGGGUUCAUCGACGCCGGCAGCUUCGAGGGAGAAAUCUAGGGCUUCUUCUUCUUCUUCGGUAGAGAAGAAGUCGAAGCGACAAAGGAUGAAAGUUGAGUCGGUUCCGGCAAAUGUGGAUAGUGAUUUCAUGGAGGAGCCGGACGUGGUGGUUGUGUCGGAUGACAAUGAACGGGAGGAUGGAGGUGAGGUCGAGGAGAGAGCUCGCCUAUGUCGCCGGCUGAGAGGAAGACAAAAAGGCGCGUUCUUGCGGAAAAUGAGGAGGAAGGUGAUUUUCGGUUUCUUGGUGAGCCUGUUGCUGACAAGGAGGCUCGUUGUCGGUGGCCUCAUCGAUAUGCAGUCAAGCAAAAGGUCGGAAAUGUUUUGGUUUAUUGUAUAUAAUCGACAGCUAUGGAUUUGUACAUGUGUUUACCUGUGAAGAGUAGAUGAACUUAAUCUGAAAAGGGUAUCUUUUACGAUUCUUCACUUUUCGUUUUUUUUUCUGAGAGUAAGAUUUUAUUCUCCAUUUUUUGCGUAUUCUGAAAAAAUUAGGGCUUUUUUUUAAAGGGUUCUGGACAUUCUUUAUUGUGAUUAUAUUUGCAAGUACGUUGAAUGUGAAUAAAGUUUCAUGUCUUUCCUGAUACAAAGCUGGUUUUUGGCUGUUUUUGUAAGUAAUAAAGAACAAGGACUUUUGUUUUUUCCAAAGAAACAUUUGAGACGAUGUCAACUUUUUGGUCUUUUUAAUAUGAUACAAAUCAGUAGGAGCGCAAGCACAUGUAACCGAGAUUAUAGCAGAUAAAUUGAGGAAAAAGAUGCUGGAAAUAUUGUCGUUGUAGUAUGUCAGAUAUGGGAGCUAGUUUGGAGUAUUAAAAGGGUAUUGAUAGCUGGCCAGAUUAUCCUGAAUAAGCUCAAGUGUCUUUCAACAUGGACGCCCUGAAAACUAAUGUUAGCAGUUCCUUGGGCUUCUUCGCAAGUCUCUGUUUUAUUCUUAGAAUCUCACUGUUGAGGUUAACAUACGACCGUUCUAUGGACAUUGGGAUUGUAUUUCCUUCAGUUGUUUGCUAGUGUCAAAAGUUUUGUCUUUUGGAUCAUGCCAAGUUUGUCCAUUGGUCUUACGCUUUAAACUCGUUCUUUUGCUUUAAACUCGUUCUUUUAUCUUUCGGUGAAUCUAUAUGUUUUCCAUUCUGAGUCUAUCUCGUUUUGGGUGGAAAACUUUGGCUUUCGGAUAAUGCUUUGGUUUUAGUUACUUGUCACUAUAAAAUCUUUAUCUGGUUUAUUCGAAGUUUGAUAAUUAGUGUAUCCUUCUGCGAGUAUGGGUUUUAUAGACUUAAUGGGGGAUUACUCAUCUUGGCUAAGAUUAAUUUUGUCCACAACCUGCACGAACUCAAUGGGAACUUUUAGACGAGCAAAAAAUACUUUUCAAGUGGAUUCUGCGCAAACAAUUUUUCCAUUAGCUCCCUUUAGCAAAUAGGAGGCUGUAUGUUGUCAUUGUUUUAUCUUUCUGAUAAUUAGUAUCCUUUCUUUUAGUGAAUCUUUAUGAACUAAUAGUUAAAUAAAGGUAAUUGUUGUUCUUAAAAGAGCCUUAGUAUGAAAUACUUUUGGUUGGAUCUAAGUGUAGGAGAUACCCCAAUUAUGAACUAAAAAUGGUUUGGUUUUUUGUCAUUCAAACAAAACUUGUUCAUGUUAUCAGCUAUAAUCAUCAUGCUGAAUGUUGAUGUGCACAAAUUUAAUUUGAAUUUUUGGCUGAGUUAAUGAGCUAAUUGUUUUGGUUAUACAGAGGAAACAAAAUGCAGUUUUAAAAGACUCAAAAGGGUGAGUAUAUGGUUCUUGAUUAUUUAAUUUUCUCAUUCUAGUUCUACUUAUUAGAACUCUUUGCAUAUAAAUUGUUGUUCUUUAAUUGCUUGCAUUUUUUUUCUAUUCACUUGGAAAGUGAGGAUGACUCUGAAGAAUUUAUCGAUGCUAAAAGACACUUCACUCAAGCAGAAGUUGAUGGGCAGAUUUUUAACUUGGAAGAUGAUGCUUAUGUACAGGUACAGGAACUUUGCUUCCUUUUUCUAGUAAAUGGAAGAUUUUGCUAGUAUGACAUUUUGAGUGGGCUAGGUCUAGUCAUACCAAAUCAAAACCUAUCUAGUCUAGAGGUGACCUGCACAUAUCGUGUUUUCUGUCAAGGUUUUUAGCAUCUGUCAUGGGUGUGCAAUGAGCUUAAUGUAAGAUUCAUCUCUUGCUCCUGCAUUUGCUUUUUCCAGUGCUGUUAUGUAACAAGGAAAUAAUCUGUUCUCAGUAUAAAUAUGUAGUUGUUGUCAUAUCUUGAAACUCGAAUGCUAUGUGAUCUUUUUAACUUAUGAUUGUUAAGACUGAGUAAUGAUUUUGGAGAAGUAAAAGGAGGGUUUUAAGUUUGUUUACUUGGACUUAGAUGUCCAGCUUUUUUAAAUGGUCUCAGAUAUCAUAGACCAUGUAGUGUUCCAAAACUUAUGAGAUUUUGUGGAUGUGGCAUCGUUUCUAUUUCUUUUAACUGUCUGAAUUCUACGGGGUUCAUUAUCUUUCCAGAAAAUUUAAUGUGAAUUUCCUACCCAUAAAUAUCGUAACUUUUUUUGGGUGUCUUGUUAAUCUUGUUAUGUAUUGCAGGUGAUCCUUGUGGCUUAGCGUUUUUGCAUUGAAGAUUGUAUAAUCAAGGCCUAGAUAUUUUUUUCUUAUAAGUUGAUUCUAGUUUUUUCUUUCUUUCUUUUUUUGGGUUCAAUUUUCCCUUUGCUGAAAGCUGCUUUUAGAGGUUUUUGUUUUUAUCUGUGAAUUUAAAUUAUUUUAACCAUCAGAAAGCUAUUCGUGAGAAACAACUCUAGAGAUUUUUUCCACUGUACUUUUGCUUUCGAAAUUGAGACAAAAAUACCUUUUCAGGAUUUAAACAGCUUGGAGUGUCAUUUUUUGGUUAUAAUCUUUUGAAAUGUGCCAUUUAUGGAGUAUAACAGGCUAAUACCAAAAUAGGAGGAAAUUUUAAAGAGAAAAUAAAUCUUAUAUUGUUGAGAGUUGCCUUCUUUGACAACUUUGUUAGCCUGGAUUUCAUUGUCUUGGUUUUGCCGGUAUUUUGAAUCACAUGUAUCCAAAUCUGGUUCAGAAAGUUGUUUAAUUCUUGCCUAAUUAACAUGCUGUCACAAGGCUGAAGUAGGCAAAAGAAAUUACAUCUGCAAAAUAGUGGAGAUGUUUGAGGGAACUGAUGGCAUGCCGUAUUUCACUGCUCAGUGGUUUUACAGGGCCGAGGAUACUGUAAGGCUUGACAAUCAUUCCUUUAAAUAUCUGUAUUUUCAAUUUCCAUUUUCUGAAUUAUACUGCCACUUCCUGUGGUCAGAUCAUUACAGAAUGUCAUGAAUUUAUAGACGAAAAGCGAGUAUUCUUUUCUGAAGUCAAGAAUGACAAUCCUUUGGACUGUCUGGUUAAGAGACUUAGGAUCGCCCGGCUGCCGCCAAAUGUAUGCUGACUUACCUAAGAAACGUCUUUUCAACUUUGAGCUUCUGUAAACCUUUUUAACAGGACCGGCUGCUAUUUCAGAUGGAUUUGGAAUGCAAGGAUGCUGCAAAAUCAAAUUGUGACUAUUAUUAUGACAUGAUGUUCUUAGAGCCUCACUGCACGUUUAUCAGCUUGCCGCCUGGUAACUUUUUUCCUUUAUAUAUUGUCAGCAACAAAUUACUCUUUCUUUUUUCACAAACUUUAUAGUGUAAAGUUUUGGAUGAUAUUUAUAUUGUCCAGAGAAUAAUGGAGCUGGAAGUGACUCUGGCUCUACAAUAUCGAGUGAAGCUGAUGCUACUGGAGCAGUGGCUAGUGGUGUAGAGGUCUCCCAAGAAGCAAACCACUUGGAGAUGAGGCUACUGGACCUGUAUUCAGGCUGUGGGGCAAUGUCCACUGGACUUUGCCUGGGAGCUUAUAGCACUGGUGUUAAACUUGUUACCGUAAGGACAAUAAGUUUUCUUGAACUUCUUUCUAGUUGUUAUGUCGUUCUUUACCAUUAAAAUAACUUCUCAAUGCAGAAAUGGGCAGUUGAUGUAAACAAGUAUGCAUGUGAAAGUCUAAAAUGGAACCAUCCGGAGACUGAGGUGUAUAUUGCUCCAUAUGGUUUUGUAUCCAUUAUUUCUAUAUUUAUAACCUUGUUCAGGAUACAUUUUUCUUCUUGAUAAUUUCUUUUUGAUUAAGGUACGAAAUGAAUCUGCCGAGAACUUUUUGCUUUUGAUUAAGGAGUGGGAGAGGCUUUGUGUCUCCUAUGCAUUAGUAGAAAGCAAUGUUCUACCACAUCCGUAUGUUAGCUCGUCAAAUGAGCAAGUAGAUGAAGUUGGUGGAGAUGAUGAAGAUGACGAUGUUGAUGAUAGUGAUGGUAAUAGUUCUGAAGUUUUUGAUGUCAAAGAGGUAUUGGCUAUGUGCUAUGGGGAUCCAAAAGAGAGUGGUGCUGUUGGUCUUUACUGUAAGGUAUACUUGUUGGAUUAUCAGUGUACCUUUAUAUCUCUAUCUUGCCUUUUUAAACAUUUUCAAUUAGCUUUGGCUUGUAGUAAUGUCUCUAAAAUGCAAUUUAGAUUCGCUGGAAAGGUUAUGGACCAGAUGAUGAUACAUGGGAGCCUAUAGACGGUUUAAGGUAGGCAUUAAGUCUGGUUUGCUUAGUGAUUUCUUGAUGUUAUUUGUUUCCUUGAAACAAUCACUGACCUUCUAUACGUGUUUCUUAGUGAUUGUCAAGAGAAGGUGAAGGAAUUCGUCACUAAAGGUUACAAAAGAAAGAUUUUGCCUUUGCCUGUAAGUUCAAACAUCUUCCAAAGAGAUGUGAAGUAUACUGGACUACUGCAGAUUAUGUUAUCUAAUUUGUUGGUUUCUUGAUGUCUUGCAGGGAAAUGUCGAUGUUAUAUGUGGGGGCCCUCCUUGCCAAGGAAUAAGUGGGUUUAACCGAUUUCGGAAUACAGACCAACCAUUACAAGAUGAAAAAAAUAAGCAGCUUGCCGUCUUCAUGGAUAUUGUGGCUUUUCUAAAGCCUAGAUUUGUGUUGAUGGAAAAUGUUGUUGAUUUGAUUAAGUUUUCCAAAGGGUAUCUUGGGAGGUAUGCUUUUGCUCGGCUUCUUGCUAUGAACUAUCAAGCACGACUUGGAAUGAUGGCUGCUGGUGCUUAUGGUCUCCCACAGUUUAGAAUGCGUGUCUUUAUGUGGGGUGCUGUUCCUAAAGAGGUGAUACUCAGUUUUUCUUUUUCUUAUUUAUUUAUUCAGGUUUCAAGGCGUCUUUCUCUCUCAUUAGCAGUACUUACUCUUCUAUUAAUGCAGAAGUUGCCUCAGUACCCAUUGCCUACCCAUGAUGUCGUUGUGAGAGGGGUUGUUCCCAAGGAAUUUGAGGUAGGCUAUGGAUGGUAGAAAAAUAUUAUACAAUUUGAUUUUUGCUUCUUUAUUAGCCUAAAUCUUCUGUGUCAAUGUAGUCCAAUACUGUAGCUUAUGAAGAAGGUUCAAAAGUUGAAUUGGAGAAGGAGCUUUUUCUUGAAGAUGCUAUUUCUGAUCUUCCACCGGUAUAUAUUGCCAAUACUAAGCUUUUUUAAUUAAUGUAUGCCUCUAAUGUUCCUUAUAUGCUUAAAACUCUCUCUUGCAAACUUAACAUUUAGGUUGAAAAUGACGAGCCACGAGAUGAAAUGCCAUAUGGUGGUGCGUCCAAGACUGAAUUUCAAAACUUCAUCAGAUUGAGGAAAGAUGGUAAGUUCAUAUUUCUUUAUUUCUCCUUGAAGUACUUCUGGAUUUAUAAUUUUCAAUGCCUUAUUUUAAACUUGGAAUUCUUGCUUGUCUUGGUGAGCAUGGUAACGUGAUUCUAAUGGAUGCUAAAAAAUUUAUCCAACAUUUUUGAUCCAGAGCAAACAAUACACGUUUGCUGGUGCUUAAAAGUUUCCAGCUAUAUUUGUCAUUCAUUGUUUAUGUUGUGAAAAAAGUUGGUUUACCAACUAAGCAUCGAACUAUUUACAUUCUUAAAUCUGGAAUGUAAUACUUAAAUCCAUGAAACUAAAAGUACUUUGUUUUAUAGGUUUCCUUUUUCUAUGGCUUUUAGCUUGUCUUAAUUGAGCACAAUGGAUUACGUUCUGAUACAGGUUCUCUGCGUAGUUUGAGUUUGAAAAGUUAUUGAAUGUCGUCUUUCACAUUUUUUUCUUUCUGAUGCAGAAAUGCCAGGUAGUCUAGGCUUUGGAUUAGAAGUAGCUCCACAUUUGCUGUAUGACCAUAGGCCGCUCCAACUAAAUAGGGAUGAUUAUAGUCGGGUGUGUCAGAUUCCCAAGAAGAAGGUAUAUUUUAGUUCGUUAGUCUUUUUCAUUUUUAUGUUUUUUUUCCUGUCAAAGGACCUUCUCAUGUAUUUAUGCUUUUCAGGAGCUUUGUUAUGUAAAUUGUCAAUUGAAUACUACCUGCUUCUGAACUAUUUGUACCAUGGUUGCUAGGGUGCAAACUUUAGAGAUUUGCCUGGUGUAAGAGUCCGUGCUGAUAACAAGGUGGAAUGGGAUCCAGAUAUAGAGCGUGUCUAUCUGCCCUCAGGAAACCUUUGGUACGACUUCUUGAAUUCUAUAUUAUGCAGAUCAGCAUGUAUUUGUUUAUUUCUUCAUUGAUAAUCCUUACCCAGUGAGUUGCUUGUGCAGGUACCUGAUUAUGCUAUGACUUUUGUUGGUGGAUCUUCAUGCAAGUAAUCUUCAUUUCUCUCUAUGUUCUCAAAUUGCUUGUUUGAUGAAUUUUUUUGUUUUGGCUUUUCACACAACUAUUUUCAUGCCAUUUAGGCCUUUGGACGAUUGUGGUGGAAUGAGACAGUACCUACAGUUGUCACACGAGCAGAACCUCACAAUCAGGUACUGUUGUUGUCACUUUCUAAUUUAAUUGAAUAUUCUGGUUUGCUGUUUUAUACUUCACUGAAUGAAUCUUCUUUGGACUUUGUCAGACCAUAUUGCAUCCAAAGCAAGACAGAGUCCUUACAAUCCGAGAGAACGCGACUCCAAGGAUUUCCUGAUUAUUACAAACUUUUUGGCCCCAUUAAAGAGGUAAAAGCUGAGGAACAAUUAUGUUUCUGACAUAUUUAGGCAUUCUAUAGAGUACGCUAAUAUGAUCCUCAGGUUCUCUCAAUCCUUGUUACACCUCGAAUAAAACAAACUACUCUUGGCCUCAUACUUAGUCUUUUUCCAUUAGUUAGAAUUUGUAGAUAUAUGUUGAAACGAGGAAAAAAAAUUGCAGUAGCAGUGGGUUUGUCCUGUCAGAGUGAAAGAAAAUUAGACCCAAAAAGUUUUUCCCUUUCACCUGUUCUCAUAAUGACAGUGAGGAUUUAGGACAUGUUGCUGACGAAUAUGGCAAUGCAUGGGUUGUGUGAUAAAAUGGUGAAGAGGUUGUAGAACUCUUAAAAGCUUAAUUUUGAGAUGGAAGUGUUCAAUGUAUUGCAUCUAGAUUUCACUGUGAAAGUAAAAUAUCAACUCAACUAGACAGAGGCUUUUCAGUAUAUUUCACCUAGUUUCGCAAAAUCUGGGACCUUCUGCACUUCAGAUAAUCUGUGAGCCAAAUUCCAAAUGGCGUCUACUUAGUGUGCAGAGCACAAGUUACUCUUCUGGAACUGUUUCAGAAAGGCAGCUGGUUUUAGUUGUCUGUCAGCUUCUGUUUCUUCAUGAGUUUGGUCAUUGUCAAUAGGCCUGUGUUGCUCACAUGUUGAGAUGUUAUUUAUAUAGGCAAUUAGUUGCUGAUUUGCUUGACUGCAUCGUGAAAUUUGAUUUGCUUGACUGCAUCGUGAAAUUUGCUGAUUUGCUAUAUGUUGAAGAAAGCCAUGUUCAUUAUCCUGAAAUUUGAUUGGCUUAUUUGGUAAUCAACAAUAUUAUAAUACCUCCUAUGUGAACACGGAAUGGAUAUCUGUUUGCAAUUAUUAACACUCGAUGUUUAUGAUACUCCAGGUACAUUCAAGUUGGCAACGCAGUUGCUGUGCCAGUUGCUCGCGCUUUAGGAUUUUCUUUAGCUUUGGCUUUGAAGGGUUUGUCAGGCGACGAACCAGUACUGCAAUUACCAAAGAGCUUUCCAAAUAAUGUCGAGCUUCCUGCAGAAGUGUCUUCAUGAAGGAAGCCAAAUUUGUGUUUUUGUAACCCAUCCAACACAAAAUUACAUGCCAUUUAUUGGUCACAUUUAUUGUUAUUUGUCGGAAUUGUUCAUAAUUUGUAUCAUUUGAGUACCAUGUUACUAUUAUUUACUCCAUGAAACAGCAUGUGCUGAAAGUAGUACUGCUGAACUCUUGCUGAUCAACUGAUCCUCACACGUUGUGAUGUACGAGCUGAACGUGUUGAAAGAGAAGCAUUAUCGUGCGAAGCAAUGUUCUAGUUUCUAUAAUUUGAUCAUUGACAAGUGCGAAGACAGUCAUUCUGACUUGCCUUUCUUCAUAUAAUCUUAUUUUGAUGGAUGUGGUUGUAUUCGAGAAUGGAAGCAAAUUUGUUUAAAUUAUUUUGAUGGAUCUUUUAAUUUUGUAUCUUUAUUAAAUUUUAUGAUUUUUCAAUUUAAAUAUACUUGUGACAUGUUUAAUGUAUUUUAUGUCAUUAGUGCAAAUUAUUUUGUCAAGUAAAUCGUGCUGGACGAUUUCUAGUGAGAUGAUUAAUAAUAUUGUUAAUGUAUUAUCAAAAAAAAAAAAAAAAACUCAAGUCUUACCAAGCUACUCACUAUUAUUUGAUCGAAGGGUGAAGUGUCAAUAAGACAUGUUUCUAAGAUUUGUAGGGUUUUCUUAGAUUGACCAUUUUAAUUGAUUACAGAUUUUGAUUUUGAAUAAUCAACUUUUGUGAUAUUUUUUAUUACUUUUGUACAUUGAUUACAUAUUUUUUAAUGAUCAUUCGUUUGAAUUAUCUGUUUUUAAAAUAUUUACGAUAUACGAGAUUAUUUUUGAGGAUAUUUUUGAGAUUUUUAUGAUUGUUUUUGUUUGUAUAUUAUUGUAACAUAUAUAUAUGAAAAUUUAGUGACCAAUCCAAACGCAGAUUGUAACAGAUUACUCAAAGAAUAACCUUUGCUGAUUCUAAUUAUUCUUUAUAACAAUUUCUAUAAUCAAAUUUAUAUAAAGCAACCGAGAACAAGGUCGUAGUGGAGUUCAAGUGAAUUUAGUGACUUUGAAAUUGCAAUCUGGUAUUUGAAAGACACUCGUGAUGAUCUUUUGAAGAUUGAUCAUGGUUACCAACCCACCGUUAUUCCUUUCCCUCCUACAAAACUUUGAAGAAACACAAAAAUUCUACCCAGAAAUAAGCAAAUGAAAAACAGAAAGGUCAGCUACAAUAUGAGAUCACCAAAUACUAAAACUGUGAAACACUUGCCCUUUUUGUUUGGAUUAAAAUAUACUGAUGUGAAUUCAGAUCCACAUGAUAGUACUAAAGAAAAUAUGUGAAGUACCUCAUUUAGCAGCAAGAAGUUCAACAACAGGAUUUGCUAUUCAAAUCACCAACUGUUGCAUCAACUACAAAUACAUCUGAAUUAGUUUUAGGAAGCAAAUUUUUGGGAUUUUUUCAAUUUGUCGAUUGGAAAAGGGGCAACCGAAGAACAGCUUCCUCAGUCUCAAUAGGGUCCGAUCUCAAUAUCUGCAAAGAACCGGGUAAAAAAGAAAACCUGAAAUCAGUUUGAACGGUUCAAAUAAGAAGGAAAAAGAAAAGAAUCAAAAUUGACUUACUGGGUCUUUGAGAAUUGGCUUAGUGUCAUCGAGAGCAGGUCUAAAUUGGGUUUUUUCUGUCCUUCGUUUCAGUUCCGCCAUUGUUGCUCUUGCUCGAAGCCUCUGCUGCUGCUGCUUUCUUCAUUCUUUUCAGUUCUAGCUAAGUGGUGGGUUUAACUGGUAGGCGUUGGGCGUCCUUUCUAGUAUUAUGUAUAAGCGUGGCUUUUGUCUAGCUAGGUUGAGGGGAUCCAGUAUACAGAAAAGGGAAAGAAAAAAGAAGAAGAAGAACCUAAUAUAUAAUCAUUUGUCCUGAGUCCUGACUUACAAAAAAUAACCCUUUUCUUCUAACCCUCCCACUAUAGACACCCAGGCAUGUUAAUGGAUUGGUUUUUAUCCAAAUUUAAUUCAAAUCCAAUGUAUUUGGGUAGGGUUUGGAUUUAAUUUAUCAAAACCCUACUUAGACCUAAACCCUAUAAAAGAGUUAUGUAUUUGGAUAGAAUUUGAUUUUUUAUGAUUUAUAUCCAAAUCCAAACCCAUAACAGGCUUUACCAAACCCAUUAUAUAUAGUUAAAUAUAUAUAUUAGUAAAUUUAUAAAAUAUUCUAAUAUUCUAUGGUCAUUGGAUCGAAUACAGUAAGAUUUAAUGAAUUUUUUUUUUCAAGUUAAUCCUAGUUAUUUUUAAUUAGUACAAAUUUCAGAAAAAAGAAGAAAAAGUAAAUGCCAAAUAAAUGAAAGAUUGACGUAGAUACAGUUGAAGUUUUAAAAAUAAGUCGAAACUGUCGAUAAUAGUCACUUUUUGAGUUUAUAAUAUUGCAUUCAACUUCUUGAAUAUUAAUUUUAUUAUUUAAAAUAAAAAUUGGAUGAUGUUUAUAUUUUUGAAAUCUGCAUAUUUUUAAUAUAUUUUUACUUUAGUGUAUUAGAAAAUAUAUCGGUACCCAUUGAUACUCAAAUCUAGAAGGAUUGGAUUUGAAUUUUUUCAGGCCCAUAAGGCUUUGGGUCUGAAUUUAGGUCACUAAUUUAAUAAAUCUGGAUCUAAAUCAAAAGGAUCUAACCUAAACCUUACCCAUUGUAAUAUCUAGACACCUCUAGUAGAGCAUCCAAUGAAUGCCCAACAUUUGUUGUGUGAUUUUCAGUGGUAGCAUGGUUUUGCAUUUGAAAUUGCAUCCAUUCAACUCUCCUACCAUAAAUUCAGGCAUCUAUCUAAUUUGAAUUGUAAUAAGUUCAUUUGGAUAUCCACAUAGUUGAAUUAUUUUCCCCAUAAAAUGCAGCUCUCAAAGAUGAUCUUUUGAAAUUUGAAUUUUUGAAAUUUAUAUGAGAAUUUGCAAGAGAGACUGUGUUGAAAAAUUCAAUUCAAGAACCAUACUUUCUGGUGCUAAUCUGGGCAUGGUUUCAAUACUGCCAUUAUCCUAUGUUACUUGUUGACUAGUUGGAACAAAAGAUCCCGUAGAAUUUAGGUAGCUUUUUUCCCCCAACAGGUUGGUAGUUAAUUGUAUAAUAAAAUUUAUGUGUAGGUUGAUCCCUCUCACACAAGCUAGAUAUUGAAGAUUAAGAAAUUGUUUGUGGCUCCUGUAUAUAUGUUCCACAAAAAGAAGUUCAAACUGAAACAGUAAGCAUAGUGAACCUUUUGAGGCUAUGUCUUCAAGGGCUCAAUAUGAAGUCUGACAGUUGACCUGUCUGAUGAUCUCAUAGCUCUUAAAUGACUCUGCAAAUCUGCAUCUCUGGAUAGACAAAUCCAAUUGUUAUUGACAUCUUGAUACUUGAUCUCAUAACUUUCACCACUCAGGUUGAGCCGUUUCUUUAUCGCAUCUCUGAGUUGCAUCAGUCCUGAUGAAAGAGAGAGCUGAAACUUUAUCAUGACUUCUUUGUAUGUUGCCUUUAUUGUCAUGAGGCUUUCAUUUUGCAUUGUCAUAGCUUGUGGCAUAGGAGGUGAAGCAGAAGUAGCAACUUCCUCAGGAAUCUGAUUGGUGCAUGGCUCAACAGCAAGUCUGAUUGUUGGGUUUUCCUGUGGUUUCAUGAUAGUCACACAAUUAUGCAAAUCAUUGUCGCUGGUCAAUGGAAUCCAUUCAUUGGGUUCAGCUAGACACUUGAUGUCAAAGCUGUCACCGCUUAACUUGAACUGCUUCAUGACUUCGUUUUUCAGUUCCAUCAAUUUUGAAGAAAGGGAAACCUGAAGCUCUACAGUCUCCUCUUUAUAUGUUGCCUUUAUGGUCAUGAUCCUCUCAUUCUGCACUGGAUUUAUCUGCAGCAUAGGCUCCCAACAGAAUCCCUGGAACUUUCAAGGUGUUGAUUCUGAGUAGGCUCAAGAAGAACUUUGAUUGUAUUCUUCCUUUGUGACACCAUAUCAAACAUCAACUUCUGCAAGUCCACAUCAUUGGAUACUAAAAUGUAGUUAUUAUCUUCCUUUUGAUACUUGAUCUCAAAACUUCCAGUUGUCAAAUUUAACCUCUUUGUCACUUCUUUCUCAAAAUCCAUUAUCCCUGAAGAGAGAGAGAGUGGAAACUUAAUCAUGUCUUCCUUAAAUGAUGCCUUUAUCAUAAUUGUGCCUUCAUUUUCUGGUGCUGGUGGUGCCUUUAUACUCUCAUUGUGCACUGGAUUUAUCUGCAGCAUAGGGCUACCAACAGAACCCCUGGAACUUUCAAGGUGUUGAUUCUGAGUAGGCUCAAGAAGAACUUUGAUUGUAUUCUUCCUUUGUGACAUCAUAUCAAACAUCAACUUCUGCAAGUCCACAUCAUUGGAUACUAAAAUGCAGUUAUUAUCUUCCUUUUGAUACUUGAUCUCAAAACUUCCAGUUGUCAAAUUUAACCUCUUUGUCACUUCUUUCUCAAAAUCCAUUAUCCCUGAUGAGAGAGAGAGUGGAAACUUAAUCAUGUCUUCCUAAAUGCUGCCUUUAUCAUAAUUGUCCUUCAUUUUCUGGUGCCGGUGGUGCCUUUAUACUCUCAUUCUGCACUGGAUUUAUCUGCAGCAUAGGGCUCCCAACAGAAUCCCUGGAACUUCCAAGGUGUUGAUUCUGAGUAGGCUCAAGAAGAACUUUGAUUGUAUUCUUCCUUUGUGACAUCAUAUCAAACAUCAACUUCUGCAAGUCCACAUCAUUGGAUACUAAAAUGUAGUUAUUAUCUUCAUUUUGAUACUUGAUCUCAAAACUUCCAGUUGUCAAAUUUAACCUCUUUGUCACUUCUUUCUCAAAAUCCAUUAUCCCUGAUGAGAGAGAGAGUGGAACUUAAUCAUGUCUUCCUUAAAUGAUGCCUUUAUCAUAAUUGUGCCUUCUUCUGGUGCUGGUGGUGCCUUUAUACUCUCGUUCUGCACUGGAUUUAUCUGCAGCAUAGGGCUACCAACAGAACCCCUGGAAAUUUCAAGGUGUUGAUUCUCAGUAGGCUCAAGAAGAACUUUGACUGUAUUCUUCCUUUUUGACAUCAUAUCAAACAUCAACUUCUGCAAGUCCACAUCAUUGGAUACUAAAAUGUAGUUAUUAUCUUCAUUUUGAUACUUGAUCAAAAAACUUCCAGUUGUCAAAUUUAACCUCUUUGUCACUUCUUUCUCAAAAUCCAUCAUCCCUGAUGAGAGAGAGAGUGGAAACUUAAUCAUGCCUUCCUUAAAUGCUGCCUUUAUCAUAAUUGUGCCUUCAUUUUCUGGUGCUGGUGCUGCAGGGUGAGAAACAGAAGUAGUGCCUUCGUCAGGAGGUAAAUCAGAACGUGCUUGGUCUCUAUUACGUGUUCUCUUAUUGUGGUUUUCAGAUCCUCUUGCAUCUUCGUGAGAAAGGGAAUGAUCAGCUUUUCUCUUGUUGGUCUGUCUAUCUAUGCUACGCUCUCUGCAUAACUGCUUUUCUUCAUGUAUGACAACUGUAAAAAUGAGAAUUUGAAUCAAGAUUAAUACCAGGUGAUCUUGUCAGCCAUAUAAGCAAAUGAACAAUGCAGUCAUACUGAAAGCUAGGUUCAAAUUCAAGAUAGCAAACUCACUAUCAGACAUACACUCAGCAUCUUCAAGUUGCCUUCUUGACUGGUUUCUGGGAACCUUCACUCCUGGUGCCUUUACCAUGUCUUCAUUAUUUUGAAGAACAGGAAGAUUGUCCUGUGUUCGUACAUUCUCACAGUUGUUAUGUGAGAAUCUAAGCAAAGGUUGAGAUCCGGUUGUUGCACACAUUUCCAAAGAUUCAUCCAGUCUAUCAAGUUUAAUUAUGUUCAAAGGUGUAUCCGCCCCUGAUUCUUGUACAGAUGCAACCUUGAAACUCUGAAAGUUCUGCUGUACUGCAGCUAAAAAAGCUUUCAAGAGGGUCUGUGGUUUCCCAUAAGAAGGUUGGUACGGGCACAGAAAAAACUCUAGCACAUAAACUUCAUUUCCUGUGGAUCUACUUUGCAGACAGACAGCAAAAGAGCCAGUUAAGUUAACUUUGCGUGCACUAAGUACUAGGGGGUACUCAUCAAUACUUAACUGCUUCACAUCUUUGCAGAAGCAUGAAGCACCAGAUGUAAAUGCACUCCAUACAACACUCUGUCCUUUCUUUAAGCCAAACUGAAUGCAAUCCUUUUGGAAGGAGGAAACCUUCUUGACUGACAUAACUGAUCCCCUUUCACUUGUGCACAUGACACUUUCAUUAUGGUUCUCUCCAGUGCUUGUGAACCAGGUCUGAGCAAAACGUAUACAGUGUGCAUGACAGAAUGCAUUCAAACCGUUCUCAAUUUGACUGAGGUCAAAUUCAUGCUGAGAAAUCUGCUUUGGACAUUAUCAGUAAGAAAAGGAAUCAUACAGUACGAAAAGCGAGUCAGCAAUAAAAUAACUUAACUGAUACAUGUGAAAAAAAUGUGGCUAGAUACAGUCACCACUUACUCUAUCCUUGUGAAGUGACAAAUGUGCAUCACAAAUCCUCAGUCCUACGGCCUGCAGGAAAGAAUAUAACUAUCACUAUACAUUUUUGAGAUCAUCAUAGUGAAAUGAUUUCAGAAAUUGGAAUGAAAUUUUCUAUUAAGACUUGUAGCAUGCAAUGCAGGUAAACAUGACAGCUUUAUGACCGGAUUCGACUAUACAAGAACCCAACAAGAACAAAAGAAGUCCUGAAAUUAUACGAACAUCGCUUACAUCAGUACUAACACAGAAUCCUAUCUGAUGGAUGUGAAGCUGAAACCCCUUUGCUAUUUAAGGGGGAUCUUCACUAAAGGGGGAUCUUCACAGGAUCAUCAUGCCAGCUAUACAGCAUGGUAAUUGAAACAUAAACAAGUCAAAUAGAAAGUUCUUGUCCUUCACAUGAAAAUUUUUCCAACGCCAUGAGUUACAGCUCAGACUUCAUGGGACCAAACGUUGAAAAGGUUUCCACAUCAUAGAUCAUAGCUUAGACAUGAAUGAGUAAUUGUUCUAGUGCGAAAGCAAGAAUUCAUAAUAACUUUCACUAUCAUAGAGUUCAGCAGAAGCUAUGCCACUUCAAAUAUCCUCCACUUCAAGCCAGAGAUGUCAAUUAUGCAUAAAAUAGAUAGCUUCAGCUCAGAAAAACUCCAAUUAUUUGAAGACAGCUGACAUUUCAGGAAAUGUGUUAGCCAAGUUCUACAGCUAAUGUAUCUGAAAAUGACUCUGUAGCACAAGAAGCACAGAUUACUUCAACUGACAGAACUUUUGCAAUCUUUUUGGCUUCCUGAUUUCAUCCAGCGAUAUGAGAAUCUUGCUAAGACAAUUUUUUAGGGCAUGAAAGUAAUGGAAUUUGAUGCCAACCUUUGUAAAAGCUCAAUUAGCUGAUUCUUUUGAAUAAACAUAUCAUUUGCUGGCAGAGAACAAAAGAAGAAAUGAUCUUCGCGUCACUUCCAAUUUCUAAAGAACAAGGAGUUACAAAACAGAAAAAGCUCAAAAGAGAAGCUUGUUCCCCUUGCAUCCAAGACCAAAGCAUUUACAACAAGAAAAAUUAGCAGGUUUUUUGGGCAAAAUUUACAAUAGAAGCACAAUUUCCAUAUGGAGAGGCGAAUUAAACAUGCUAGUACUUUAUCCUUGGUGAAUAAUGGGUUGAGUUAGAAAUCGAACCUUGAAAGCAUCAUCAAUAACUUUUCCAAUUGCAUCAGUAAAGUAAUAAUUCCCAUCCCACGAAGUAAUCAGCUCAAGCACACCGACACAUUGAUCCCUAACUGACUCAAAAACUGGCAAAGCCAGGUAUCCAUUUACACCACAUCUAACAGCAGCAUCCCUCAGUUUAAACUCUUUAGAUGAGUAACAAGACACAUAUGGACUAAAUUCUGAAACCCCAUUUCUAAAAACCCGUCCAACAGGGCCAAGCUCUUCUUGACAAUCAAGAUCAUAUCUGUGUUCCAAACAACGCUUCCUAUACAAACAGAGUCCUUCGGUGAGCAGACUAAUACCAAAAGGAAGAUCUGAAGUCACAAGAAGCUGUUGGGUGCCUAUUGUUUUGGGCAUCCACAGUUGCACUAAAGUGGGAAGAGAAAAACACCCAAACCCUCAAGUGCAGAUUUGAUCUUUUCUUUGAUUGCCGCAAUCCCUUUGUUGUUGUUGAAUUGAAUAGAUUCAUCUUGGCUACAGAAGAUCAUAAGAUGGGAGAUGGACUUCUGGUCUGAUACAGAAAGUUGACUUGGCAUGAGACUGAUGAACUCAGAAACUGAAUAUCUUCCUCUAAGAUCAUCAACAUGGAUGAGUAAAGACUGGUUUUUUUCCAUCUUUGAUACUAUCUGGGAUUGCAUUUCCUAGCUUCAAGAAUUGUUCUUCAAAGCCCCUCUUUUAGCCAAUUCAAAGACUCGAAUAAGGGUUGUUGGCUAUGCAAUAAUCCAUAGAAGAAGGAUUCCAAAAGAGGUUCAAGAGCUCAUCCAUCUUGUAGCUUCUGCCUUCUGUGUAUAUGCAUCGUCGAAUGCAAAGAGUUCAGAUUUCAGAAUGGUUCAGGAGGUCAAAGUUCAGAAAGACAAAAGCAGACAAUGACCCCACGAGUCUAUGACAAUGACUGGUUUGUGGCCUACAUUUUCCCAAGGUGCAAACGACAAAUCCAUAUCACCAAACUCUAGUCACUGCGAGCUGUGGAAUACUGGAAGUGGAAAAAGUCUGAAAUAGGUCACAGUUCCACAACUUUUCGAAAGAAAAUCUGACACGUCCUGCGCUGGAUAAAGUAUACGCCUCCAUCCCCAAAAUUUUGCUUAAAAGAAUUUUCACGCGAUUCAAUUCAGUACGAGAAGAAUCAAACGCUCGGCCUCUUUUGAGAGCCUUCAGAAUUUCUUAUUAGGGAUAAUUUCAGAAAAGCUUAUGUGAAAUUUAAAAAAUUACACAUUCCUCCUUUAUUAUUUAAAAUAAUAAUAUUAUUUUUAAAUAUUUUAAUAAAAUUCUCUUGUUUGAUAUAUUUAUAUUUAGAAUGCCUUUAAAAUUAUUUUUUUUCAUUCUUUUUCCUUUUUAUUUUAAUUUUUGUCAAUAAAAUUGUAAAAUUAUCAUUAUUAUCUCUGAUUUCUAUUGUAACAAAUGUCGAACUAAUGAUUUUUUUGAUGAGUUAACUUUAUAUAUAAUCCAAUGUUUUUUGCUAAUAUUUGAUUUCUAUUUUUUAGUAUUAAAAUUAAUAAUAAAUCAACAAGAAAUUGCCCAAAAUUAUUACUAAAUUAUGAUAAUUUCACUGCUCAAAAAAUUCAUAAACUCUAAAUCAAUUAUUUCAACAUUUAUUGUCUAUCUUAUAAAUCUAAAUCUAUAAUAAAAUACCAUCAAAAGUAUCCUAUCAUAGUGAUAAAUUUAUUAUUGCAGUUGUUUAUCAAAUAAUAGAUAUGGAGAUGAAAAAUUCGGCACAUUUUUCUUAUAAUUACAUUAGAUAAUCUUAUAAUUUUAUAAGAAAGUAAAUUAAAACUCAUUACACAAGGCAUUUUGGGUAUUCAUUAAAAAUUUGACCAAGUCAAUAUUAUUUUAAGAUUUUGUUACUAAAAUUAUCAAAUCAAGAGAGGUAUAUAUAAUUUUUCAAAUCUUAGGAGAGUUUAGUGAAAUUGUUAGAAACCUCAGGGAAUGUUUCUGGAAUUAUCCCUUCUUAUUAUUAUACUUAUGUUUAGUGCUUCUAAUUAAGGGCUUAAAUUAAUCAUACUAAAUGAUUUGGAUUCACAAGUAGUUUGGUUAAGGGCUUGAUUCGAACUCAAUAUCGAUCGAGUUGCCGAGUUUAAGUCAAAUUCGAGCUACUUGAUAAAGUAAUCAAGUUGAGUUUUAAUUAGGGGUACAAAUUAACCAUGCUACUUGAUUCAGACUCGCGAGUACUUUGGUUAAAGAUUCAAGUCGAACUUGGCAUCGAUUGAGUUGCCAAGUUCGAGUUGAGUUUGAACUACUUGAUAAGGUAAUCGAGUCGAUUUCGGGUGAAAAAAAAAUCAAAAUUCGAGUAUUUGUCAAGCGUCUCGAGUAGUGUAUUUACAAUAUAGUUUUUAAUUAUUUAUUUUAAAAUUAUGAAAUUUACUAAAAACUGAUCUUAAAAACUCAAUUGAACUUGAUUGAGUUCAAUUAAACUUGAUUUGGUCGAGUUCAAACUCAAUUUUAAAGCACUCAACAAUUUUAAAUUCGAGUUCAAGUAUUUUUAUUAGUAGAACUCGAAUGACUCGAUACUUGACUCGACUCGAUGACAGUCUUACUUCAGACCCGAUCGUUGGCUACUGGCAUCGAUUUUGCCAAGCAUAUGAAGUUUCACACAAAAUAGUGAUCACAGAUUACACCAAAUUCAGGCUCCAAUUCGUUAAAUUUACAUGUCAUGUCAUGUGUCCCCUUCUGACAGAGUAUGCGGUAAUUUGGAAACCGCAGGGACAAAUGCCACAUGUUUACUGCAUAGUAUAAUGAUAUCCAAAAUCAGUCAAAAUUGGUCCUCAUCAAGAACGGCAAAAGAAAAACAAAAUCGGUGUAAAGUCUGAUGAUUUCCCGCCAGAUUGAGACCCUGUUACAACGGUCAAAAACCACUAGUCAUCUUCUUCAACUGCAAUCUCUCAGCAUCAAAACAGCUCUAGAUCAUCAAGAACACUUCCUUUCUAGACUUAUACUUGCAUCGUCUUUAAUAUCACUGCAAAUUUCAAGAGAAAUCUUUGACAAAUCACCGAUUACACCAUCACGUUUUUCUCGGAAUACACUGAUUCAAGGGUAUUCAAAGAGCUCAAUACCAUUAGAGUCGGUAAAAAUGUUCGUUGAUCUUCAAAGAAGUGGGAUAAAACCCGACAACUAUACAUACCCUUUUGUGCUCAAAGCUUGCGGGCGUUGUUCAAUUGGUUGGAGUAGGUGGGACUCUGCAUUCAAUGGUGUUGAAGAUGGUUUUGAUUGGGAUUUACAUAUAUGCAAUACACUGCUCAGAAUGUAUGGAGGGCUUCAUCUGAUUGCGUAUUCGAGCAAGUGUUUGACGAUAUGUCUCAAAGAGAUGUGGUUUCUUGGAGUUCUAUGAUUGCUGCUUAUGUUAAUUGGUACGUUCUAUCCUUAAUCAGUUACCGAAGUAAUGCUAAUUCUUUUGUUUUAUUUCCUUCUUACUUGUCUCAGCAAUUAGGGGUUCGUAAUUUAUCUUCGAAACACCUAACUUCCUUUGCAAUGAGUCGUAGUGGGGUUGUUCAUGGUAGAAAGCCCAACUACGGAGUGUACUUUGUUUAGAGAAGGGAAGGAGAAAAUCAGUUGGAGUAUGGGAGUCAGACUUCUUAGUCGACUCCUAUGUUUUUGGACGUCCAUUAAUAUUAUUAAUAUUUUUUUGGCUUCCAGCAACAAAGGCUAUUAUAAUGCAUAAGUAUCAUGCUGCACAAAUUCCAUUGAAAGAUAAUGACUUGUGCAUAGAUCGUAUAUAAUCCAAUUGAUCUUGUGGUACUUUGCUUAUGCUCUUCAUUUUUCUUUUGCUUUUACUUUCUGCUAAUUCUGGCCAGGGGAUAUGGUUUAACUCCCUAAACAACUUGUUCAAGCUCUAUUAGUCACAACAUGCUUUAAUCACAGAGUCAUAUACAACUUAUUGCAUUUUAAUUACUGGACUCCCGAAAACAUUAUAUUAUAAUAUUUAAUUAUCAAGAAUUAAGAUGAAGGUUUUGGUAUAUGGUAGCAAAAGGCAAUAAAAAUUAAUCUACUUUUCCAAAAUGAAUGAGUCUCAAUCUUGUUAACUGCAGCAUAUUCUUAAUGUUUAUAAUAUAAGGUGCCUAAAAUUUAUACUCUUUAUGGGCACUGCUUCUUCAAUUCAUUAGCUACUAUUUUCUAGGUUUUAGGUGCCUUAUAGCUUGUAUGGAUGUAGAUACGAUCACUGUAAAAAAAUUUCUUCCGCACUGUUUACAGCUGACCUUGUUUACAAGUUAGCUUGAUCGAUUAAGUGCUAGACACCCUUGAGAACUUGUUAUAUGGGGACUUAUGGCCGUCGUCUUGUGAAAUUGUGCUGAUUGUUGCGUCUCAAAAUGAAAAUUGAAGUAGUGGAAUGGUAUCUGAUGAUUUUAUUGUCGGCUAAGGGGAUUAUCUUUUACUUCCUUUGUAUUCUUUAGCAUGUAGUUAAGGCUCUCUGUUUCCAAUAUUUUAACAUUUUAUAGUCUUGAAGUUUUUGUUUGACCUAUAACUUGACUUUGAAUGAUUACAGUAACUGUCCUGUAAAUGCUUUAACUGUUUUCCAAGACAUGAUCAUACAACAUGAGAAGCCAAACUCCAUCACUUUGGUUAGCCUGCUUGCUGCAUGUACUCGUCUCCUCAAUGUCAAGCUUGGAGAAUCCAUUCAUUCCCGCAUUCUAACUAACGUGUUGGAUUGAAUGUUGAACUGGGAACUGCUCUUCUUGAGAUGUAUGCAAAAUGUGGUCACAUGCUGGAAGCGUUCCUUAUUUUUGAUUCAAUAAGUGAUAAAAAUUUGCAGUCUUGGACUGUCAUGAUUUCUAGCCUUGCAGAUAAUGGCUUUGGGGAAGAAGCUAUGUCAUUGUUUUCAAAAAUGCAAGAAGCUGGCCUGCAGCCUGAUAGUAAGUCAUUUUCUGCAGUUCUUUCUGCAUGUAGUCACAUGGGUCUUGUUGAUGAGGGAAAAGAUUAUUUUGAUAAAAUGGUAAAGGUUCAUAAUAUCAGGCCAACCAUGGAACAUUAUGGUUGCUUGGUGGACAUGUUUGGUCGUGCUGGAAAGAUUGAAGAAGCUUAUCAGGUUAUAAAGAGCAUGCCCAUGGAACCUAAUUCUAUUGUAUUGAGGAGCUUCAUCAGUUCAUGCAGAUAUCAUGGCCGUAUUGUUUGUGAAGAAAAAAUCUGAAGCAACUUCUUAAAAUAGAGCCUGAUGUUGGAGCAAAUUACGUGCUUGCUGGGAGUAUGUGCUCUCUUUCUGGCUAUUGGAGUGACACUAAUGACCUUAGAGUUUCCAUGAAAGAAAAAGGUUUAAAGAAGGUUCCGGGAGCAGUUGGGUGCAGCUGUCUAGUGCCUAAUCCCAGAAAACUGAUAAAAAGGCCAUAAGUUCCUGUUCUGGUUCAGAUGGCUUGAGACUUGCAUUCUGGAGAGCUGAUGAACAAUUUGCUAGUUCAAAAGGCCAUUAGUUUUCUUGGUAAUAAUGAUGUUAAGAGGAAGCCCUUUGCUUCUGCAAUCAAAUGAUCUUUGUUUGCUGGUAGGAUUCUUGGAGUCUAAACUAAUUUUGGAAGAGAUGACACAUGGUUUGAGUUGCAAAGCUUUUAUGACAUGAAUACCUUCAUGCAGGAAUGCUUCUGUGCAAUUUGAGGUUGUUUCGGUUGUGGUUGGUGUAGUAUGGAAUACCUAUUUGUAAGAUACACAGAAGUUUAGAGUCUUGCUAGCAAUUGAUUACAUGGUCUCUUGAUUCUUCUAUCACAGUGGGUUUCAUUAGAGCACCGAAUUAUGCAGAAGUUUUGCUGCUGAAGUUAAAUGGCUUGAAAAUGGGACUUUCAUUAAUUGUUACGUGCAUAAAAUUGCUCAGUAUCCAAUUGCUGAACCAAUUCAGUUGUAACAGACUGCAAAGGAAUCAUGUCUGUAAUUUCAUGUGAAACAAUUACAACAGACAAGAAACCAUGGGUUUCCGCCUGAGCACGGAAGAAAAGUGAAAGAUUCUCUAUCUCCAUGCAAAAUGUGAGAUGAUAUUUUCCUUUAGGGCCAAAUUUCAGUAGUACAAGCUUCAGCUUUGUUUGGCAGUGGCGUGCAGUUAGUUGUUUAUGCCUAUUGCUACCUUGUCUUCUGCUCUCUACUGCAUAAGAGUUUUUCAGAAUUAGUUUUUAAUGGUAUGGGCCAUUUAUCUCUUGCCUUUUGGUUUCCUUAUGGAUGCAUUUGUGCUCUAGACAUACUUAUGCGUAAUGCAAUGCUAUGUUCAUCUGGAAGUCAUUUCCUUGAUUUGAAAAUCAUAAAAGAAGCAUUUAUGUGGUCCAAGUUCUCGGGACCAGUGUUCUUCUUAAGUUAUAGUGUUCAAUCAGUUUAAUUUUCUUCUGACGUUUGGCAAAUUGGAUUGGUGGGCAGUGGCAGAUGAAGUGAAAGUUGCAGCAGGCAACGAUAUCAUGCUGAAAGCUGCAUGCUAGCACGAGUAUAUGAAUCGUGAAGAUGAUUAAAGAACAAUGAGAUUAUUUGUUAGAAAAUGCUCUCAAUUCCAGAGGAUCCAAUACUAAGAGAAGUAUUGCUCCCUUUAUCACAACAUUAAUGUACUCUAUUUAGCUUUAUUCAUGUGAUUUAGGCAUUUGCAACCAUGAUAAGAAGGAUGAUAAUGAGAAGGAUGAUAAGCAUGGCCUUGUUUGUACUUUGUGUAGAUAGCUAAUUGUCUGUUCAUGACUGCUGUCUUCUAAAGGAUGCUGACCAACGGACCUGACUUUUGUAGGUUAAGGAAGAGGAAAUGCCUUUGUUUGGAAAUCACAUAAGUACUUUCAGGUUGCAGAGCUCUAUUCAUUCUAUCUUGCAGUUCUGGCUUUCCUGGUUUUUUUCUAGGUCAUAUAAUUGUUGUAUGUUAGCAUCAAUUACGGAGGCUACGCUCUAGCAAUCCAGAGAAUACAUAAUUUAUGCAUGCCAGGGUGAAUUAGCAAACUGAGUUUGUUCUUCCUGCUGGUUCUCUAAGGUUAUGAACCUUUUUUUUCAGGAUUUUGCUAGAGCAGUAAACAGUUUAAGUCACAACUAAAAUAUCUAGAGAUGAAAUAUUGUGGCUUUCAUGAGAUGCUCAUCUGACCUAUUGCUGACAAUUGUGGAGAAGUCCUGAUGUCUAAUCAAGCUGACCUCUGUAAUGGCAUCCCUGAUGAAUGUACACGUCCGGUGAAAUGUGGAAAUACAAUUUUUUUUUGGGGUUUUGAUGCCAUAUGAUGUUAGUAACUUUUCAUUUUGGUAUAAGAACUGCUUUCUUUCUCUGAAUUAGUUUGGCAGCUGAUGCUCACGUUCUGAGUGUACAAACUUAUACUGCAAUUUGGAACCUCUCUUUCUGACCGUCACUUCUGUAGAUUGAACAUCCCUUUGAAUGUGUUUUGACAGCUGACAGUCUACACAAACCUUAAUUGCUUGCUUUAUUUUAUCAAGCUCAAACUUGAACUCAAGCUCGACGAGCUGCUAAUUUAAAGCUUGAGCUCGAAUUCGAAAAAUUAAAAAAUAAUUAUUUUAAUUUUUAAAAAUAAAUAAAAUAAUAUUUUUAAUAAUAAUAAAAUAUUAGGAUAUAUAUGUAAUUUUAUUAUUAAAAUAAAAAAAAUAUAUAUACUCGAAUCGCGAGCUAACAAGUUUAAUAUUUUUGAACUUGAGCUUGAGUUCAAGUUCGAUUUGCCCAGCUCAAUCUUGACUCGAAUUAUUCUGAACAGCUCGAUUCAAGUUCGAUUUGCCCAGCUCAAUCUCGAUUCAAAUUAUUCUGAGCAGCUCGAUUCGUUUGUGAUUCUUAACUACUUUGUCCAAGAAUGGUUCCAACGAAAAUCACAUGCAUGAAACCUGUGUUAUAGUCAGCGAGUUCAGUAUUAUUUUCCAGAGGACAAAAGAACAGACAAAAAUGGUCCCUUUUGUACCCCAAUUUUUUUUGUUUGAUGCCAAUAUUAACUGAUCUAGUGGCAACCACAAUGGUGGAAUCUUUAUAAGUUGAAGUUAGACGCUCAAUGGUUCCAAAGUGUUCAGGCUUAAUGCUGAAAUUUCCUUUUUGAUUCCUUUUUAUUUAACAAUAUUGGUUUAAACCUGAAAGCAAGAUUCUAUUUGCUUAAAAGCAGUUUUAGGAAACACAACACAAUUAACAGGAGGAGAUAAACCACAUUUCAAGUUCUUUCCCCACUCUUCUUCAAAUUUGGACUCCAGCUUCUUUCCCUCCAUACUUCGAAACGGUUGCUCAUGUUUGCGCAAGGGUCCAUGACUCUUCUUUUUAUCAUUUCCUAUUGGAUUUCCUUCUACAUUUGUUAUUUCGGGUGCGUUUAAUAAAAUUGAAAUCUGAAUUUUGAAUUCUAAAACUUGAAACCUAAUAUCUAGAUCUAUUAAAUUAGUAAAAUUGUUAAAAACUGAAAUCUUAAUAUUGAACAUAUUUUGCAUUAAGCGAUAAGUGAAUCGUUUAUGAUUUAGUUUUGAGUAAGUUUCACAUAAGUUCAUUUAGAAUCAUUUAAUUAAUUAAAAUGUUCUAUUUUUUUGUUAUCAAAUACACUUAAUGUCUGAACGUAUUUAAAUGUUGAGUUGAAUUAUUAAACAGGUCUUAAUUGCUCUAAUCUAAUCAUUUAAUAGGCUAAUAGUUUAAUUAAUUUUCCAAAUUAACCAAAAAUAUUUUUGACUGCAAUAGGGAACUAGGAAAAUGUAUUGAAACUUAUUGAGAAUGCCCCAUGUGCUUGCUUUAGUACUGUUACUUUAUAUGUUACCCUACACUGAAGCUUCUGGUUCAUCAUUUGUCUGUCUCAUUGUUGGUGAAGAUUGUGCUCCAAUUCCCAAUGAUCUUUAGAGAUCAAAGUCCAUCUUAACCAUACAGAGUAGUUAAUUAAUCAUGUUGAUCUUUUCUUUUCUUGGAUAAUUAGUUCAUUAAUCAUUUUCAUAUUGGCAAAGUGCAUUUGUUUUAGAAAACGAGACGCAAAAAUCAUCCUUUUCUUCUGUAAUCCAUAUCAACUUUACAUCAUUUAACUACUCAUUUAAAGGGAUGGUAGAAUUUCCCUUGAUUUACAUAGGGAGGUUGCUUUAAAUCAAUAAAACAGUGAUACAAGUGUUUUUAUGUUUCAGAUGAACACCAGAAAAUUAUGAUCAAUUUACCAUUUUCUUGUUUGGAUUUGAAUUUUGAAUGGCAUAAUAUAUAGUAGCAUGAUUAGAAAACACAUUUUCUCACAGAAAACACACACAAACCUGAAAACGUAGGUAUACAAUUACUCUCAGUUCUUAACCCCUUCGAAAGAAGAAAAAGAAAAAAAAAAAAAACCCAAAACAGGUUGUAUACUAAACUUCUAAUACUGAUAAACGUUAAAUAUUUACACAUGAGAGGUCAAAUUCUGCUGGUCUUCAACCCAGACAUUGCACUGGAAACUAAAAAUGAACAAGAAACUAGUCUCGUACCAUACAUAGAAACUACUGCGGCUACUAUGUAGUACUACAUAUUUCUAUCUUCUGCUAAAUAAAGGGAACCAACGUUCUUGGAAAGAAGUAUGGUGAGAGACCAUAAAUAGGAGAAAAAUGAGCAGAAGUGCAACCCCAACUGGAGAGCCUCCAACCCUGUGAGGUGAGUCCUCCUCUGGUGAAGAUGUCACAGAUGGACCACUUUCUGAAUAUUCGCCCCUUGAUAGCCAGUGCACCACAAGGAGUAAAAUCACAGGAAAAAUCAGCAGCACAAGCUUCAACUCCUGUAGUAUGUCUUCAUACUUGUUCUCGUAGUUGAUGUACCAUGUGAAUACCAAGAACAAGAAAACUACGAGCAAGAAGAAGAAGAAGUGAAUGGGUAGAGAAAGGUACUGUAGAUAAUGGUUGUAUGAAGACCUGUAAUAUCUAGCCAUAGUGGUUGAUUCUGGAAGUAGCUAGUAGUGUUGUGAGGAGAGUUGGAUGUCUAUUACAAAGAGUAGUAUUGUAGCUGAGAUGUACUAGAAAGCUAGCUAGGUGAUGGUGUGAUGUAUUGUGGAUACAAGUGUAGUAGUGCUUAGAAAUAAAUGUUUCCAAGUGGGGAUCGG